rnacentral:lncRNA from 1 species
UUUUUUUUUUUUAAAAGUAAAAAGGAGUUGCAUUGGAAAGUUUAGCAUUUUCGGGCUAUGUGACUUUUUAGUUAGUAUCUUUAAGUUUAAUGACUUGUGUUAGAAAAGAUAGUUAAGUGACUUUUGUGAAAACAAGAAAUAGUUAUAUAACCAUAUGUAAAAUACCCGAAGAUUAUGACAUUAAAAGGGACAUGUUGUGCUUGCCUUGUCCUCCAAUCCUUGAAAUAAAAUAAUGGGGCAGGAAAAGUGGUCUACAAAAUUGAUAGGCGACCUCUCAAAAUAUGCCUUCUCGUCCCCUGCAAUUAUUCAAAAGGCCUCAACACAUACUGAUAAACAUCAAUCAGCAGAAAGACUUAAAGCAAAUAGAUUGUUAACAUUAAUUGAUUAGAUAAUUACCAACUAGAUUGUCAGUAUAGUGAGAUUCGAACUUGUGAGUUUCUGCUCUCAGCAAUUGCAGAUCACCAAUCUGUUCAAUGAAAGAUGAUGGCAUAAAGCAUUGAAACUAAAAACUGGUUGAUAAAUGAUACAUAAGAAGCUUUGAGUAAACUUAUGAACCAAACUGAUGCUGUUCUACAUUAAAGAUGAUCAUCUAAGAUAACAGAAUGCCCAUAUAUAUAGGCACCAGCCUUAACUACAAAAUUUUCUAUCAUAUAUUAUUUUUUUGAUGACCGUGGUGCCUGGCCUAGCUUGUGCGCACCUCGACUAAUUCUAGGGGAUACCUGCCGCCUCCCACCAACAACAGGUACCAUAUCACUAUGUCCACCAAUUCUAUAACAAAUGGAAAGAAAUCACCCAGUGUUUUUGUCAAAACUAGAACCUAAGACCUCAUGGUGCUCAACCCACUUCAUUGACCACUAGGUCACACCCUUGGGUGUAUUUUCCAUAUUUUUAUGAUCAGUUUCUGGUUGCACACGCGAGAUCAGGUAGGAUAUGGAAAUGCGAUAUUACUUAUCACAAACAAAUUUCAUGAUUCACUCACACCAUACAAGGAAGCUCCAGCCUUGAAAACAUCUUUAAAUGCAAGUGCAGCUAAUGUUGUAUAACCACCAGCUGAACUCCCUGUAAUACAAAGUCUUUCACUGUCAACCCUUCCACUGUCAACCUGGAUGAACAGACUAAUUUACCAUGACUUACAAAAUUAUUAGCAGCAUUAAAGGAAUAUAUGAAUAAACUCAAUUUUUUGAUGUUACCAAAAAUUUGGCACAAUUGCAGCAGUCGUUAACAUCCACGAUUCCCCAACUUCCCAAUAGCCUUUCUCUAUAUUCUCUGCCAUAACCUUCAUAUGAGCCAAAAACAAAAUGAUGUUAACAAACUUAACAGCAGCUAACUAAUCUACCACUGUGCCAUACGCCAUCUUGAUUCCUUGGUCGCCUCUGCUUUUUCUACCAAUAUAAAGUAAUUUCGUACAUUUCCUUUUUAUACAUAUCAAAGGUUCUGACAAUCAGUCAAUAAAUGCAGGAAAUGAUGUUCCCUCAAAAAACUUAAACUCUCAAAAUAGUCCCCUAAUCAAGAAACAAUAUAGAAAGAAUAACAAGCCAACAAUGGAAGGAAUAAAAAGGCCAUGUGUGUACCAGUGCUUCCACCAUAAUUCACAUCCACAUAGGCCCAACCACGACUGGUCCAAUAUUGAAUGCUAAGAUUUAAACAUCCCCGUGCUUCAGCUGUAGGACCUCCUGGAUCAUCAUAAACUAUACAUUAACAUCUCAUACAGAAACCAAUUAGUCCAGCGUUUUAACUAAGAAAAUCAGACAGGAAGAAGCAGUUCUAAUGAAGGAAACAAUAACCAUGACUUCGCAAGAGCAAUGGAGGUGUUUCUCCAUGACUAGCUUGAAAGUCGGUGUUUGUUGGUGGAUAAAAGUAUGCAUAUGCACAUUGACCGGGCACAUCUGUUGGGAACUUUAUCAACUCUGGCCGACUGUAAUAGGAGUUAUACAACUCACUAACAGAUGACGACGACCACAUAAUCUUGAAAUCAAUUACUUUUGUUCUCUGAUCAUCCAAAGUAACCUGCAGAAAUAACAGAAAAAAUGCUAAAAGAAUGAUCUAGAAUAGUUUUAUAAGUACUGUUUUCAAAAUUUCAAGCAACUAGAAAGUUUGUCUAAAGAACCUUAGCUAUUGACGAUGGAUGAACAGAAGAUGCUCCUUCAACAUACAAGCCAUGAACCCCAGAAGUCUGUUUAGGUGAUAAGGUAUUUAUCAAGACCAGCACAAUGAUAAAAACUCAUAAAGGACACUAAGAGCCUGUUUGGAUUGGCUUAAAAGUUGGUCAAAUCUACUUGUAAGUCAUUUUUAGCUUUUGAGAGUGUUUGACAAAGUUAAAAAUAACUAAAAAUAAGUUAAAAAAAUACUUUAAAACAGAUAAAAACAAAAGUAGGAGUACCUACUUUUUAUUUUGACUUAAAGUCAUUUAAGUUUGACUUUAAAAAGUUAAUUUUUGAAAGCUGCUUUUUUCAGCCAAUCCAAACGGGCUCUUAAGUACAGCUUGUGCUACCAAGAACUUACUAUGUUGUUUAUAUCUGUGAAAGGAAUAUCAAGCACUGAUAUUUUGCCUAGGUUAACAUCCAAAACUCCAAGAUAUGACUUCCCAUUCUCCCUGCACAUAUUUUUCAAUUUAGAUUAGAUGAACUGCAUCAAUUUGAAUGAUUCCCUUCCCCUGAGCGAGAGGAAGAGGAAUGUGAGAAACCAGAUAAAGAACUUCUUUGUUACCAAAACAAUCAGAAUAAAAGCACUAUGAUUUCAAAUAUCAUGAUACACACAAAAUAUUAAAUAGCAAACUACUCAUCAGCUUGACCUGUAACUGCAGGCAAUUAAAGUAUCUUGGUCGUGGUUCUUAAGAAAGUCAUAAGACUUCAUCCCAAAUACCCAUAAGGGUCUUGUAAACUCAGCAUCGAGGGAGUAAACUGGUAGCACCUCGUUAGAAGACUCUACCUGUCAACAAUAAAUAAAACAGGCCAAUCAAGUUUACACUGUCUCACUUAAUGUAUGAGUUCAGUGCCAGCAACAAUAACAAGGAUGUGUUACUGGUAGAUAUUUCAUUAUUUUCCACAUAGAUGCUGAAUCUUUGAUGCAUAUUCCAGGCCCAAUAUCCAGCACCAUAAAUAACACGAAAAAUGGAAGUCUGCUUGUGCAGAAACUGAAAUAAGCACAAAAGCUUGUUUUUCUUUUUCACUUUCCCUCUGUACCUCAUUACUGGGUCAGGGGAAGGGGCCGUGGCAGAACUUCAGAUUAUCUCUUUGGCAUAUAGUAUCCAUAAAGUUGGAUUAUGGUUAGCGUGGGAAGGGUAAGGUAAAUUCUCUCUUUUAUUAUGCAAAAGUUCAUGUAAAAGUUAAAUGUUUUGCAUUUUCCAUCCAAAUAGUGUUUCAGCGGAGGACUGAAAGUGUAAUGCUUAUGUGCAGAGGAGUUGUUUGGCCAUGAGAAUUAUUCACAUUUAUUCUGGAAUACUUUUUCACUUUAUUUCAAAAUCAGUGUUAAGUUAUAAAAUUUCCAAAUCCAACUUGGAGCUGGAUUCUAAAUUAGGAAAAGUGCUCCAAACCUAUAUUCCAAGUUCCAACUCCAUCUCUAUAAAUUCCAAACAAAAUGUUCUCUUCCCUUCUUCGCAAAAAGUACAACCAAAUCCAUCUUCAAUUUCAACUUGAUAAAUUCCAAAUAAAGUGAAAAAUAUUUGAAAUAAAUGGUCAAACGCUUAAUAAGGUAGUGUCUGUUAAACACUAAAUAAUACGACUAAGUUAGAGUUGGAGGCCAUUAUAGCAAUAAUUUUUUUUCAUAUUCUUAUAAUUGCAGUAUCUAGCGAAUUGAAAUUUUUAAGCCUUGACUCCAAAAUAUCAGAGUUUUAACCACUUCAUUUCUUAUUAAUGCAACUUCACAUCUUCUAUAACAAGAAUGUGGUUAAUAAAGAGCCAGACUGAAGGUUCCCCAUAUUUGUAAUGCAAUAGAAUUUAAGCUAAUGCAACAUCUACCAAGUAUCCACAACUUUAAGUCUUAAGCAAGUCAAAAACACAAGGGUCAAAUUCGUAAAGAGCAAAAGAACGCAAGUUUAGGCUAGAACUCAAAGAAGAUGAGAUGGUUAUUAAGAAAACUUUUAAGCAACUAGAUGCAAUCAUACCCUAGAAGAGAAGUUCAAGUUAAGCCAGUAGGCUAGACAGAAGAUAGACAUAAGAAGUUCAAGUUUAGACAUUAGGCACGAUAAAAGAUUAUACAACAGAUGGCAGAGAUUUAAUCAGUAUGACACUAUGACAUCACACGGAUGAGGACUUACCCAUUUGUAGAUAUUCCAAAACCCACUUUUCCUGUCAGUUACAAAGUACAGCUCCCCUGCACCCGAAAAGAAUAGCAAAUAAAUGCAAGGAACAAGAGAAAUCAGUCUUGGCAUAUUGCAAGUAUAGAGCUAAUCAUGAAACAAGAUCUAACAUGAUCAAACAACAACACAGGAUAUAGAAUCUUACAGUUGAAUACUAAGGCAUAUAUGAACUCAAUAUUUUUUUUUUGACAAAGGUAACAUUUUUGUGUAUUAAUCUUCAACACUAAAGGCUGGGAUCCCAAAUUUACAUCAUGGAGCUACAUACAGUUGUGAGUACUCAAAACAAAACUAGAACCUACUUCAACUUACAAAGAACCUAGGAUAUCUAUAACAACCAUAGGAUCAUCUACAUUACCAGUCAAAGUAUAUCCUUUUUUGUUGAUAAUUCAAUAAGCUUGAUUCAAGAAGAUUUUAUCCCCUAGCUUAAUUAUAGAUAUUAUUUUAUUUGAUUAAUUAUCAUCCCUAAAUUAGAGAUAGGACUAAUUUACAAAUACUCAAGCUCAUAUGUUGUACAAAUAUAAUGGAAUACAAUAAAACUUUCUAAUUCUCAAAAUCUACAUGGUAUUAGAGCCAUUGUUGUCUUUUUUAGGUGAGUUUUCUCCCUCACAACACUAGGAUUCGAAGAGGUUUGAGUUUUUCUCUCUUUUACUGCUCCACUUUGUUUCCAAAGGUUGUGCAUGUCGGAGUUGCUUUCUAACAGUGGUGUCCAAAAACCAACACCACCACAAGCUUCUCCUUGCACCGACGACCAAAACCCAGCAAGAAUCUCUGCUAAAAAACACUACACCCGCUAUUGACAACACUAUCAAUCACAACGUGUCAAUAACACGCACCAGAGAGUAGGCCCUUGUCCAACGACUUACUCAGGGAGAUCUUUCCUCUGGUGGUUGUUGGCCUAUUCCAAGCCUACCCAUCCAGGUCCCACUAUUUUCAAAAUAUUGGAUCUAAGUUUUCCUGCAUACCAGAGCACUGAAAUGCUGGGAGUCCUUAUUUGAUUUUUGAAAGUUUUCCUUCCUUGGAUUAGUACUGGGAAGCAUAUAUAAGAGAGUCAACGAGGGUUCAUGCUGUAUUCGGCACCAACUGAGAAGUCUGGGCUAACUGUCUCAUGAGCAACCAAGGGCAUCCAAUUCCGAUAAUGACCCACCUUCACUAUGAUUAUUGUGGAAAACCAAAACAUACAAAGGACACAUACUUAAAACUACAUGGUAUUACUAGAAACUCUUAUCCUUUGAGUGAUAAUAAAACUACAACUCCUUUUGCGACUAUACAUGAUGUAUAAAGUCCUAUUCAAACAAUUUCUUUGCCUGGUACUUGAUGGUUUGUUACUUAAAUUGACUGUUGCACUAGGAUGAAUUAGGUGUAUAUUUGUUAGAGGCCAAAUUUGAGGUUUUUUCGUGCUUUUAGUCCUUUCAUAAGAUGAUUUGUACUUAAUUAGUGGCUAAGAUUAAAAUCUUGCGAACUGAUUAUUGCAUAGAGUACUUGAUUAAGGAUUUGGUGCUUAUCUGGAGUUCAAUGAGAUAAUCCAUCAACCUAGGUGUCCCUAUACUAGUGCACAAAACAUGGUUGCUGAAAAGGAAAAAUAGGCAUUUGUUAGAAGUGGCAAGAUCUCUUAUGUUAAACAUGAAUCUACCAAAAACCUAUUGGGGGUGUCAUUCUAGUUGUUAUCUUAUCAAUAGAAUGCCACUUAAAACCCUCAAUUUUCAAAUUUCUUUAGAAACUUGAAAGGGUGAGAAUAAAUAUAUUGUUCCUAUGGAGGUGUUUGGCCGUGUGUACUAUGUUCACACCAUGAUCUAGGAAACUUGAUACUAGAGUCCUUAAGUUUGUCUUUACUAGGUAUUCUCCUACAUAUAUAUAAAAGAUACACAUGCUAUCACCCUCCCUCCAGCAGAUCCUUUGUCAGCAUGAUACCUUUCGAGAGUAUGAGCCCUAUUUUAGUAUUACAUUGUCACCUCUUUAGGGGGAGAGCAAUAGAGUUCUCCUUAUUUCCAUUAUUGAAACCAAUACCGGGGGAAAGUGAAAUUGGAGAAAGAAUUCAAGGGGAGACUAUUGGUCAUUUGAGUAGACCUAAUUUGAUAACGUGCACAAGGAGAAACAGUGCAGAAAAAGAAAUCAUGCAAUUUGCCGAAGUUAAAUCCUCUUCUACUUGUGAGUUAUCUGCAUUCCCUAAUGAAUUAGAUUUGCCAAUUUCUCAUAGAAAAAGAGUCAAAUCUUGCACCAAAUAUCCUUUAUCUAAUCUUCUCCUAUCCUUUAUCUAAUCUUCUCCUAUAAUUCUCUGUCUCCCUCCUAUAGAUCCCUUGGCAUUGUCUAUUUCUUUUGUCUAUUUUCUAGAAUUGUAGGGAAGCUUUGGAAAUCCUAAAUGGAAGCAGGCUAUAAUUGAAAAACUUAAGGCCUUGUCAAAAAAUGAGACUUGGGAACAUGUCACAGCAAGAUUGACGGCUAGGGGAUUGACUUAGACUUAUGGAGUGGAUUAUCAAGAGACAUUUGUCCAUGUUGCUAAAGUGAACACCAUUAGAAUUCUUUUGUGUUGUGUAGCUAAGCUUGAUUGGGACUUGCAACAAUUUAGAGAAAAAUGCAUUUCUUCAUGGAAACUUAAAAAAAGAGGUGUAUAUAUAGAUCCCUAUAGAAAGUUUCACUGUGUACUUGGUGUGUAUUGGGUAAUGCCAAGGACUACUAAGGACGUAUUAUACAGCUGGGAGGAGAUAGGAAGAAGAGGUUCUGGUGAAGAUUGGUGGGAGUUAAUCCCAACUUGCAUCUGGUGGACUCUGUGGAAAGAAAGAAAUGCAAGAUGCUUUGAGGAUAAGAGAAACAACACCCAGAAGAUUAGAAUGAAUUGCCUUAGCCUUUUGUAUUUUUGGUGUAAGCAAAAUAUGGUGGGGAAUAUAGAACUUUUUGUUGAUUUCAUAGGAUAUUUGUGAUCUCCCAUAGGAUAGUUUUGACAUGCUCUGAUGAGAUUGUAAGUGACCUAUGCUCUGUUUGAUGAUGAGCCUAUUGUGAAUACACAAUUACCUUUAUCUCAAAAAAAUUAUAAAGAUCCCUAUUGGAUUUGAUACUGAACAAAGUCAAGGUAAGGUGUACAGAUUGCAGAAAACUUUAUACGGUCUUAUGCAAUUCCCUAGAGCUGGUUUGAUAGAUCUUGUAAAGCAACGAUCUUUUUUGGCUACCAACAAACCAAUGUUGACCAUACCCUCUUCGUGACAACAAAAGAGUAAACUCACUCUUCUCAUAGUUUAUGUUAAUGACAUAAUAGGAGAUGAGAAAGAGGAGAUAAUCCAAUUGAAAAGUUGUUGGCACAAGAAUUGGAAAUCAAUGAUCCAGGAAAAUUACAUUUAUUGGGAAUUGAAGUUUCUAUGUCAAAAAGAGGGUUCUAUCUCUCAAAAGGAAGUAAAUUCUAGAUUGCCAAGAGACUGGUAUGAUAAGUUGCAAACCAGCAAAUUUGCCCAUCGAAAGUAAUCACAAGUUUCAAACAGGAGUCGGAGAGCAAGUUGAUAAGGAGAGAUAUUAGAGAUUGAUUGGAAGAAUCAAUUGCUCACACACACUAGACCAACAUAAACUAUUCAGUCAACCUGAUGAGUCAGUUUAUGCAUGACCACAAAAUAUCACUAUAUCAUCAGCAUACUGUAAAUGACAUACCUCCAUUGUCGCCCUACUGUCUUCUAUCUCAAAACCUUUAACCCACCUAUUCUGCAAUGUUAUCCUCAUCAUGCUAUCAAAUCCUUCCAUUGCUAGUAUAAACAGGAAAGGAGACAAGGGGUCACCUUGCCUACCUAAGGCCCCCCUUUCAGAAGCAAAACACCCACAGCUUCUAGUUUCUCCAUUCACAAGAAAAGAGAACCUACCAGUUUAAAUGCAAAAUUCUAUCCAUUUCUCAGCCCAUUUGUCUAAUAAGAAUAUUCAGCAAGAAUUUCAAGUUGACAUGAUCAUAAGUUUUUUCUAUGUCUAGCUUGCACAUGACACCUGCUUUUGCACCUUUAAGUCUAGAGUCCAUAAAUCAUCAGCAAUUAGAGUUGCAUCCAUGAUCUGCCUCCCUCUUAUAAAUGUCAUCUUAUGCUUGUUAACCAAAUUGUUAACUACCUUGUUAAGUCUUUCAGCUAGUAACUUUGCCACAAUCUUGUACAUUCCACCUAUGAAACUUGUAGGUCUACAGAUUUUCAACUCUGAAGCUCCUAACUUUUUCUGGAAUCAAAGUUAUGAUGAUUGCAUUGAAGCUUUUCUCAAACUUCUGAUUUUCAUGAAUGUAUUGGAGUGUCUUCAAAAUGUCCUCUUUCAUGAGCUAGAAAAAAGGACAUAUGAAAUCCAUCAAGCCCAGGUGCCUUCUCCAUUGCAGACAAUUUAUUGCUUCCUAGGAUUUCUGCCUCAUCAAAUUGUCCGUGUAAACCCUCUUGUCCUUUGACAGAGAUCUCUGUAACUUCAUGUAGCACUAAUUCUGGACUUCACUCUUCAGUCUCCAUGUUAAUGUUCUUGUACAAAUUCUGAAUAGCUUCUUUGAUCCCCUCAAGAUUUGUCACCUCAACACCCUCCCACACCUUCAGGUUAUCUAUGGAAUAUGCCCUUUUAUGAGCAGUAGAUAUCCUACAGAAAUAUUUUUUAUUUUUGUCUCGUUUCAACAAUUGUAUCCUUGAUGUUUGUUUCCAUACUAUCUCCUCGUUUUUUGAUACAUCUUCAAACUCCAUAGCUGAAUUUGACUUCCUACAUUAUCUCAUCAUUUGUGAGACUUUGUUCUUGGAUAACCUCCAAGUUUGUCAAUUGGUUGAGAGUGUCUUCCUUUCUCUGUUUCCAGUUGCCCUGUUAUAACUGUACUUCACAGCGUAAACAAAAGAAAUUGUUCCAACUCAGUGCAGUCAUUGGCUUACUUUGCUCUCUCAAGCUAAAAUACAAGCUUAUUCUAAGUGCUCAUCUACAGCAAAAAGAAUAGUAGCUCAAUUAUCAAACUGCUGAAAUGCUUUUUGCAGGCAGAUUAGAAAUACCAUAGAAUACUAGCUCUGAAUAUAAGUGGAUCAAGAGUACACUCCAUAUCUUCUACGACAUUUCAUAGAGAAAUGAGGCAAAUCGAAGAGAUAGUUACAGGCUAAAUAACAUUUCCAGAUUGUACAAGAAAUCAACAGCCAGUCCAGUGUUUGCUGAAGAAGAACUUAGUUAGUCCAAAUUGCAGAGUGUACAUAACAGGCACCUCCCAAAUGGUUGUCUCUUUGUUUUGCAAUGAGAAGUUAUGCUUCAGUUCCAAGAGUUGACACGUAAUAUCUUCCACAACAAAAGGCCUGACCUUCCGAACCCCAUUUUCAGAUAUAAAGAUCUUGAAUUCCAAUUUAUGCUACCAAAAUCCAAUAAUAUUCACUAAAGCACAGGACUAAUUUUUAAUAUUUCUCUACUGAGACUAAUCCUAGAAACAGAGAAGAACAAUUAAAGUUUAUACGAUGCACAUGCUGGCAUUUAGUCAAGAGUACCUUGAGAAGACCAUAGGGGUUCAGUAGGAGAUUCCACAAGAGUAGGAUCACCACCAGCAACACAAAUGCGGUUUUGCACAUCCCUAGGGGAAAGACAAAGAACGGCAAAGAGCAAAUCAACAAGUAGAUGGUUAUGUUCCUCAUAUACCAGGACUCAUAAUUUAAUUAUUUAUUUGGAAAGUGGUGAUAACUUAUGCAGGCCUAAACAAAAUUUGAUCUUUCGGUGGAUGUGCCUCCUCUUGUUGGUAGGAGCGUAAGUGUGUCUUAUAGAUGCACAUGUCUGUGUGUUUGUGACUGUGUGCACAUGUGGGAGAGAGGGAGGGAGAGGGAGGGAGGGAGGGAGGGAGGNNNNNNNNNNNNNNNNNNNNNNNNNNNNNNNNNNNNNNNNNNNNNNNNNNNNNNNNNNNNNNNNNNNNNNNNNNNNNNNNNNNNNNNNNNNNNNNNNNNNNNNNNNNNNNNNNNNNNNNNNNNNNNNNNNNNNNNNNNNNNNNNNNNNNNNNNNNNNNNNNNNNNNNNNNNNNNNNNNNNNNNNNNNNNNNNNNNNNNNNNNNNNNNNNNNNNNNNNNNNNNNNNNNNNNNNNNNNNNNNNNNNNNNNNNNNNNNNNNNNNNNNNNNNNNNNNNNNNNNNNNNNNNNNNNNNNNNNNNNNNNNNNNNNNNNNNNNNNNNNNNNNNNNNNNNNNNNNNNNNNNNNNNNNNNNNNNNNNNNNNNNNNNNNNNNNNNNNNNNNNNNNNNNNNNNNNNNNNNNNNNNNNNNNNNNNNNNNNNNNNNNNNNNNNNNNNNNNNNNNNNNNNNNNNNNNNNNNNNNNNNNNNNNNNNNNNNNNNNNNNNNNNNNNNNNNNNNNNNNNNNNNNNNNNNNNNNNNNNNNNNNNNNNNNNNNNNNNNNNNNNNNNNNNNNNNNNNNNNNNNNNNNNNNNNNNNNNNNNNNNNNNNNNNNNNNNNNNNNNNNNNNNNNNNNNNNNNNNNNNNNNNNNNNNNNNNNNNNNNNNNNNNNNNNNNNNNNNNNNNNNNNNNNNNNNNNNNNNNNNNNNNNNNNNNNNNNNNNNNNNNNNNNNNNNNNNNNNNNNNNNNAUUAUGGCCGUACCCAUUUUCUGAUAUAUAACCAACCCAAAGCUCUGAUCUGUCCCAUGGCAUAUUUGGGUGACCCCAUUCAAUCCAUGCCAUACGGUCCCCUUUGGGGUCAAUCCGAGGAGAAGCAUAAAAGUCAUUCCCCCCAAUUAACAGCCUUGGUUCUGCAUUUAUGUGCCAAACAAGCAAAAAAAAAAAAAAAAUUAAGAUCAGAAAUUCACUCAUUGUACAGUCCACCAAAUAUUGCCUAGGAAGGGGAGGGGCAAUACGAAAACAAUUGAAUAGCCCUUCAUAAUGUACAAACAUUUGUUGACAGUUUUCUAGCCCAUCACCGAGAAACAGAUGUAAAAGCAAAGAAAAUUCACAUUGAAUCAUGGUAAACCAAUACUGACAGAUUCUCACCUUGAUCGCUGUUACUGCUCAGAUCGAUAGACACAAUUGUGGUAAUCGCAUUUAUACCACUUUCACGUUGAUCUACAGAAGGAGCAAGGAAUAGGAUAAAAUUUCUCAGAGAAUCAAGCUAAAAUUUUGAAGGAUAAUGAAUAUAGAGAACUUACCUUCUCUCACUGUCACAUAACGGUUAAAGCGAGAGUCAAACACUCCAUCAGCAUAGCAUACACUCCGUCCGCCAUAAUCUGGAGUGAGGGGCAACGGAGCAGAAUCUAGUACCAAAAUAACAAGGAUCAAUUGGAAAGAAACAUCUCAAAAAUAUUGAUAAUAAAUAUGAUGAAACAACAACAACAACAUACCGGGUGUAAUCCCAUGGGUGGGGUCUGGGGAGGGUAGAAUGUACGCGACCUUACCCCAACCUUACAAGGUAGGGAGGCUGCUUACAAAAAAAACUCUCGGUUCAAGUAACACAUAUCAAAGCAGUUUAAAGUUUUUUGAAAAAUUUACAGAAGUAAAGCAGACAUAGAAUAUAAUAGAGAAAUCAUCACAUGGCAUUCAGAUAAAGGAACAGCAACAACAAAAUAAUGCCAUAACCAAAGCAAAGAAACAAUAGGCUGCAACAUAAAUCGAAGGACAAGAAACUACGAGACUAGUACUAAUGCUAUUGGUAUGCAAAUAGUAUAUGAUGAACUAUAUGCUAAAAUGAAAGAGCUUCAAACUUCCAAAAUUAAUAUGAACCAACUUGCUACCUGCGAGACAGUUUCUUUUUUCUUUUCUGGUUAUUUCAAUUCAACAAUAACCAUAAAAACGGACAGAUUAAAUAUGGCACAUUUGUAAACGAGCGGCUGCUAAUAAACCCAAAUAUGUACAUAAACAAAAUUGUCUCUCCAUCGAAGCUUAUAUUAAAUAUACUACAAAAUAGUAAAACUGGAAGCAAUUAUAUUCAACUGCAUUCAAUGACAUAGAAAACAAAGGAAAAUGAAGACCUAUGGACGAAAUGGACUGUUUAUAAAGUCUCUGAUCCUUGUAAUUAGAGAAGAUCAAAAUGUCUCCUUGUAUACAAAAAUCACCACCACCAUACUCCUGAGCCAACGUCCUCACAGCAAAAUCUUUAGGAGUUACAUCUAUAGGGUCUUCCCCUGGUUUCCCUGGUUCCUUCACAAUAACCGCUCGUCUGAAUCCAUAACAAUAAAAAAAACUCAAACUUCACACAGAAUCCACAAAAAUAUAUCACAAACUUUAUGGGUUUUGGGGUUUAAACACGAAGACAGUAAACAUGAGUUUACAUGCAAACUAUGAUAGUGGAACAAUCAAAAAUUCAAACUUUACAUGAAAUCCAGAAGGAGAAUAUCACAAUCUUUAUGGGUUUUGGGGUUUACACAUGACGAAAGUAAACAUGUGUUUCAAAUGCAACUUAUGAAGGCAUAUGAAUAAGCUUUCAAACUCAACAUAAAACCUCCUCAAGAAAACAUCAAAAUGUCUAUGUGUUUUUGGAUUUAAGAGCGAAGACAGGAAACAUGAGUUUCAAAUGCAAAUCAAGAAUGCAUAACAAUAAAUAUUCAAACAUGACAGUAAAAUCCAUGAGAAAAUUUUACAAUCUUUUUGGUUUGAACACAAAUCCAUAAACAUGAGUUUCAUAGGCAAACUAACUUUUUUUUUAUGACCGAGGUGUCCGGGCCAGCUUUCGUGCAGCUCAACUAAUUCCAUAGGAUACCUGUCACCUCCCACCAACAACAGGUACCAGCUAACGUUGUCCACCAAGGCUAGGACAGAUGGUAAGAAUAACCUAGUGUUUUUUUGUCUCCGUAGAGUUUUAAACCUGAGACCUCAGGAUUCUCAACCACUUCAUUGACCACUAGGUCUAGGUGACACCCUUAGGUGCAAAAACUAAUUUUUUUUUGGUUUAACCAUCAAUUUACAUAACCCACUGGUCUGAUUAAUCUGUAUUCAUGAUUGGUCCAUUAAAGGGGAAGCAUGUGCCACUCCUCACCCAUGAUUACUCCAUUCCCAAGGCUCGAAUUGCUCGAACCCCAGACCCAGACCUCUGAUUAAGGGUGGAGGAAUCUCCUCUAUGGCUCUAUCUCACCACACCUCUUGGUGGAGCUAGUGUGGUGUUCAUAGGCAAAUUAGGAAUGCAUAUGAAUCAGAAAAUCAAACUAAACAUAAUCCUCAAAAAAUAUCACAAUCAUUAUGAGCUUUGGGGUUUAAACAUUAAGACAGUAAAUACAGCUUUCAUAGGAAAAUUAUGAAUACACAAGAUAUCAAAACGCAAAUUACAAAAAACAAACAAAGAAACAUCACAAUAUUUAUGGGGUUUCGGGUUUAAAUAUGAAGUUAGUAAACAUGAUUUCAUAUGAAUGCACAAGAAUUAAUAAUUUAAACUUUUAGAUAAAACCCACUAAAGGAUAUGACAAUGAUUAGGGGUUUUGAGGCUUCAUAUGUACUGUACCCGGAUUCUGUAGGUCGAGAUUCUAGCCAGAAAAGAUGACCAAGUGAAUCAACCGAAAAGCCACCGAGGCGUUUAGUGGAUCCAGAAACGAUAUCAGCGGUGAUGGGCGACUUCCAAGAACCAUAGGGUGCUAUGUGUUUCUUGACAUUGGGAUUUGUAGAAGACAUUCUGAUGGGAAUAGAGAGUUUUCUGGUGAGUAGCUUUGUUGAAGGAGUAAUGUGAAUGAGUGAAGAUGAGAAUGAUGAUACUGAUACAGAGUAGCAGAAAGCAUAGUGACGAGUGAGAGUGGCUAUGCCUGAAAAACCCAUUCACUGACCCUUGAGCAGGCCCGAAUCUACAUGGACUAUUCUUUUGCCUCUAUUCACACAGAUUUUUCAAGAAAGGUAUAUUUUGUCAAAUUAACUUUAUUUUUGAAUUUUCAAUUUGAUUACUAUUACUAGUUUAUUUAGUUAUUUAAUACUAUGGAUAUUGUAAGGGGGAAUUUUGAUUUGCUUAAAUCAUAUAUUUAUAUAAAUAAAAGAGAACUUUAGGAUCGCCUACGUGGCGCCACCACAAAUCAAAAUUCUCUUUUAACUAGUAAAUGGGCCCACGCUUCACGCGGUUAGAUUAUUUUUCUUUAAAAUUUAUUAGAAUAGAACUUUUCUUGUAUUUUGAUGUUAUAACAUUUUUAUAUUAAUAAAUUUUCAAGAGUAUAGAGGUUAUUCAAUUGUAGUUUACCAUUUAUUUUAUUAAAAGAAAAGGCAAAAUUACAAAUCAUAACAUUAUUUUCUCCUAGUUUACAUAAUUUCAUUUUACAGAUUCAUUAAUUUACUUUUGAAAUUUUACAAUGGUUAGUUUAGUUUUACCAUCUAUAUGCAUGGAUACAUAGUGUCUUUAAUUAGAGAGUCAAAUAAAUAUUUUUCUCAAUUUUCUUCUUUGCAAAUUCCAUUAGUAUAACACUAUCAAUUACUUUCAAAAUUAAAUAUUUAUAUAACCAAUGAGUUUAUCAAGAGCAAAGGUUCCAUAAUUAGAUGAUAUAUUAAUAAGUAAUAUGUAGUCAUUAUGUGUUUUAAAAUUAAAAUGCAAUCUUCCAAAAUUCAAAUUUCAUAUGUAAUAAUAUAGUUAUGAUGGUGUUUGGGAAUUGAAGGUGUUUACGAACAAAAUAUUAAGGAUCCUUGAAAAGGGUGAAAGAGAAGUAAGAGAUAAUGGAAAAAAAGUUCAAAAGAGUAACUUUGGUGCGAGAGAAUAGUCAUUAUUGCGUAUCAUACAAUUGUAAUUAAUUGCUAGUUUUAGUUCUAUCAUUUGAGUUUCUUUUUUUUUUUACUCCUGUUAAUAUUAACAUUAUUAUGACAACAACAAAAAAUCAUAUAAAUUUCUAGGCUUGAUCUUUUGGAGAAGCAUAGAUAUCUUUGGAGAAUGUUGUAAAGAAAUGUAUUAUGUAAAAAGUUAUUUGUGAAUCUGCAAUAGUUGGAUUUACAUAGAGUCUGUACUAACAAAUACUUAUAACAAUAACUUUAAAGAAACAUAAACAACAAAGUUUAAAACAUGUAUUCAAAAACAACAAUUAAUAUCAUAAGCAUAAAUUAAUGACUGUAAAAAAAAAUACCAGGAUCUGUAACAAUAGAAUGAAACAAAAUGGAAAAAUUGAGCUCAUUGAAUGCACAGUGUUUCCUUAAGGAAAUCAUUCUCCUCUAGUACCUGAGGUUUAAAGAAAUAGAUCAUCUCAUGAUGAAACGAUUUUAUUCACCAGUGUAAUAAUACAAAAACAAUAGUGUCAGUGAGUCACUCAACAUGAGCAAAGUACAUAAUAUUUAAUUGUGUAGAAGAAGAAGAAGUUCAUAAUCAAAUAUUUAAUUGUGCAGAAGAAUAAGAAGAAGUUCAGAAUUUUCGUUGUUUUAAAAUGAGAGGGAACCCCUCUAUUUAUAUACAACAAAGGGUAGUGUGAACAAAUUUUUAUUGUGCCUUACCGAAAAGGUCACAACCUUUCAUAAAAUUACAACAUUUCAUAAAAGUCGCAACUCUUCAUAAAAGUCAUAACUUUUCAUAAAAGUCACAACUUUUAAUAAAAGUCGCAACUCUUCAUAAAAGUCAACAUUUCAUAGAAGUCACAACUUUUCAUAAAAGUCAACAUUUCAUAAAAGUUGCAACUCUUCAUAAAAGUCACAAUUUUUCAUAAAAGUCACAACUUUUAAUAACAAUCACAAUUUUUCAUGAAAGGGAAGGCUAAUUUUGGAAAUAAAUAAAUUAAAAAGGAAUCCUUAUUUGUGAUGGCGCCACGUAGGCGGGCCUAGGAUUCUCUUUUAUAUAUAUAUAUAUAUAUAUGAUAUGAUUUAUUUAUUUCCAAAACUAGUAUUCCCCUUUAAUGAAAAGUUGUGACAUUUAUGAAAUGUUGCAACUUUAACGAAAAGUUGUGACUUUAAUGAAGAGUUGUGACUUUUAUAAAGAGUUGUGACUUUUAUGAAAAGUUGCAACUUUAAUGAAGAGUUGCGACUUUUAUGAAAAGUUGUGACUUUUAUGAAAGGUUGUGACCUUUUCGAAGGGUUGCAACUUUUCCAAAUAGUUGUAACAUUUCCGAUAAGGCACAAUAAAUAUUUGUUCACACAACUCUUUGUUUUCUAUAAAUAGAGGGAUUUCCUCUCAUUUUAGAACAACAAAAAUUCUGAACCUCUUCUUCUUCUUCACAAUUAAAUAUUUGUGUGCUUAGCUCCUGUUGAGUGGCUCACUAACACCAUUGUUUAUGUUACAGAUCCUGGUAUGUAUUUUUAUGGUCAUUAAUUUAUGUUUAUGCUAUUAAAGAUAAAUGAUAAGAUGUAAUAAUUUUCAUUUUUCUUUACAUUAUUAAUGUUUGUUACUACAUAAUCUUGUAUGUGAGAUAAUAUAGUGUUUUAGUUUUAUUGAUCGAUAGAUUUUAAGUAUUAUUUUAAAAUUCUGUAAGGGUAAUUUUUACUAGUGAAUAAAUAAAAUAAAAAUAUUAUUUUCAAUAUAAGAAUCAAAUAAAAUGAAACAAAGGAAAUCUCCCUCUCUCCAACAAUAUUUGUCCACCAUUUAAGAAACUAUAAAUAGAAGGGUAAUUUUAUUAUAUCACACUUUGAAUAUAAUAAAUAUAAUGUCUUAAAAAAUGUAAUAUGGAAAUGACUAUAAUUAAUGAUAAGGGUAAAUUAAGGACUAAGUGUAAAAAUUAUCCAUUGAUUUUAUAAAGUGGAUAAGUAUUGUUGGAUAUUUAAAAAUAGUAUAGUGGACAACUAUUAUUGGACGAAGGAGGGAGUACUUGUUUUCCUUUCUUUGGGGAAACUACAUAAAUGAGCCAUAAAAUCUAAACUAAUUCCUAAUAUACCCACUCUCUUAUAAAUAAUUACAACCCAUACCUCCCCCCCCCCUCAUUCCGAGCCACUUUAAUUUCUUAUUCAAACCCACCCAGUUUAUAACCCAACCGUUCGACCCACUUUCUUAUUCAAGCCCAUCCGAUUUAUCGUCCAACCGUCGUACCCACGUUAAACUAUGUGGAGCAACAUACGGCGAUUUUAACUACAAGCGGUUCUACCGUCAUUUGCAGUUUCUUUCUUCAUCUUGGUGAUUUUAUUCUGCCAUUGUCAGUCCAAUUUACUCAGCUUUGUAUGUGGUAGUUUUUCCUUUAUUCCACUUAUAUUCAAUUUUGUUUUUCAAUAAACUUAAUUUUGAAUCAAUUUUUGUUUCUCUGUCGUUUUUUGCUUGAUUUUUCAAAUUGUUUUCAGUGGAUCGUAAAAAUGUAGCAACUAGUUGUUGGUGGGGUCAUCGUUCUAUUUAUGCAAAUUCUGUUGACAAUGCUAGUGAUAAUGAUAAUAUAGGUGACCAAGAGUCGAAAGUUUCUAGCAUGUUUGGGUCAAGUUUUUCUCUUGAUUUGGAGGAUGAAAACAAAGAAGAUAAUGUCGGCUUAAAUGACAGAUUCGAUCAUGGAGAUGUUAAUGCUUGAACUAACCACAAUUCAAUUGUGGAUGUUGACAGGCCUGAUCAAAAUUCUGAUGUUACGGGUGACGGAAUCGGGGAUUAAUUGAAGAGGAAAGGGAAGACACACAUGGUUUGUGAUGAUACAAUUGCAUAAAAAACAAGGUACUCCUUGCAAUCCAAUUAUGAGUCGUUUUCCCAAACUGAAACUGAAAAUAUCGAUGGACCCUUGAAGAAGAAAUUGAUUAGUAUUCUUGUUUGAAGGUAUCAUUCUUAUAUCAUGCUAUUAUUUUGAUAAAUUAAUUUGAAAAAUUGACUUGCUAGAUGUUGAUAUUAUUAUCAUAUAUUGUUUAGGUAUCAUGUGUUGGUUCUAUUUGAUUAUACUAUUACAGUACCAGAUGUUAUGUUGGUAUCAUGCAUGCGUAAUGGUAUCAAAUAUUAAGUUUAUACCAUGCAUGUGUUUUUGUAUCAUGCCAUAACAUUAUAUGAAGAUAUUGUUAUGGUAUCAUUGAUUAUUUUUGCACACGGUAUGCUUAUCCUCUUUCGAUUAGUUGAUCUUUUGUGGAUUUGAACAUUUUAGUGUUUGUUGUUUUUGUUACUUUAUUAUAUUAUUCAACUAUCAUAUGUUAUUUGGGUACCAGGUAUUUGUUAAUGUCUUUAUAUACUUUAUUAUAUGAUACUAUUACUGUAUCAUAUAUUGUUUGGGUGUCACACCUCUUUUUCGUGCACGGCGGAUGUAGGAUUUUUCCAAUUUAAGUGAUGUUAUUGAUUAAGAAUUAUUUUAUUUUUCAAAGUCGCCACUUGGAAUUGAGUUAUGGUGUUCCAAGUCACCUUUUUGUUUAAUCCCUAAUCAAAAGGAAAUGACUCUUUAUAUGGUCUGCGAACUAGAAAUUCAGGUAAGGAAUUCUGUUGAUCGAUGGAAAGGUAUUAGGCAUCCCUCGAGCCCCGUGGUUCUAGCACGGUCGCUUUUAUUAAUUUAUACUUAUUUUAACUAUCUUUUGGAUAUAUUUUUAUAGGCCAUGAUUUGCUCGCAUUUUUAAUUUGUUGAACUUAUACUUGGUCUCAACCUAGAUGCGUAACCGCAUUCUUGGUCUUGACAUUUAGAGGCAUAACUGCAUUUUCCUCUCGAGUACCUCACACCUAAUAAUUCAUAUUUACAUCUCUUGAUUUGAAUUAAUGGAAGUUUAAUUAUUAAAAUAAUUUGACUAAGGUGCGUAACCGCAUCCUUGAAUUUGGCCAAGGUGCGUAACCGCAUCCUUGAGUUUCUUAAAUAUCUCAAAAAGAUGUGGAACCACAUUUUUAAUUGAGAUGAAAUUUAAUUAUUAUUGUUACAUGAACUAACAAAAAUUUUUUAAAAAAAUGUCUACUACAAUGAACCCACGUCAGUCUGGCACACUUCAUAGAAACACAAUCCAGAAUCUGAAGAAUGAUGGGCAUUGUAUGAUAGUCACCACUCGAGUUGGACAUAUACAAUCAACAUUAAGUCAAUAAACACUAGUACCCUAUUUAGAUUAUUAUUUUUUAUGAACAAAUUCAUUAUUAAAACAAAAACCAAAUUAAAUCAAUAUAGUAUACCAUUGUGCCCAGCAAAAUAACAUAAGUUAAACUACAAUUAAUACGAGUUGAUGUCAAUUAUACCACCUACUAAUAAUCAUUAUUAUACCAGAAAAUGAUCCAUAAUAAUCCACAUAAACAAACUAAUAAGCAUACGUACUGGAGAACAAUUAACACAAAAAUUUGAAAUGUAUCUUAUCAAAACCUCAACUAUUUUAUAAAAGUAGAAUAUAGCAUCCACACGCCCAGUAAAAAUAAGUAAAUAUCAUACCCCCUUUUUAGCAUACAAUGAAUAAUUAUCAUAUUAUACAAAUUUUAUUCUAAACUUAAGGAUAUAACAGGUUCACAUAUAUUUAAAUAUUAUAACAUUAAAGAAUAUUAACAGAUUAAACACAUACGAAAUCUGAACAACUUUAAUAUAUUGAAAUCAAUUCUUGUACAAUCAUGGCAUAACAUCAUACAAAAACAGAAUAUAAAUAAGUGUUACCUCUUGUGAAAAUUAGUUCACGAGAAGAAAGGACUAACAAUCAGGAGCCACGAACUUGAAACCGCGAAAAUAAACCUUGAAUUCAACCUUUAUUUUUGAGUGGAAAGGAAAAAAAAUAUAUAUGUAAUACGAAGAGGAAUACGUAUGCUGUAUGUGUGGGAGGAUAAGUAUGUUGCUGAAUUUUUCUUCUUCUGUUUUCUUGUACGUUUUUGUGUGUGAUGUGUUGUGUCUGUAGUGUGGGAGAGUUGUAGUAUAUUUUUUUUGGUUGAAUGUAGUGUUGUUUUUCUUUUUUUUUCUUUGGUUUCUCUUGCUCGUCUGUAUGUGUGUGUUUUUUUUUCUUUCUUUUUUCUGUAGUGUUUUUCUUUUUUUGAUGGUUGUGUUUUUGGUGUAUAAAUAUGUAUAGUGUGUAGUAGUGUAUGUGUGUGUUGUGUUGCUGAUGGAUUAGGUGUAGUACGUGUGGUCGGGGUGUGUAGUGGUGUAGGGGUUGAGGGGAGUGUAGUGUAGUGUAGGUGGAUUGUGGGUGAGUGGGUAGUGGGGUUGAAAGAGUGGGGGAGUUAAAGUUAUUAUUAUUUUUUACUAAUUAAUAUAAUAAGAAUAUUUUUAAAUUAACAAAAAUUGUAGCUAAUAAUAAAUUAUAAUUAAGAAAUACUAGCUUAUUUAUUAAACUAAAAUAAAUUAAAACAUGUAUUUUUUGUUAUUUACAAAUCUUUUAAAAUAAAACAUACUAAAAUAAGAUAAGAUUCAAAAUAUUUAAUUUAGAUUUUUAUAAAAUAUCUGAGCUCUAAAAAUGGUGUUAAACUUAAGUUCAGUAAAAAAUUAUGUGUCUACAGUGGAUAUCAUGUGUUUGUUCAAUUUGAUCAUACUAUUACAGUACCAGAUGUUAUGUUGGCAUUAUGCAUGCAUAAUGGUAUCAAAUGUUAUGCUGGUGCCAUGCAUCAGUUUUUGCUUCAUGCCAUAACAUUAUAUGAAUAUAUUGUUAUGGUAUCAUUGAUUAUUUUUGCACAUGGUAUGCUUAUCCUCUUUCUGUUAGUUGAUAUUUUGUGGAUUUGAACAUUUUAGUGUUUGUUGCUUUUGUUACUUUAUUAUAUUGUUCAAGUAUCAUAUGUUGUUUAGGUAUCUGAUAUUUGUUUGUCUUUGUAUACUUUAUUAUAUGAUAAUGUUAUUGUAUCAAAUAUUAAUUGGGUAUCAUGUAUUUGUUCAAUUUGAUCAUAUUAUUACAGUAUCAGAUGCUAUGCUAGUAUCAUGCAUGUUAUAUUUUUUAUGCUUUUUUUAAUUUUUAAUUUUGUUUUUUAUUUGCCUAGUGUAGUAAUCUGCAUGUUGUUAUUUUUUGCAGGAAGGUCAAUUUUUAAUUUAAAUGGAUGUUGAUUAUAAAACAACGAUUGACCAUAGUUUUGAUGCUUCUGUCAUUGCGAACAUAACUUCAAAGUUAACAAAAAAAUAACUUUUCGUGUUUAGAAAAACACAUUUUGAGGUGUUUUUACAUCUACCUCCAAUUGUGCUUCAUGGACGUGUUAUACACAACAUUAUGAUUAUGCGAAUAGUGUAUCACAUUGAUUCUGACUAUUUAUAUCUUGUUGUUAAUAGGGUAUAACUUCAAUUUGAAAUUGCUGAAUUUGCUCUUGUUACUGAGCUAUUAUGUAACGGUAGUACUACAAUUCAAAUUCUCUCAAACAGAAAUUGGUUGGUUCAAAGUUACUUUGACUGUCUAACGGUGACAUGAUUUGAUCUUUAUCAUGUGUUUCGUGCUGAAAAGUUCAAGUCUGAUGCUGAUGCAGUGAGACUAGCAGUUCUGGCUAUUCUCAAUACAUUCUUAUUCUCCACGGUUAAGACUAAAAUUCUUGAAAUGUCAUACUUUGAUUUGGUCGAGAACGGGGACUAUAAUUCAUACACUUGAGAAAUUAAUGUAUUCAAUGUGAUUGUUGAAACGUCUUUCAAAAAGUUUUAGACAAAGCCUGAAUAUUAUAGAUCUGGAGAAUUUUCUUUAACUUUGCAAAUUUGAUUUUAUGAGUGUUGCCUUGGUUUGAAUGAUCUAUUUGUUGAACAUACACGGUCUGAAGUGCCUAGAAUUUUAAAUUAGACAAUACACAAAUAGUUGACACAUGAUUUUGUUUAUUUGCGCAUAUUUGACUUAGCACAUAAUGAGAUAUCUGUAUUUUUUUAUUUAUCAAUUAUAACUCAUUUUUUCAUCGAACUUUUUUGUAACCUGUUUAUUCCUUUCAAAUUUCUAGGUGAAUAACUACCAACUGAAAAUGAAAUUGUUUUACUUGAUUUGGUUGAUUUUGUUUUUAGAAGUAGUCCUGGUGCUGAUCAAAGUGAGCAUUUAAGUAAUCAGUUUUUUUACAUAUAACUAGCAAAGCCUGAUGUUGGCGAUGAGAAAUCACCUAUUAGUGCUGAUUUGAAGGAAGACAUUAAUGGGUUGAAAACACAUGUUGAUGAGAAGUUUAAAGAGAUUCUUGAAGCUUUUAGUUUCUUGAAGAACAAGUUAAAUGUAAUAUAGUUUUCAAGUUUUAGUGAUAUACUAUAUUUGUAUCAUAUUUUGUAUUUUGAACUUUUUUUGUGUUUUGUAUGAUGCUUCUUUUUUUUAAAUGUUUUUUGAUCUACAUUGUUUGUUUUAAUGUUUAUGUUUUUAAAAUUACAUGUUGUCUAUUUUUUUUUUUAUCAUUAGUAUGCAUUUUUAGUUUCUUUUUGGUUGACAUUUAUGUAGGGGAGAAAAAAGGAUGAAUAUGUUAAUUUUAGGGAUAAUGUUGCUAUAGAUUUGGAUAACGAUGCUGUAGAAUCUCCAUUCAAGUCACUAAGUCACCUGUAUUAGAAGUUCAUGAUGAUAUUCAAUCAUUGAAGGCUGAUAUAUGUAUUGAUGAUAAGACAUCAAAGAAGUUUAAAGGUGAGCUAAGUGUUGAACAAGAUUCUGAUGUUGGUUUUCUUUAUCUUUCACUGCUGCUAUUGAUGCUAUUGAAGAGGAACAUUGUAGAAAAAAAAAACAAAUGCUUUAUCUGCAAAAGAUCAAGAUUAUGUUGAUAGUUUGUUUGUGUCACAACCCAAAAAUGGACGUGAUGACACUCGUCUUAUCCCACCAAGACAAGUCAGCCUAAAAAUCAACCCUUACAAUAAAAUGCGGAAAUUUUAUUAAUCAACUCAACAAUACCCCAAAAAUUUGGUUGUCACGUGUACAAACCUCUAAUGUGUUAUAACAAAAUUGAAGGAAAAUACAAGUUCAAUGACAUUGUUUCUAGAACAGAACAAGAUCAUAAUUAAGGAGAAAGAAGGUCCGCUGAAAUGAAAAACAGCUACCUCACAAACCUCCACAAGAAGCCUCAGACGAGGAGAAGAGAAAAAUAUCACAAAAGUCUGGGCUAGUAACCUACAAAAAAAUGUAGUAGCAAGGGGUGAGUACCAACCACACGGUACUCAGCAAGUAAACUUCUAAACACAAGCUAAGGGGAUAGAAUACGGGUACUCCUUACACCCCUACCGAACCUCCACAACUACAACCUGCAUAAAACUAGCCCAACCUAACAGUUCACAGUUACAUAGCACCCAGCUCAACAACAAUCACUUUAACAAAUUACAUAUCCUCAACAACAAACUCAAUAUUCAUCAAUCACAACUUCCACAAAAAAGGCACUCACAAAUAUCAGUAACACACAAGAUCAAGUUCAUCAAAUAGAGGUAAUCAAAUAUCAAGUACUUUCCAACCACCAAUAAAACACAUAAUCAUCAAGAAUGAAGGAUGUCAUGGGAUGCAAUGCACUAUGACACCAUGAAAUGAUAUGCCUCAAAAUACCAAGUACUCUCUCAACCAUAUAUACAUGAUACUCCUCGGAAAAUACAUUGAGAGUUCAUGACCCAUGGGGGGACUUGCGAGGUCCAUAUACCGACACGGUUGAUCUCCACGUGUCUGUGCGGACGAUCUCAACGUACUAUCAUAAAUCAAACAAUCCCCAGAACCACUAGUUACAAAACCAGUGGUGGAACCGCAUAAGCCAAGGAGCCAACUCCUCGCAUGUAACCUUCCCAUGAAUCAGACCCCAAUUUCAAAAAUAUGUAGCCAACAAUCAGUCAAAUCUCAUUCUUAUUUGCCUUUAAUAAAUAACCUUAACUCUCCAAUUCACAUCUAAUAUAAUAUUGUUAUAUAAAUAUAUAUGCAGCAAUUAAUGAAAGCAUAUGCAUAUGAGAAAUUGAAAAUUUUGGUUGAAUUUUCCUUACGUGAAGUAGUUUCUCCAUCUUUCAGUUCUACCAUCUUUGGUCCGUGUUCACGCCAUACGCACGCAGGUUAGUUUUCUGCUCCACUUUAUUUUAUUUUCUGAAUAAAUCAGGUUCUAAAAGUGAUAAACCCUAAUAACCUAUUUUAAUAUAUGGGUAAAAACAAAUUAUAAUUUGAUCCAUUAAUCACCAAUUAAAUUAAAAGAGAUUAUUUAAUAAAUACCUGCCAAUUUAGUAACUAUAAUUAUCGAAUAGUUCAAAUUUUCAAAUCAACUUCACUGACUAAUCAUAAAUGACUCGGGACAACUAUCGGUAGGGAUAAAAUAGUAAUUUUGUAUAAAUUUCUAAAAAUAACUUUACGGGUCAUUACAGUUUGGUGCCAUUAGUGACACUCAAUUAGCAGCUAUUACACAAGUUGUUGUUAACGUACUGGCAAGUAAAUCUAAUGCAUAUUUGAAUGUUCCUGCUGGCCUGGUGUUAAAGAUAUUGAUCAUGAAGUUGAUAUUUCUUUGAUAGGACAUGUCAUAGAUAAGUGUGAAGUUGAUGGGACUUUGAAAGGAGAUAUUGUUGUAGAUGUUGUUGUGAUAGUGCAUCUCCAACUGUAGAGGUUAUGAUAGACCCUGUGUCUCAUCAUGGUAGGAUUUUGAAAGGUGAUGUUGCGGUAGAUAGAUAUUGUUCUGAAAAAUGAAGCUGGUGGAUCUCGAACUGCAUUGAUCAUGACAGAAUCUGUGUUUGAUCAUGGCAACGUAACACAUAUGCUGAAAUUGAUUCUCGAGCUACUAUUUUUACUGAGUCUGACUCUGUUGAGUGUUGCUGCUGUUGGGUUAUGAGGGGUGAUUAGGGCGCCACGCUGAAGCUUACAAUUUGCAAAUCAUAUAAUUGAUAAAUCAGAUAACAAAAACUUAUACUAAAAAUCAAAAUAUUAUUAUAUCAAAACUAAUAUAAAAAAUAUUGAAACUUUAGAGAGAAUAAAUCUCCCCAUAAACAAGACUCUUAAACGACUACAUUGUGGAUGUUAUUGUUAUUGUGUUAGAAGAAACAAACCUAUAUUUAUAGAGUCCUAAAACCUUUCCUACUAGAAAAGGAGUCCUAAAAGGAGAGAAUAAACCAAAUAUAAAAUAAUAUUAUAUUUUCCUUUCAAGAAAAGUAAAAACAUUUAUGGUAAUGUUUUGUUUUUUCUUUAAGGAAAAAUAAAUCUUAAAUUAUGGUAAGAAAAUCAGGGCGAAACCCUAACAAAUCUCCCCUUUUGGCUGGGUUUUCUUGACAAAGCUUGAUCUGUCUUCUUCAUNNNNNNNNNNNNNNNNCAGGGUUGAAAGUGGAGCUCAUGCGUUAAAAGUAAAUACAUGAGUUAAAAGUGGUGCCCGAGCAUUAAAAGUUUGCUGGGGUUGAAAGUUGAUUUUGUUUUUAAGGAUAAAGCAGCAUGAUAUGUUGAAAAUAUAUAUUGAAAAUUUUCUCCACAUGUAGUAACACAAAAAUCUUCAUUAUCAUCACGUUGAUUGCAAAUUGAUUUGAAACCACUUGAACCUGUCGUCAAUCUUGUCCAACCAUUGAAUUAUUGAACCAUGUGCUCUGAUACCACUUGUUGGGUUAUGAGGGGUGAUUAGGGCGCCACGCUGAAGCUUACAAUUUGCAAAUCAUAUAAUUGAUAAAUCAGAUAACAAAAACUUAUACUAAAAAUCAAAAUAUUAUUAUAUCAAAACUAAUAUAAAAACAUUGAAAAUUUAGAGAGAAUAAAUCUCCCCAUAAACAAGACUCUUAAACGACUACAUUGUGGAUGUUAUUGUUAUUGUAUUAGAAGAAACAAACCUAUAUUUAUAGAGUCCUAAAACCUUUCCUACUAGAAAAGGAGUCCUAAAAGGAGAGAAUAAACCAAAUAUAAAUAAUAUUAUAUUUUUCUUUCAAGAAAAGUAAAAACAUUUAUGGUAAUGUUUUGUUUUUCUUUAAAGAAAAAUAAAUCUUAAAUUAUGGUAAGAAAAUCAGGGCAAAACCCUAACAGCUGCUAAGUGUUUUAUACCUGAAGACACUAAAGUAGUGGAGAUCUUUGAUUAUGCAAAGACGCCAGUUGGGCCGUAAUUAUUCAGAAAUAGGCGUCCUGGUCCAGCAUAAAUGUCACCAUUUGUUGGUGGAUCUAGAAUUAGUAAGUUAGGCUCUGUUUUUGUGAAAUGUGUGAAAGGCGGGUCACCAUUAAGGUUGAGUAUUACAUUACUUGUUGACCCUUUGAUUGAAUCGUCUUUCUUCCAAUUCAUUGGCAAAUAUAUGAUCACAAAAAUGUAUGUUUGAUUAUUUUUUUGUGUUGUCUAUUUUGUAGACAUAAAACGUGUAUUUUUUUGUAUAUUUUUGCAGCAAAAGCGUUACUAUGAAUUCAAAAGAUAAUGAUGUUCUUGAUUCAUCCUUUGAUUUUGAAGCGUCUUCUGUUGCAUCAAAGACUUGGUUUCAUAUGCUGAAUUAUGCUAGAAAAAUCGUUAUUUGAUGAUGUAUGUAUUCCUUUAAUGUCUAUGUUGUUACUUUUUAUAAAUUCAUUUCGUGAGUAGUACAUACUUUUGUCCUGAAUUUUCUUACAUAAAUGUAUAUUGAAAAUAUUAAAUCUUAAUUUUACAACUAUAGAGUAUAUGUAUAUUGUAUAGUAUUACUCUUAUAGUUAACGGACUAUUUAUGACAUUUUUUAUUAUAAGUAACAUAGUCAUAUAUAGAGGCUUUAACAUGAGUUCAAGAAAGUUUGUGUGCCCACAUAGAUAUAUUACUAGAUGGCAUUAGCCCACGCAACGCAAGCAUGGGUCUACACUUUAUGUGUUAUAGAAAAUUACCUAAAUAUUUAACUUAUUUUAUCAUAUUUUCUAAAAUUUCCUACCAUUUAAAAAAAUUACAAAAAUUUCUACUCUCUCCUAUUCUCGGAUACAUUACUUUACGCGAUGUAUCGAUCGAAUACAUCACUUUACGCGAUGUAUCGGUCUGAUACAUCACGUAAUGUGAUGUAUUGGGACAUAUGCGAUGUAUUGAGACAUUGAGUGAUGUAUUCGAGAAUUGAGAUGCGAUAAAUCAAGACGUUGAGGGAUGUAUCCGACACCAGAAUGCAAUGAAUCAAAACGUUUUGGAAUGUAUCCAAAUUCUAUCAAAUUUAAGGAGUUUUUGUAAUUUGAAAAAGAGUAGAAAUAAAAUGUGAUAAACUCUUUAACAUUAUGAGAUUUGUGUCAAAUUCCAGUAUGUUAUGCCAUAUUUCAGUUGGUGAACAGUCUUGUAUUCUUAUUCUAAAAUCCAUACAUAUAGAAAUGACAUUAUCAUCCUAACUAUAAUAAAAUAUAUUUUUUCCUAAAGUAGCACGAAGAAUUGCUUUAUGAAAACAAAGCAUAAUAUUUUUCAAAAUUUUUAAACUAAAAGUUCACAAUACAAAUAUAAAUACGGUAGCAAAAUACAAUUACUUAAAAGGAAAAUAAUAUUAAAACCAUUAAUAUUUAUAUGUAUGCUCCUUUAUCACUGAGCGGUCAUUUAGGGGCCUUAGCUAGUUGUUGGGACGGGUUCAAACUGGACUGAAGGGAGGAGGAAAAAAAAGAGUCCUCUCUUCCUGGGUGAUCACUCGCUCCUUAUCUAGAAAUCCAAUAUGGUUUGAAGCGCUAGACGAAUUUAGAGUUUGCAUGGACUCAACACCGCCUCUCUUUAUCAAGGAUCGCUGUGACUAAUCAAUUCAGGUUAAGCUAUCCAUCCCGCCCUCUGGAACAGGAUGUUAUAGAUUCGGGUAUUUGUCCACAAUAUUCAUCUAGUAAACUUAAAAACAUAAUAGUCGAAAAAUGAAUUUAUAGCCCUUUUAGGCUUUUCGUUUCAAGAGAAGUUGAAGACCUGUUUAUCAGAACUCGAAAAGUGAAAAGAGAGUAAUAUUUUGUUUUAUCCAUUAUCCCUUUCAAUAUAAGCAUUCUAAUCUGAACCAAUUUUAUUUAUUAGUUUUAAAUAUAAUUUGAGCCAAAGACUCAUCAUCGUGAUACUAAAAUGAGAAGCACCUUUAACAAUUUACUAUAACAAAAAAAAAAACACUACACUAUUUGCUUUCUGUUGUAAGAAAAUGAAGGAUGCCACUUGGAGACUAUCAAUUUAGUGACUUUCAUCACUUAUCAUGGUGUAAGGCAAAUAUGCAUGUCAUGUGGAAACCAUCUUUUGGGAAACUAUCAACACUUGGCAAUUAGUAGCCAAGUUAUACAUUUGUACUUUAGCUUUCUACUAUAAAUAGCUACUACAUUUACAAAUGUAGGAAUAUAGAUUGAAAGACAUUACUCUCUCCAUUGUUCUCUUUUUUAAGUGUGUUAAUCUUAAGUUUAUUAAGUAAUUAUUUUAUAACACUUUCAAUAGUAUUUGAGUUUGACCAAUGGAAAAAAAAAAUCAGAAAGAAAAACAAAUGAAGUAGCAAUAUAACUUAAUUAGAGUAUUUAACCAAUUCAUAAAUAGACAAAAAUUGUUCAGUGUCUUCACCAAGUGUGAUGUAUUAAAAAUAUCUACUACAAUAUAGUGAUAUACUGCUUGAUAUAACAUACUUAUAAGAAAAAAAGAAACAGAGGGUGUAAAAGGAUUAGCAUGGUACCUCCAUCGAUAAUUGUUCAUUUUAUUUAUAUUACACAUUCAAUAAAAGAAAAAGAAAAAGAAAAAGAAAAAGAAAAAGAAAAAGAAAAAGAAAAAGAAAAAGAAAAAGAAAAAGAAAAAGAAAAAGAAAAAGAAAAAGAAAAAGAAAAAGAAAAAGAAAAAGAAAAAGAAAAAGAAAAAGAAAAAGAAAAAGAAAAAGAAAAAGAAAAAGAAAAAGAAAAAGAAAAAAAUAAAAAGAAAAACGAAAAGAAAAGAAAACAAAGAAGAAAAGUAAGAAAAAUUGAAAAAAUUAAAAUAAAAUAAGAUGAAUGAAAAAUAGCUAACUUGAACCGUGUAAUGUCAAGGAAGAUGCCACUUCAUUGCACAUAGAAGCUUAAAGCUAGAAGCUGACAAAAAUUAUAUACCAUGAUUACUACUUUGUAUUCUUCAAACCAAAUGACGUGAAAAAGAAUACUUGCUCAAUCUUUCUAUCUCAUGAUUGAGAAGGUAUAGGGUCUCAGAAAAAGGAACCAGAUUAUCUUUUAGAGUUUAAUUGAGAAGCAUAUAAGAAAUCGUAUUAGUUUGAUUUAACCAUUUUCAUUACUACCUUGAAUAUUUUAGAAAUUAUCUUGAUAAAUAAUGUUCUAUAAAAUUAAAUUUGAACCCGCAUAAAAUAACACAGACCCGCCCCCCGAAUUAGUUUUUAAAAAACACACUUCACCCACAUGGCCUUAGAACCGCCCCGCCUUAUUACCAUCCCUAUCCCCUAUGUGCGUAGUAGAAGAAUUUUUUUUCUAUUUUGAGCCAAAGACUAGAAUAGUAGAAUGCUUUUAUCAAUUGUAGUUGGCCAAGGUAAGUUGAAGCCUCAAGGUAAGAAAUUGAUUACAAGAUGGCGUGACAUACGAUUUGGUUGUGUAGUGAGUUGGCAAAUCCCUUAAUAUUCCUCUUGCACAAAUUAGCAAAAUACACUAAAAUAAGCAAUAUCAGUGCUUUUUCUCCUUUUUUUUACAAGAAGAAUAUCAUCAUAUGAGAGGACACUACAAACAGUUUUCAUCACUACUGUCCAACUGCCAAUUGGCUCUCUAAUUUACAUAAUCUACAAAGCAAAAUGAGAAAAGGAAGUACCUAAAAGAAUUCCCAAGAGAAAACUAAAAGCAAAGUGACAUAUUUUGCUGAGAACAACCAUGUAGUUGCCAAAUUCCAAUGUCUGCUAAAUUCUCAUCCACUGUAACAAUCAUAAGUCCCUUCUUGUUCUCGGAGUUGACACACCUUUGGACUGGCUGAGUUCCAGAGUCGUCCUUCCGUCUGCCAUGAGAGGGCGCAUGUUGGGCUACUCCUGGACACACAUUGCAGCUACUGCAAGAGCUUGAUACAGGCCUCUAACUGGAUACUGAAUUGAAGCUCUGGAUCAGCCAUUUGUGAGAACUUUCUACGGUCUUUGAACAAUGGUCGAGCCUGCAAAUAUUGAAGACCAACUAGAGGUCUAGCAGAGAGCAGCAUUAAAUGCACAGAACCCAAAGGACAACAGAAUAUAUUCAAGUCCCAAUGAGCAUUUGAGUGGUUGAUUCAGAAAGCAGGCACGAAAAAUAAUUGAGAAACCUUGCACCUAAUAAAAACCGCAACAGAUUGGUCGUGCAACAUAAUAAGCAUGCACCAACUAGUUGAAGAUUAAAGAAAAGACACAUAAACUACACAGCUUAAGUUGUUCCACAACACUGUUAGAACAACUGACACCAUAAAACUAACACAUUAACAGAAAAAUCAAUUUCUCUUACCCAUGCAACCAGAUUCUGCUCUCCAGCAGCUCUUGAUGUGUCAAUUGCACUUCUACCAGUAAUAAUUUCAAGAAGAACUACUCCAAAACUAUAAACAUCAGAUUUAAGUGUAAGCUGCCCCGUCAUUGCAUAUUCUGGUGCACAAUAACCAUAGGUUCCCAUGACUCUGGUGGAAACAUGGGUCUUGUCGCCUACAGGUCCCAACUUGGCCAACCCAAAAUCAGAUAGCUUGGGAUUGUAGUCUUCAUCAAGCAAAAUAUUAGAACAUUUUAAAUCUCUGUAUAUAACAGGACUUGGCCCAGCUACACAUUACCGAGGACAUGACUCUAGAUAGGAAGGAGUGGAGGUCACGUAUUAAGGUUGAAGGCUAGUAGGGUUAGCAUGCUGUCUUUCCUGGCGAGGGUAUGGGUUGUUAGCGUUUGUAGGAGUCUUAGCCGUACACUUGUAGUUCUUGUAUGUGAUCCCUAUUGCCUUAUGUUGUUUACUGCGUUUCACUUCUCGCAUUAUUUUCUUGAUGUAUUGCCCCCUUUGUUGAUUAUGCACUAUUUUUCCAGUCAAGAACUCACAUGUUCAGAAAAUGCAUGUUGCGGAGAUGAGGAUGUUGAGAUGGAUGUGUGGGCACACUAGGAGCGAUAAGAUUAGGAAUGAGGUUAUCCGGGAGAAGGUGGGAGUGGCCUCUGUGGUGGACAAGCUGAGGGAAGCGAGACUGAGAUGGUUUGGACAUGUGAAGAGACAGGGCGCAGACGCCCCAGUGAGGAGGUGCGAGGGGCUGGUAGUAGAGGGUACGCGGAGGGGUAGAGGUAGGCCCAAGAAGUAUUGGGGAGAGGUGAUUAGACAGGACUUGGCCCAGCUACACAUUACCGAGGACAUGACUCUAGAUAGGAAGGAGUGGAGGUCACGUAUUAAGGUUGAAGGCUAGUAGGGUUAGCGUGCUGUCUUUCCUGGCGAGGGUAUGGGUUGUUAGCGUUUGUAGGAGUCUUAGCCGUACACUUGUAGUUCUUGUAUGUGAUCCCUAUUGCCUUAUGUUGUUUACUGCGUUUCACUUCUCGCAUUAUUUUCUUGAUGUAUUGCCCCCUUUGUUGAUUAUGCACUAUUUUUCUUAUUGGAUGUUAUGCUUUAUAUAAUUCUCUUCCUAUACUUGGCUUUGUUACACUUGAGCUGAGGGUCUUCCGGAAACAGCCUCUCUACCUCCACGAGGUAGUGGUAAGGUCUGCGUACACUUUACCCUCCCCAGACCCCACCUAGUGGGAUUUCACUGGGUAUGUUGUUGUUGUUGUUGUUGUAUAUAACAGGGGGAUUCACUUUAUCAUGCAAGUACUCAAGGCCCUUGGCAGCACCGGCAGCUAUUUUCAUUCUUGUAUUCCAGUCUAGUCGUGUUUUGUCGGGUGAAAGCUCUGGUUAUUUAACCAAAUACAUGAUAAAUUAGAUGCAACAUCAAAGACACUUUGGAUAUAAUGACACCAGUAAGGAGCAACAGAAAAGGAAAGAUUUUAUGAAAAAAUUGAUGAAAAACAAACUACCAAUUUGGAAUUUUAUGUCACAAUUGAAACCACAAGUAAUAAUUUUCAUUAGCUCAACAAGCAUCUGCAAAUUACUCAGGAAUACAAAAGAUUAGCUUUCAACUCCUGUCAGAUGGCAACAGGUGUGCUUUGCCCUUUAUUUAAUAAAAUUCCACUAUUUAUUGAAAAAAAAGUCCCAUCAGAUACCGAUUUGUAUAGAAAGGAAGCUAUGCAAUAUUUUUUUAUGGUGCAGCAAGAUUUGAUAUUAAUCCCUUGGAUUACUUAGUACUUCACAAACUAACCAAAAUUCCUUCAAAUAAAUUCCGGAUGAACUCCAGUAUGGCUAUUUUAAUCUUAAGAACACAUUUUUUUGUUAAUAACAGUAAGAUCCAGAAUAUGAUAGCAUUAAUUAAUUAGUCCUCUUAUGCAUACCAUGUAGAUGGUCUUCCAGUGAUCCUAACGGCAUGAACUCGUAAACUAGAAAUCUCUGAUCUCCAUCAGCACAAUAUCCAAUCAAGUUGACAAGGUGUGGAUGGUGAAGUAGGCUUAACAUCAGGACCUCAACAAGAAAUUCCCUAUUUCCUUGCAAUCCAUUUUGGUCAAGUUGCUUGAUGGCCACGACCUAUAUAAGAAAUCAUUUUCAUGCCUCAUAAGCAAUCUAAAGAGUACGAGCAAUAUUCAAAUGACAAAACAGAAUUAAUUUACUGUUGAGCACAGUAACAGUAAAUGACCCCGUGGCACCUGGAACACAUUAGGUGGAUGAGCCUUGUUUUUCUCUCGAGGCUGGUAGCUCUAGUAUCUAUCUCUGCUAACAGUACAGAAGUAUAGAUAAAAGUUAGUUAUGAACGGAGGAAAAAUUCAAAGGUGGCAAAACUAAUAUGUCAGACCCAAGUUGUGCGUCUAAACUUCUCCGGUGGAUAAAAGAAUUCUCGCUAACAGCAUCCUAAGAGACAAAAUGUUGCAGAAUAUAAAAUGAGAAGACGACAAUGCAGGUGAUGAAGCUGUUCAAUCAUAGCACCAUCAGCCGAGGAACAUGGGGCGUUACGGCACAACACUAUAAAGGUAUAAACCUCAGGAAGCUAAAUAUUAAGAUGCAAAUCAUUAAGGUUUCUCGUCCUCAAAUUCAUCGGAAAUGGGAUAGUGUACCUUUCACCAUUACAUUUCAGUGAUGUUUGCAGUAUCAGGUGUUGCAAGGACUUUUGGUGCAAACAGGAAGCUCUUCAGCAAUAAUACUCAUUUCCACCUCCACAAAAUAGCUAUGCUCAAUUGAAAAGUGGAAUCAAUAAUAAGAAAUUUGUCAAUUGUUGAACUUGGUCAAGAUUUUAAAGGGCGAGGGCUGGUGGAGUUAGCACAGAAGGCAGACAAAAAAGGAAGCAGAUUGGCCUGUAUCAUCUCUUUAGACUUAAUCCUGGAAGCAGUUAAGGGGAUUUAGCAGACACAGCAGCAUGGUGUUUGUUAGCAUAAUGCCAGUAGGACACUGCUUUGAGUCAAGUCCAUACUAUGGUCUUCUUCAUUGUCGCUGUGACCAAGCUGAUUCUUAUUUCUUCUUUAAAAUUGCUUCUAUUUAAUGAACAAAAAGGUCUACACUGAAAUGACUUCUCCUUAAGCUCAAGGACAAUCAAAUGAUAACAAGAGACCGGGCAAAACCUUGAGGUGGAAUUGCAUUAUGAUCAUUAAAAUCUUCUAUUUUUGCAGAGCUUUGAUGAGGGUGUCUUGGUUUCUGUUUUACUAAAAUUUCUUUGUAGUCUACCUAUAAAUGAGAAAAAUUAGAAGGCUCUAGCUCUAAAUCAAUAACCAGAAAAGAGAUUAGCUAUCUUUAGAUUGUCGGAGUGACUGAUUCCACAAUAGUGGAGCUAAACUGCGGUUGAAAUCAGAUUUUAAAGAUAAAACCUUACAUCAUCACCCCAAAUUAAAAACAGAAGAUCAAAACCGACUGUACAUACAGUGAGAUACAUGCUUCAAAUGAGUAAUCAAUGAAUAACUGUCUUCUGAAUUCUUUCACCAUUUCAAAAGACUUUGCACUUUCCUCUUUGAUAGGAAGAAACCAAGAAACAGUAUAGCAUGAAAUGGAGAGAACGCCAACUCAAAAUUAACUAAUAAGAACAAAAAGUGUUUGAACACAUUGAUCAUAAAAGGCAAGUCACCAUUUUAUUUCCAAUUUAAGAGUUAAAUUUAUGAGCUAGACCAACCUGAUUAGUUCUCUCUAAUCACCCUUUAUAUACUCUACCAAAACCUCCCUCCCAAGAGACAAUCUGCCCUAAAAUAUUUGGUUGCAGCAGCUAAUUCACGAACUGUAAACAUAUGUGCCGCUAUGUGUCCAGAUCCACCAUUUCUGGAGCUGUCCUUUUCAUCCAGUGAAGUAUUUACCUUAAAUUUUUCUGAAACAUGAAAGAAAAACUUGUUAGUUUUUCUGAACUGGGAAUGUAUGGUAGGCCAAUGUAACCUCCAAGCAACAUCCCAUGGGUGACAGAAAUGCCUUCAUUCAUAAGCUUUAGAAGACGAAAAUAAAACAAAUAGAGGUGGGGUGCUUUUGCAUUCAUGCAUAAAAGUGAAAUGUGUGUUAGCAGCAAUAGAAUGUUGUCCAUCAACAUGUGCAUACAGUAAUAAGAACUUUUGAAGUAGUAAAUAUAGCAGAUGCAAUGGUACUAGAGUUCUCACUAAUUUGACAAAUGUAGCAAAGCAAAGCUGAAAAAUCCCAAUGUUAACAGUAUUUAAGAAACAUGAUUCACUUCAUUCUAGUAGAACUGGCCCUAGUCUUGAUAUGUAUUGAGAAUACAACUAACUAAUAAAAGUGUGCUCUCUGUACCAGUUUAAACUUUUAAAUGAGAUGGUUAAUACUUCAAUAUAGUGUCAGAGUAGGCAGAUGUUCUGAGAUCGAAUCUCACCACCACCCAAAUGAAAAAAAAAAAUACACAUGCUUGGCCCAUCAAAAAGAGUCAAGCCCGCACAUGUGGGAGAGUGUUGAGAAUACAAUUGCCUAAUAAAAGUGUACUCUCUAUAACAACUUUAAUCUUUUAAAUGAGAUGAUUACACACUUCAACAAUGUGUUAUCCAAUUUCAUAAGAUAGGUCCAAACAAUUUCACCUUGCAUAGAAAACUUAAAAGGAAACCUUGAGCAACAUCACUCAAGGGUUGCAAAUGCCAUGCUGAGAAAGUUAACUGGACAACAACAACAAUACACCCAAAGUAAUCUCACAAAUGGGGUCUGGAGAGGGAAUGCCUUAUGACAGCAAAAUAGUGGAGAAGCAUAAAAAACUAGAGACACUUGAAUUUAACUAAACAUAUUAUUUAUAUGGAAGUAUGUGAAUAAGUUAAAAAUAGGAGGUUGCCCAAAAUCAAUUGUUCAAAAAAUGACUUGAAAGAAACAAGAAAGGAUCGGAGGAAGAAGCUUCUUUUCUUUUGGUCGCAAAUCUUAUAUAGGAUUUGCAAGAGAGUUAAUUUGGAGAAACAAAACUCCUUUGCUUUUGGAACAGAUAUACCUUUCUCCUUUGAAAUGGACUUGAUUUGUAUUGUUUGCAUUACAUUACACUUAACUAAUAAAAUAAAAGAGUAGAACUAAAAAUAAGCUAACAAUUGUUUAAUGUCCUUAGCACUAAGAGAGCUCAACUAUGUUAGCUCGAUUUCGCUUCCUCUUCAAUGCUUUCUUAGGAGAAUCCUUUUCCGUAAGCUUAGAUUCUUUUCCUAGAGGAAAACCAUCAUCGUCAUCACUUUUGCUGGUAUCCUGAAUGUCAUCCUCAUCGCUACUGUCUUCAGAUUCUGUCGUAUCAUUGGUAUUGAGAUCGAUUACUGGUUGGUAACUUGCUAUUGCGGAUUCAGCAGCUGAUACAGCUUCCUGUGUGUGAAGUUCAGCAACACCCAACAUUAAGUCCAUCUCUAUGUAUUCAGAUUCUUCACCAGUAAGAGCUUCAAUGUCAUAUUUCUCAGGAUUCUUCUUAGCUUCAAGCUCCACUUUUCUAUUGUUUUCCAAAAAUACUCCCAAAAAAUCCUUGACCUUUGUUAGAACUUGGCUUUUGGGUACAGAAGAAAUUUCAGGCUUCUUAUCAGGAAGGUCAGGUUUCAAAUUUAGGGAUUGAGAUCCGCCAUCACUAGUGCAAAUGAGAAGUUUUGAUUCCAAAGACAAGCCGCCUUCAGUCUCCAAGUGAAGCAGAUCUUUGCUGUUUGACUGCAUAUCAAGCAACUGAUUAUCUCCUAUAUGCUGCAUGUUAACCUUUGAAUUAGAUUUCCGAUAUAUCAUAAAUCAGAAUGCAAGGCAACAAAAGUAUAUCAAGUGUGGACAAACAAAUUCACAAUCACAAAUGCUUUUAAGAACAACUAAUAACUUCUUCUAUAGUUUAAGUUUUCAUAUUUUUUAAUUACUUUGGGCUAUUUACAUGAAUUUUCUAUUCAGUAAGCUGUGACUUGUCAAAGUCAACAAGACCAUAAAGGAAACUAGAUGUCACAAAAAGAAUGAGCAAAGACCUUGUACACAUUCUUCCACCAAUUAGGUAUGUCAUUUUCUGACUAACUAAACAGCUUAAUUUAAUCUUUUUUGGGGGUAAAUACAGAUUUAAUUUAACAAAGAAGCAACAAUGUACAUGUGUGGGAUAUGUAUCAAAUACAAUCAAUACCAAGCCAUCAGUAUCUAAGCUAAACCUCCUUCCCCCUAUUCUCCAUCUGUACCUCCUGUUCUACGACACUUUUGAGAGAAAAUCAUUUCUGUAGUUUAAGGGUAAACAUCGUGUUGCAGUAGGAAACUUGCUAUCUUGUUUUGGCAGUAGCCUCAACAAUGCACCUCUUGUACUAUCCUGCAGACUUCUUCAACAGUUCUCUUGUUCUGAAACACUCUUUGAUUCCUUUCUAGCCAGAUAGAUAGAAUAAACAUACCCUACCAGUAACCUCAGGCACUGGCCAUCUACCCAUUAGCAUGACUGAUAGCCCAUUCCAGUUCUUGUGUCCAUCCCUGUGUAUAUUCAUCCAGUGUAACAGCUUUACCCAUAAAUUAGUUGAGUAUGGGCAUUUGAAAACAGGUGCUCUAAAGUUUUAUCCUCUUACCACACAUAGGGGGCACACAGUUGUAAUAGAAACUCCCCAUUUAAACAACCUAUCUCUUGUAUAUAUCCUGCCCUGUACCACCAAAGUAAAUAGAAAUAGCCACUUAGGACUACCUUCAUUGUUGCAUACCAUUAGCUUACAUUGGGGAAUAAGGCCUCCUAACUAUGGCUGGGCGUUCGGUCGGUUCGGUUUGCUGAUUUUGGUUCAGUUUUUUGGUUUGGUAAAAAUGUUAACGGAAACCGAACUAUAAUAAAUUUGAUUUUAACAAUUUCGAUUCGGAUUGAAUAUAAUCAUAUUGGGCCAUUUUCUUAUCACCAUUCAUCACUAAACUUCUGUAAAGUUCAGGGGUCCUUUAUAUGUAGGCAAAGCCAUAGCCAAAUUUUCAUUAAGCAUGGCGAAGGAAAAAUAUUCAGUUAAACUAAUUAAUUCCAACAAAACUAAGAACAAAACAUGACUAUAAGCAACGAGACCAUCAAUUUAGACUCGGCUUAAACGAGCAGAAGAAAAUCUAACUAUGCUAACAUAUUACUACAAACUACUCUAAACAGAAUUUAUAAACACGCAUAAAGAAAAUUGUAGAAACAAAGAAAUAUUACCUGCGAACGGGAACGACUAGUUGAGAAGACGACUCCACAACUUUCAACUCAAACAACCACAAAAGCCACAAAAUUUUAAACUAUUGGACCAAGAAUUUCCAAACCUUAUAGGGGUAUUCUUAGGUCUCCAAAAAACCGUCCCUGAACAGUGAAUCUCUCAAAUUCCUGAUGAAGAAUCGAUGUGGGAGGAACUAAUUUCACAGAGAAUCAGGCUCCAGUGAGCUGGAAUCGUACGAAUUUGAAACGAAAUUAAAAAUAAAAAGGAAAUUGGAAUGGACCACAUCAAGGUUGCCUCCGGAAGCUCCGCGCGUCUUUUGCCUCACGCAGAUUGUACAAAUACGAAGGAGAAAAGACAGAUGAAAUUGGGAGUUAGGGCUCGUUCGCCUCCUUCUUCGUUUGCUGGAGUUGCAUCCUGAAAGAGUCGAGAACAGCAAGAGGGCUAAAAAGGGGCUGGAUCUUUGAAAUGGACCAAGAAAUUGGGCUCUCUUUGUGUGAAUUUUGAAACGGUGAGGUCCAAUUUGAUUUCAAAGGAAAUAGGUCCCCGAGUCUUGAAAAUAAUACUUUAAGAUGAUAAUAUUUGAAAUAAAAUAAAUUAUGUAUCUAAUCAAUUAAUAAGCUUUUUCAUUUUUACAAAUGUGAAAUAAUUAACUAAUUAUAGAAAAUACCACUAAUUAAAAUUUUGAUUAAUUUGAUGAUAAAUAAGAUAAGUAUUAAGUUAAUUAUUCAAAUAAGAUAUAUAUCCAAAGUCGUACACAAACUUAUAUAAAUAUAGAAAUAUUACUAUAAUGGACAAAUUACUUAAGUACACAACAUUACUUUACAUAUUCUCAAUAUUUCCCUACUCUGUUAUUAAAAUACAAAAAUCUCUUAUUUUUCCCCAAUUCAACUUAACCGGAUACUUUAUUUUUUGGAAGCCAAAUUGACCUUUUCCAUUCUCUAAUUUUCGCCCUCAAUCUCUCCUCAGAUUUUCCCACAACACACGAUUCCAUCUCCAAAUUUUCUCCCCCAUUAUUCUCAACAGAUUCAUUAUUCCAAUUUUGAAUUUCAAACUAAUUCUCUCCCCAUUCAAUCAAUUUCAGAGUUUGAAAUAGGUAAUCUCUUCAUCUUCAACUUCUUUUUUAUCAUUUUUUAAAUAUUUUCUUAUACUUUAUGGAUCAUCCGUCUUUUAGUAUUAGGAUUAUCCAAAUAGUCACAACGAACACUAAUCGAAUCUUUGAUUAUGAAGAUCCUAUAACAAUGACUAAGCAAAGUUCUAAGAAGUCAAAAGCUAAAAAGGAGGCACAUGCAAAAACACCCAAGAAAAGUGGUAGAAGGGUUGCCCCGGCCAUAUCCAGAUUUGCAAUACCAACAGUAUGCAUUUUUUUUCCUGUAAUUUUAUGCAUUCACAUCUUACUAUUGGAUCCACAACAUUCAUUUGAGGUGGAAUUUGUUCAAGAUAUUAUGCAACAAGAAAGCGACAGUCUGUAACUAUUGAAUCAUUUUUUCUUUACUUACACAUUUGAUCUUUUUUUAUAAUGUAUCUUCUUCUCUUUUAUAGUGAUUGCAGAAUGUUUUUUGUUGUUUUUGUUGAAUUUCUGAGCAGUCAAAUCAACACCCAUCUAAUGAUUUUCAAAGUGACUAUCUUCACACAAGAUAUGCAACAUUGUUAUGAAAGUAUGGUCUCAACAAGGCCAAGACGAAAUAUGUUAGCAAGAAUGAUGAUCUACAAGGUCGAAGAGUGACAACACUCCACCAACAGAAGAUGAUCUUGUUGAUGUAGAAUAGAUUUUUAUAUAUCGAUUCACCUACAAUUGUUGAUGAUCUAUUGUUUUAAGAUACAUUACGUGUUUUUAUACAAUUAUCAAGUAUAUGAUACAAAAUUAUUUUCACAAAUAACAAAUUUUUAUUCUUCACACAGCAUGAUACAAAUUAUAUCUUAUAAGAUUGGUACAAAUCACAACAGAUGAUACUAAAUCAUUAUCAUUUACAUAAUAUUAUGUAUAUCAUACUUAGGUGCUUUAAACAUCUCAAAUUGAUGCGCUUUUAUUAUUUCAUGCCAAAGUUACAAAGAUAUUAAGUUUCAAAUACACGAAAUUGAUACCAAAAUUACUCUAACUUUUUUUAAGCUGAUAUUAAAUUUCCAGAAAAUUAUUAUGUACAUGAAACACAAUUGCAUCCACAAAUAUCAAAAAUUGUAAUGUAUAUGAUAUAUAAUAUUGGUAAAAAAUACAACAUCCGAUACUUUAUUAUUAGUAGAUACAAAUUUUAGUAGAUAUCUAAUAUUGGUAAAAAAUACAACUCCUAAUUGCUUGCACACUCAUUUGAUAGUAAAAUUCUGCAGAUUCAGUAUAUCAGCAUAUGUCAUUCUUGCCUUCUCCAAAGUGUCUUCAGCUUACAAUUACUUCUUACCAUCCAAGCUGCCUAUUUAGGAAGGAUGAACCUGAUUAACUGCUCAACCUUUCAUGUAGUAUGUGUGUAUCCACUUGUCUUUUUUUCUGACACAAGUUCCAAUAAAGCUUACUAAGAAGCAUUAAUAUUGUUCAUCUUCACUUCCCUUUUUGCCCUGCAUCCUUCGCUUGACCAAUUUAUUUUUAAUUUUGCUAAGGAAAAACAAAAGACAUCUUGUUUUGCCUAGAUAUCCAAAGUCGGUGGAGGUAAGUUUGCAUGACAUCCACUCCUCAGUUCUUGAUUUUUCUUUUAUUUGUUUUUCUCCCAAGAAGCCUUUCACAUUUAAAGAUAAAAAAUAGACCCAAAGAGUGUAAGAGCUCAGUGGCUACUCUUGAUAUUUUUGGACUUAUUUUACUGAUUUUAAUUUAAAUAUUGGGACUGCAAUUGUUUGAUUUCUGAGUUGAUUGCAUGUCUAUGAUAUGUGAUAAAUCAAUUUAUGAACAAUGUCAACAUCCUAGAACUCUAGCAAGACUGGAAACAUGAUUAUUUCGCUAUACUAUUGCAGCUUUAGUACUAAAAAUUCUUUGAUUUAUGUAAGUUCAGCAAACUUUUAGCACAUAAAUAAAUAUUUUUUGCUUAAAUGUUUGUGUAUCCGAACACCGGAUAAAAAAAAGGAUUAAAGAAACAAAACAACAUGCUUAGGAAUGAGACGCCAAUUACGAGUUCCAUGUUGAGCUAUUUCACUUUUGAUAACACUUUAUUAUCCAUUAAGGGUAUUUGGAUGUGAAAAAACAAGAGAGUUGCAAGAUUUACGGGAGAAACAGGAUAAACUGUCAAGAGACAAGUAGUGGAAGUCAUGAUGCAAAAGAAAAGAAGGUAUAAAGUGUAACCUCAGAAGGAUUGCAAUUAUUUCAAUUGGGGGUGAAAGGGUGAUAUGCACGGUUACACAGAAAACUAGUUGAGGGUGAGGACACAAAGAGACGAAGCUAAGUUGGUUGCUUUGGGCAGAAGACAAAUUUAUGCACUCUCUUUUGAUAAAGAUAAAAUGACGCACUCUCUUUAUCCCAAUUGUAUGAUACACCUGCCACUUGAAAAUUUAAACAAAAUUUCUCUUGAAUAACAAUCUUUUAAAAUAUUUCAAAUAUUAAUAGUUUAGUUUCUAAUAUGCAACUCCUUCUAUCCCAUUUUAAUAACAAAAAUGCUUUCUGAAAAAGAUAUAACAUCAUGUUUUGCUCAGACAUCAGUGGGUUUCAUGUUUGCUAGAUCCCAUCUAUCAGGACAAGGUUUAUAAAGAGAGAUGGGGCAAAAAGUGGAGAGUUGAGUAGAACUAUGUGGGGGAGUGUGAUCAGUUGAAAAAUAUAUUUAUCAAUAACUAUCACGUUUUGAACUGAAUUACACCCCAAUAGCAUUGCCUGAAUAAGGCAACCAAAACUAGCUUCAACCCUCAGAAGCCCUUUUAUUGGGGUUUGUGGGUGAGUUAUCUUUCAUGCUUUUACUAGCAAUUUUAAAAUCCAUUUAUCAAUUGCUAACAUGUGUUCAAUGUCUUUACUCCUUUAAAUCCAGUGUGAAAUUCUUCAGCGCUACUUCUUUUCUAUAGCAUUUAGUUUUACAUUUGUACUGGUUUUCUAUAUUUAAAUCAGUGUCAACGCCAAAUUUCCCUGCUCUAGCCAUUCAAGUUAAGAGCACACCCUUUGCCUCCUAACAUGUACAACUAAAUAACCUUCGCAAAACCCCACUAGAUUGAAACCUAAUCAAGAUAAUAAACAGAGACCUUUAAAAUACCCAAGCCCAAAAACAGUUUAAAAAAAAACACAAGAAGUACAAAAUUGCAUAGAAAGAGAAAAGGUCUAUGACUUACCUGGAUAGGGGUAUAAAAGAAGAGAGUUGGUGGUUCAGCCUUAGUCAUUUACCUUUCAGUUUCAGAGAGCCGAGGGAGACACACGCUAGGAGAAGCAACUAGCGAGAUAUUCUAGGGGUAGGCGUCAGUUAGUUCAUUAUUUUCAGUUUUCAAUUUGAUGCACCAAUAAUUGAACCGACAUUAGUUAGGUUUUUUCUAAAUCAUUUUCGGUACGAUUCAGUCGGUUUGGUCCUGUCAGAUUGAACUUUUAAACUGGCCUUUUUCUACAGAAAAAAUAUGCUUUCAGAUAAGUUUUUUGGGUUAGUACUAUUCAAAGUAUAACGUAAAAUGUCAUGCAUUAGGCAUUAGCGUUGCUGUUCAUAAUUUAAUAAUUUAAUUGGUUUAUGAUUUUAGCAUUGUGGGUUGACGUUGUUCAUUUAAAUCAGUGCCAGCAGUUCCUUAUAAGAGCUGAUUUUGAAUGGUAAAAGAACAAUUUCACAUAAAUCAGACUCUUUUCACAUACUAGGCUUAGCAUCAAACCUCUUUUCACAUAUCAAACCUCUUUUCACAUGUUAUACCUCUUUUCACAUGUUAUCAUCAAACCUCUUUUCACAUGUUAUCAUCAAACCUCUUCUCAAAAUCUCAAACACUCAAACACUCAAAUAGUUAAGUCACUUCACAUAAUCAAUGGCAAUAACAAUCACUAAAUCACAUCACAUAAUAACUUAAUGAGUCUAACAACAACAGUCUAAAAAGUUAAAAGGUAGUUCUUCUGGAAUUAUAAUCUCAACUAAAGCCGCUCUAACUACUUCGAAUUCAUGACUUCAACAAGCAGAAAUAUCGUUUCGAAUUAGACUCAGUUCAGUUGUUACGUGUAUAAUUGGAGUUCUUUUAAGAAGAUUUCAGUUGUUCCUUCUGAAAAAAAAAAUGACAAAACUUACUUGACGACGAGGAUGAUGAACAAGCGGCAGCAGGCGGCGGCAUCGGUGGAGGACUACCCUCACAACAGCAGUGGGAAAAGACUGAGCAAAAGUAAGAUGGAUAUUUGAAAAAUGAGAGUUAUUUUUGGAACCCUGGUCUAAAGUCUAACGGGUCGUUUGGUUGUUUGUUCCGUUGAGGAGAUUAUUUAUCUAUUUAAUGGAAAAAAAAUUAUACUAUUUCUUUCCAACAAUAAAUUAUAAUAAAUUAUUCUUCUAUUUAUAAUUUAAUGUCAUGAAGUAUUAAUUUCAUGGAUUCCACUCUUAUUAUCCUACAUAAUUUUUUAUUUUUUAAUAUCUUAUAGAUGGCAAAAUUUUUUGAAUAAAAUUGAUUACAUUUAUAGGUAAUGUGUGUAUAUAUAUAUAAAUAAAGAGCGAUAACCAACCACCGAGAAUAGCAAAUGAAAUGAAUACUAAUAACAAACAGGUUGCAACCAAAUAAACAACAAUCACAACCAUACAUAUCAUAUAUUAUUAUAAGUGGGAAGCUUCUAACUUUAAAGUUGGAUUACCAUUUUGUCCUUCUCUAAAAAAAUCUCUUAAUUUGAAUUUAUUUUUACAAAAAAAAAGAGGAGACAAAAAAGACCAAAAGUCACUACUUUUAUUUAAUAAAGAACCGUUUCUUUUCUGGGGAAUUCAAUGACCUCCUAAGAGAUAACCCCCCAUAAGUUUUUCAGAAUUGAGAGAUUUCUUUAUCUUCCACAUUCAACUCUUUGUUUUCUUAUUGUUGAGAUUGAAAGAUUUUUUUGUCUUAUCACGUGUAUUUUUUUAAAGGGUAACAAGCAUUCAUAUUUUAUCAACAAAAUCAAUUACGAGACGAUGUUGAAGAAAGAUAUCAGCUUAAUCUUGUGGGCAACAUUAAAACAAAAUUUUAAUUUAGGGAAGGUCAGCUCUAAAAUGGCAAAUAUCAUAAAGUCGGUUGUAUCUUUCUAAACAUAGAUUGAUUUAUUAUCUCUUUCUUUUUUUUAGUAUUCUUCAUGAAUAUCUAUAUGUGUGAUUAUAUAUUGUUGUUUUAUACAAGGUUUUUGGGAUAAUAGAAUGCCAACUUAACUUUGCAACACCAAUUAAUUAUAUAUUUUUUGCUUUAUGCAAAUUUUAUACGAUUGAAGCAGUGAAAAGGAGUGAAAAAAAUAUAAUUUCUUUCUUUUCGGUUCGCAUCUUAGGUAAUUGUUCUAUUCAAUAUUUUAGCACUUCUUAUGGACUAUCAAACUAAUUUUUUCCUGUUUGCUUUUCUUUUUUUCUCAUUUUUUAUUUAUCAAUUGUUUGUUCAUUGCAAAAGUCUAUUUUUCUUAUUUUUUUUAUUUAUCAAUUGUUGUUGCGGGGUCUGUCCCAACAUCCAUCUCAGUAUUAUAGAGGCUUCAUAGACAGUCAGUCAGUUAGUAUUGAGUCCCUCAUCUAUAUAUAUAUGUAAAUAUUCUAUUUUGAGACUCGAGUUGCCUUUUUGGCCAGAUAUUAUUAGUUGGGUUGUUUUAUAACCUUGCAUUGCAUUGAGUUAUGCUGUUGAGUUAGGUUUCCGCUGAGUUAAGAAAGUCAGGCCAAGGGUUCGCUUGGGGGCCAGCAAUGAUCUUCGUGUGCCGGCCACGUCCAGGGUGUAGGCUCGGGGAGUGACAAAAAUGUCCAUUAUAAGUUGAAGGACAUUUUUACUGAUUAGUCAUGAACUAUUUCUUCAAUAUUCAAGUUAUACAAAAUUGUAAGAAAACAUUUCAUAAAAUAUUACCAUUAAAUUAUUAUAAAUUUGUAAUCAAAUUAUAUUAAAUGACAGAAAGACAAAUAAGUUGGGAAGUGUAACCAUCACCUUAUUGAAUAGCUUUUAUCUUUACGUAUUCUUCUAGAAUAUUCUCUAAUUGGUUAUGUGGUUAAAUUUUUGACGUGCUAAUUAAUUACGUUUGUUUUUAAAAAUAAAAAUUUUAUGUUUUUUUAAAUGAAAAUAAAUAUUUGUAAGUUGAGUUGGAGGCUAAAUCAUAUAAGAUCGUGAAAAAUUGAAAAAUAAAAGUAAGAAUUUUUUAGGUUUAUUCAUAGGUAUAGUACUAUGACAGGAUCUCUUUCAUUUAUUCCCUUUAUUUUGCUUGAUUUUUAACAAUUUUAACUUUCUAAUAGGUGAUGUUAUCGUCGUAUAGAAAGGAAUUAACCUCCAAAAAUCUUGAAAACAAAUUAAAAUGAUAGGUAUACAUUGUGAAUGAUCUUUUAGUGUGUUGCAUACUUAUAAUUAUAGUUCUAUUUCAAAUAUAAUAAUUUAUUGUUAGAUGUAAAAUGACUAUUUCAAUUGUAAGAGUGAUUGUACUAUAUUACAUUGGAUUUGAGAUACUUAUAAUGAAGUCAUCUCUGGUGCAUACUGCAAGCAUCUAAACAUGCACCCCUGUUAUUUGAGUAGGUGCCUAGAAAGCAACAAAUUCAUGUUGAAUGGUGCGUAAUUAGGAAAUUCGUAGGGGUGUAUAAAAAUUGAAAAGACUAUAAUCAGUUAUGUAUGAAAUUUAAAGGGUUAUAUCACUAUAUAUAGGUUUGUACCCUCCACUGUAUGAAAUUCAAAUGGAUACAUCGGAACUAUGACAAACAUACACUUAUGUUUUAUUUAGUGUGGUCUUAUCUCUAUGAAUACAUUUUAUGUAUAAUUUUAUUUUAUGUUGCAUUUUUAGGCAGAUCCUUGUAUUUGUAUCAUUUGAAAUGAUAAACUUGUAUUUUUUUUAUAGGUGUGCUACAUAAGUUCUUUCAUAAGUUAAUUAUUAAUUAAUCAUAAUGUUUUUAGAACCUUUUCACCUCCUAACUUAAUUGCAUCAUAAAGUGAUCAUAUUCAUUAAUAAGUAACAAAGUGAUUCGUUAAUCAUUAUAUAUAUAUAUAUAUAUAUAUAUAAUUUAUUUUGGUUCGAUGAGAAGACUCUUGAAUUUUAAUUGGUUAUGGGAGAACGUGUAGACAAGAACUCCGAAAAUAAUGUAGUAAUUCUAUCCUCCCUUUUUUUCCAUAUGCAUUGUUAUGAUUAAAGUUUUAAGAAGGAUGUGUAUAUUGUAUUUUUUUCAUGUAUAUUUUUUGUGUGUUUUCUCUCUAUUAGACUUCUUUAGUUUAAUUUUCUACGAUUUUCUAUAUUUUUAUCAGGUUCAAAUUAGUUAUUUGUGACUUUAGUGAAAGUUUGCUACUACUAACCAAAGUUUAGAUGUACCGUUGGUUACUUUAUAGGGAAUUGCUUUUAAACAUUAAAAUGCACCACCUGUUUGGUGUUUCUUGUCACACUUUUAAUGAUUAAUUAUUUGUAUUUGUUGCAUUUUAUUUCUCAUUACAUGCAUGUUUUCAUAGAAUUGUAAUCGUUCUAACAAUCUAAAAUAAAAUUACAUGGGACACACGUGCAACGCACGUACCCAGAGACUAGUAAAACAAAAUGAUGCAAAGCAAUGUGGUCAAUGCAUAAAAGUAAAAAUUUGGUAGAAAUCUCGAGUCGCACAAAAUGCUACCUCAAACUUGUCAACAACUAUAAUGCAAGAAAAAUGUAAUCUGAAAUUCAAUCUACGCGCCACCUUGAAGUACCUCUUCUAGCUUCAGUAAAGGUAGAUUUUCAUUUUAUCCGAUUUGUUUAUAAAAUCAAGUAUUUACCUCGAACUCGGGCCUCGAAUGUAAAACCAAUAAGUUUUAAAAUAUUCAUCAAUUUUAAGAAAUAACCCCCUCUCCCCCUUUCCCAAAUGGUGUAUUUCCUCAAAAUUUCAAUUGUUGACAUCCAAUUUUGUCCCUUCUUUCUUCUAAUUUAUUUCGUUGAGCUUCUAAGUUAUUAAUAAGUCGAAUAUUUUAUAUUUCACUAUUAUUUUCGCUUAUUACUAUUGUGAUCGUAAUUAUCUCUGUUACUUUAUCUUUUAUUAUUUUUAUGAUUAUCAUCUUUUUAUUUUCAUUUUCACUAUUUUAAAAGUAUAUUUAUUUAUUAACAUUAUUAUUAUCACUUUGUUGUCGUCUUCUUUAAAUAGAUUGUCGUUACUUUAUUUCAUGUUUCUUACUUGCUAAACUUUUUACACCAUAUAUAUUGCGCUAGUUAUUUAAAUGAGAAGCUCAAAAAGAAUUAAUUUAAGAAAGAAAAAGACCAUUAAAUUGGGACUAAUUGAAUUCCAAUUGAACCAAAUAUUCAGCCCAUUUUCGAUGUCAAUUCUGUCCAAAAAUAGGCCCAAACUCGUUGGCCCUUUUGAAACAUAUCAAAUUUCUCAAAAGAAAAUCUCCCAUAAACCUAAUCUUCUCAACCGCCACAACUUCAAUUUCUCCCUCUUUAUGCAGCUCUCAACAAUGGCAUACUUUGGCCAUUCCAUUUUCGUGCAAACCUCGACAACCCUCUCGCCUUCAAGGAUUCGAUCAUCACAUGAGGCCAAAGAACUUUUAGAACUGAUCUGAUUUCUCUACAGAGAAAGCAGAUUUGAACAACUUUUGUUCAAAUUUAAUUUCAAACGCCUCUUUUGUUCUUCAGAAAUCUCGCUCAAAUCUCUAUCUCUAACUCUACCAUUAUUCUCCUAUAAAUACUACCUUAUAUCUCUUCAUCAGGGGAUGAGUUUUGGCUUGCUAAAAGAAUCACCCAAUAAGCUUUUACACUCACAAAAGGCACCACAAAAAUCUUAACGCUCUUGAAAUCUUUCAUUCUUAGAUACGACUUUAAACUUUGAAUCUUCUAAGUGUUCAUUCUGUCUCAGUUGUCUUGUAGCCAUAAGAGAGACAUUUGAAUAUGUUUGGUUCAAAAAUUAUUCUUGAGGCAGUAUAUUUGAGACCUACAAUAGCCAUAAUUUGCUGCCCCACAAACGAUAAUUUCGAUAGACUUUCUUUUAUUACAUCAUUUCGUUAAUCAUGUUUAUUUUGCUUAAUAAUCCAUGCUAGUGUGUGUGUGUGUAUAUAUAUAUAUUGAUUGAAGCUUGUGGUUCUUACUUUGUCUAUGAUUUCAAGAUGAUUUAUGUAUACGAAUCUAACUCUAGUUUUCUUGUUAUAUGUUAAAUUUUGCUUCAAUAACUCUAUUUCUAUUGUAUUGCGGAAAAGUAUGGCUAUGAGAAUAUGCAGUCCCAUUUAAUCUCUAUUAAUAUGUGAUCAUAAUUGGAAUCAAGAAUUCUAAUUCUUUGUUGACAUUAUAUUGUUAAAAUACUAUUUAUACUUUGAACCAUUAAUUAUGAUCUUUUCUUAGAUAUAUAUGUUUAGAUCUACUAUUUGUUUGAAAAGUUAUUUCUGGCAGCCUGAAUUAAAGUAAGUUCGUAAAUUACUGUUAUGUAAUACUAAUGAAAAGAAGUGUCUGUUUGGUAUAAGUUUACACGUCUGUUAACUUUAUGAUUUAUUUAUCCAUUUUUCUAAUCAUAUUUAUCUAUUUUGCAUGAACACUGGAGUUGAAGAGUCUCACUUUAAGACUCAACAUCACCGUGAGACGACCUUGUGCAUGUACAUAUUUGUUCGUGACUCUUACUCCCCUAGAAACUCCAUCAGAAUAGAAUUGAAUGAGAGAACUGGGAGAAAAGGAUAGACAUUCCUUUCCCUAUUCUUGCUAAAUAGUUUUAAGUAUCACUUAUGUGUUUUUAUCUACCCUUAACUCCCUACAUGUUAUUCACAUUUAUUACUUGUUGUAUGUGACGCUUUAUGUUUUGAGUAUUCUAGUAACAAUUAAUUAUAUCAGAUAGAUUAGAGCUUAUUAAAUUUCCUAACAUGAAAGUGUUCUAGUAUAGUAAUUUUUUAAACUCGACUGCCUUUUUCUUCAACUCAGUAACUUAGCGUGUAGAUAUAAUUUGUUAGCCCCCUUUUCUUUUAAUGGUAAAGAAGUAUCUUUGAAAUAAGUCAAGUUCACCAUUUUUUUUUAAAAAAAAUAUCUUUUACUACUCCUCAUGUUUUAGUUUUGAAAAAAUUUAUAUCUUUUUAAGUUCUAAUGGGUUUUCAUUUGUUUCAAAAGUGUUACAAACACAAAGCCGUUUCAGUUUUAUUAUGUUUCCAACAAUAUAAAUUUUCAUAAAAAAUAUCUUUUCAAUUAUUGACUCUAAAAUUUCUAAAAGUUAGCAUUUAUAUUGUAAUUUUUACUUUCUUACCCUUAGUUUAAUUAAUUAAUUAAGUUCGGUCGGUUAACCAUUUUUAAUGGAUCUUAAAUUAUGCCUCGCCCCUUCCUUUUAGAUGAGUAGAACCCUUACUUAGAAUCUCAUGUUUAGUAGACCUUCAAAUGAAGUUAACUUUAGACAUGACUUUAAUUAAUUUUAGGUGCCCUAAUUCUCCAUAAAUAAUUAGGUGGCGACUUCUUAAGUUAGUUAAUAAUUUAGGAAUCACCAAAAUGUUAUACACUAUUUUGACUCGGUUAAAAUGAAGUAUAAUAGCUUGGCAUCUCCGCUGGAGAUUUAAUAGGUUCUAACCACAACAGACUUAGUUUAAUUAGACUUUAUGUGCUUACUUUAAUUAUUUUACUUGUCAUAAUUUUUUUUACAUGCUAUCAAUUAUUUAUUUGCUCUAAGUUAUUUUCACAUGCUAUAAAUUAUUUGUUAACUAUAAAUUAUAUUUACAUGCUAUUAAUUGUUUGUUAGCUAUUAAUUGUUUAUGUGUUACUGCUUUUCUUAACUGUCAUUCCGUUUAUAUUUCUCCACUUUUUUGAAAUUCACACUAUCACACGCACACGUGAGGUGUGUUUUGCGCACCUAUACUUUUAAAAUCCUAAAAUUUAAGAGAGUUGGUGUAUGCGCGGAGUGUCUGGAUCUUUUUCCGUGUGACCGUGUAACCUUCUCACUCGAGUAGUCCUCUUGGGAACCUUGUGUCUAUUAAACCCACUCCUAGUUUACCUAGAAUAGAGCUAAACCAACACACUUUAUAAGGAACAUACAUCCUUUCAUGAACUAAGAGGCUUUAUACCCUUGAUGUAUUAAGUCCAAUAGUCGACUUUACCUUAAAUGUCCAAGUGAGUUUCCGACCCCGAGUAACGACCUAUCAUUAUUUAUAUGCAAAUUUGAGGAAUAUUUAUGCCUAAAUAUAGACCAUUUGCUCUAAUUAGUUAAACAUUAGGGGGAUGGUAUGGCUAACCUUUAUGUGACAUGUACGAAGACUUGACUUUGGAGUACAAUUAAGUGGUGAUAUCACCAAAUGAAACCAAGAAGGAUGGACAUAACACAUUUCUUUUACUUUAAUUAGAUUAGGAAAUACUUUACAUUGUAUUCAUUCAACAUGUAAUAAAUUUUAUGCUAUUUUGUACCUUUUUUUUUAGAAAUAAAAUUUGCUUAAUUAAUCAACAACAAUAGAAUGAUAUAUUAUGGCAAAUAUACUCUUCGAAUCUGCGUUAGGCCUACCUCUGGCACAAAGAUGUCACAAGCAUAUUAAGACGCCUUUACAUGUUAUUUUUACAAUUUAUUUGACUUUACUUGAUGACUUGUUUGUAUAUUAUUUUUAUAACUUAUUUGACUUUACUUGAUGACUUGUUUGCAUAUAUUUUAUAACUUAUUUGACUUGCUUGCUAUGUAACUUAUUUGAGUUUAUGUGAACAUGACUUUACUUUUUGAUUUGAAACUAACAUCAUUUGUAUUUCACUGUCUAUCUUUUAUCUAUAUUUUUAUUCCCAAUCAAAGUUGAUUCGUGUUGACAAUCGAGUUGGCCGACCAUCCUUACUUCACAAGGUCCAAGUCAUCGGCAUUACCUCAGCGUAGUUGGGUUAUUCAAGGAAAAAAAUUAAUAUGACUAACCCAACCGCGUCUGAUCCAAUUGGUCCAGGACAUAUCAUGGUUUCUAAUGUACUAUUCAAUAUAUCGUCCGCUUGACUCGAGAUUUAGGAUCUACAUAGUGAACUAACUCGGGUUAGGGACUUGACCAAUUUAUCCAUCACACUCCAAAGUCUACUUCCUGAACCUAAAAGUACCGCACCAAACCCACAUAACUUUCCAUCACUUGAUUCACCAGUUCCUGAACACUUCCCUCCAUAACAGCUUCCGCCUACCAACAAUAACCUUCCCCCAACUACCCACCCAAAUCCACCAAAUUUGCCAUCCAUCUACACUUCCCCACAAAGUCAACCACCUACCUACACUAUCUAUGCUAUUCCUCCUAAUCCACCACAUGUAAACCCACAAAAUCAACCUCCAACUCAUACUCCUUACGUUUCUUUUCCCACUAACACCUAUCCACUACCUACAACUACUCUUGUAAACCCAUCGAAUCCAACACCUCCAAUCCAAAAUUCUCCUACUGUCCAAACUUAUCCAAUUCAGCAUAUACAAGGGACACAUAUUGCCACUCCUUACGCGCAACACAUCCUCCAGUAUAUGCCGUGGAAACUCAAGCUUUUACCAACCCAAUAUUAGUCAAAUUUCAAUCCGAGGUAGAUCAAUAUGAGAAAAUAGAGAAGGACGUCAAGGCAAAGACUGAUGAUGUGUUAGUUAGAGAGAUUCGUGAUCUUAAUGAAGCAAUGAGAAAUCUCCAAACUACUAGGGGCAACAAAAGCUUAGAAUAUGAGGAUUUGUGUGUGCAACCUGACAUUGACUUGCAUAUAGGGUAUAAACCGCCAAAGUUUGAUAUAUUCAAUGGAAUCGAUGAUCCUCAUACACAUCUAAGGGCAUAUUGUGAUAAAUUGGUAGGAGUGGGGAGAGACUAGAGGGUCCGUUUGAAGUUGUUCAUAAGAAGUUUAUUCGGUAAACCUCUUUAUUGGUACGCACAACAAGAUCUCCAUAAAUGGCGUGUUUGGAGUGAUAUGACACAAACCUUUAUGGAUUGGUUCAAGUUCAACACUGAUAUCACACCCGAUAGGUUCUACUUGACUAAGUUAAAUAAUAAGUCAACUGAGACAUUUCAUGAAUAUGCUCUAUGUUGGAGGUUAGAAGCAGCUAGAGUCCAACCAACGAUGAGUGAAAGUGAAAUGAUAGCUACCAUCAUUAAACGUCAAGAUAAUUGUUUUUACUAUGAGAAAAUGAUAACCAUGAUGGGAAAAAGUUCACAGAAAUCAUUAGAAUGGGAGAAAUCUUGGAAGAAGGAAUCAAAUCAGGAAAAAUCCAAGACUUUAUAGCCUUGCAAGCUGCAAGUAAAGCAAUUCAAUAUGGUUCUAUCAAUGGGAACAAAAAGAAAAGAGAAGAUGUAUCUGCUAUCAUGAUUGACCAAAGAUACAGGCCAAGUCAAGUUCGUCCCUAACUAAAUCAACCACAUCAAUCCAUAUACCCUUACCAAUAUGUUGAUGCCUCACAGACUCUCUACCACAUCGAGGUUGAUAGUAGUUUACUGGACCUCAGCCCAACGUGAACAACAAUCCUCUACGAAAGUGCUAAUGUGAACAUGAUAACUAUAGAGGAAAAAAUGGUUGUGAAAGGAAGUAUUGUUCUAAUUGGAAAGGUGAAAAAUAAACUUUAUCAUCCUUUUAUGCUCUUGCCAUUACAACCCAAGAACAAGCACCGAUAGAGAUCACGGCUACAACUACUUACAUGUCUAUCUACAAUAUUGAGACACCGACUAUUUGGGGUGAUGAACCAGAGGAGACUUUGAAGAAUUGGACUUGUACUCCAUUCCUAGUUAGCAGGGAGUCUUGAUAGAUUAAAUAAGUAGUAACACUUUUAAAGUAGCACAAUUUUAAAACAUUUAGACUUAAAUCGUGACUUAAAACUUUAUGUUGUUUUGCCUUAUUUUUUUGAAAGCUUAAUUGCAAAAUCUAUGAAUGCAUUUCCUAUUUUCUUAAUUGUCUCUUACUUAUUACUUUUAGAUAUACAUUUUUUUUAAUAUAUCAAUUUUCAAAUCUGUCAAUUUUAUGAUUGUGACGUAUGAUGAAACAAAUGAACAAAAGUUUGAUACUAAGCAAGAUGAUGAAACAUGUGAAGAUGACUUAGAGUUGAAUGAUCAACCAUGUAUCAUAACAACAUGACAAUAUCUGAGCAUAAGAGGUCAAGACACUACACCAAAGGACGACUUUAGAUAGGUUUCUUUUGAAUGUAACUUUCAUUUUUCAUGUAACUUACGAACUACGUUCUGACAUGAUUCCUUUGGUAGGAUACAUAGGCAACCCACAUAGGGUUCAAUUUUAAUAAAGAACAAUUCUAAAUUUUCGUACUUGUAACAUGAGAACUACGCCUGAAUUGAUUCCAUCGGUGGGAUACGUAGGCCACCCACAUACUGUUCAGUCACAUUAGGGUAGAAAAUAAAUUAUUUUACUAUUUAUGUCAUUUGAACUACACAUGGAAUGAUUCCCUUAGUGGGAUAUGUAGGCAACUCAUAUCGGGUUCAAUCCCUUUAUUAAGAAAAUUUUAAAUUUUUUUCUAUGUACUUGAACUACAUUCUGACCUGAUUCUCUUGGAGAGAUACAUAGGCGACCGAUAUAAGGUUCGGUCUCACCACAAUAUAAAUUUAGUAUACUUCUCUGAAAUCAACAUUGGGGCAUAAUUUUGGGAAACUUGGUCAAGGAAUGAUUGGAAAUUGUCAAGCAUAAGCUACUACCUGACAAGAAGUAACAAACAAAGGGUGUUCAUUUUAUUUCAAAUUUGUCACAAUCUAAGAGUUGGUAGAAAUUAUUUUUCUUACAACUUAUAGACAUAUACUUACCGAUUUUCCUACGUACUAACAAAUGUCUCUUUCUAAUUUUUUUUUUGGACUUGUAGUCCUUUUUAUUCAAUCCUUAAUGGACUAAAAGUUAAUACACAAAAACAACCCAAAUAAUCUGCCGGCCCAUAGCCAGAUCAUUAAUAAAUACAUUGUAUGGUUUCCUAAUGUGUUCUCAUCGCCACUUUUCACUUCAGCUUCCUUAGUUCCUUCUCUGCAACCUGCCGCUCGAGAAUGUUCUUCGUGAUGCUCUUUAACGAUGAAUUGAAUUUCCUUCUUCUUUGGGUAAUCAACAUCCUUCAUGAUCAACACGUGAUAUGUAUUUCUAUCUUUAGCUCUCAAAGGUUUGUAUUCUCUUUCACUUUCUUUGCUACCAUUUCUCAUCUUUUCAGCUGACUCUGUCUUUCUUGCAGGUGUAUCUUCCAGUUGGAGUUCUUGUCUAGCUCAAAUGAGAUUGUGAGCCUUGCAUUUCAGCUAUGAAGCUCCGUGUAAGAACCAUUCACCCUCUUCUUCUUUUUAUUUUUUAUUUGAGACCUUGACCCAUUUAUUUUCCAGUUAAAGCCGAAUAGGAGAGAACCAGUUAGCUCCCGUGCUUCUUUAUGUCGAUCUCUUUGUUAAAUGUUCGUUAUGGAUUCAGAUAAGGCUCGUUGUCUCUCGCCCUUUGCUGGUCCCUUUACAACUUUUUUGCUCCAAAAAUAGAUAGAUUCUAAUUUGCACAUAUCAUAAUUGAGGAACCCUGUGUUAUCUAUAUUGUAUCUAAGCAUGGUGUCCGUUGUUGUUAAUGUGUAUUUUCCUUGUUUUAAUCCUAACUAUUGGGACCUGAUGUUUAUUCACAUUAAGAAUCUUUAUUCCUUGUCUUUCAAGUUGAUUAAAUUGUUGGAAUAUCAUCUUUUGUUAUGUAUUGAUUGUUGAUUUAGCUAAAUAGUCCGCUGGUUGAUUCGCCUCUCUAAAAAUAUGCCAGACCUGUACAUUUAUUUUCUGCAUCAUUUCCUGUAUGUCUUCCACCUUCUCGAUUAUCUUCCAUGGUAUUCUCCAACACAUGUUAAUCAUGUUUUUAAUGCCAAUGAAUAUGUUUCCAGUCUCAUUUGCAUUAAUCUUUUUUCCAAGCAAUAUUGUAAUGCUUUCCAGACUGCCAUGACCUCUGUUUCCAUGUUAGUAGCCUCCCCUAUGCUCUGUGCCUCUGCAUAUAUAAGGUUUCCUCUCCCAUCUCUUAUGCAAUAUCCAUAUGAACUCUGCCUGAGAUUCCCUUUUCCGGCUCCAUUAGUGUUGCAUGUCACCCAACCUUUCUGUGGUACCAACUUGUAAUGUAAUGUUGGCUUGUACUUAUGUAGCGUGUCCACCGUAUCUGGCCAGUGAUAUGAAAUUCUUUUUAUCCAUGGAAAUUUUUACCCUUAUAAACUGAUGUAUUGUCAAUUGACAUUGAUAAUACAUCUUGUUGUAAGAGGUUUCCUUUCCAUGUUUGAAAGAAUUUCUCCACUGACACAGUUCCCACUAUUUGAAAAUAAGUUGUUAAAGAUUUAACCCAUUUAUUGUAAUACAUACACAUGUAGCAAACUGCUUCCAUAGCUUUUGGGCUAUGAGAGCUGUUAGUAAAACGUGAGACAUAGUCUCCAUUUCCCCUUUGUCAUAACAAUAACAUUUGGACACUACUUGCAUCCUCAUUCUUUUAAGAUUGUCAUUUGUAGCAAUUGUCCUCCUCUACGCCCUCCAUAAAAAGAAACUAAUCUUAAAUGGCAACCCUUUGACCCACAUGCCACUCCUCCAUUCCUCUUCUACCUUUUUGCCUCUCAUUAUGUGGUAAGCUGAUUUAACAGUAAAGAUUCCAGUUGUGUUACUAACCCACCAUGCCUUAUCUGAACCAUAUCAUCAUAUAUAAACAUUUUCAAUUUACUCUCAUCCCAUGAUCCAUUUUUUAUAAAUUCUUUCACCUCUAACUUCCUCUUCUUGUGCCAACUCCCCUUCUGUAUAGUAUAAUGCCCCUUGUCUAGUCCAAUUGUCAAACCAAAAACUGGAAUUUACAGCUUUGAUUUGCCACCAGAUUUCAUGUUCCACUUCCUCCCUAAUGUUGACCAUUUUCCUCCAUACUUGUGAAAUACCCGAGCUUGUAGCGAUCAGUGGGUGGAAUUUCUUGCAGUAUUUAUUCCACAUGUAUUUUUUCCAUAAUGACUUUGUGGAUACACGAAAGUUCCACCAGAACUUUGCAAAUAAAGCUUUGUUGACAUCAUGUAGUGAUCGAAACCCAAGUCCUCUCUCUCCCUUUGGGUAACACAAAUCUCCCCAGGCCACUCAAUGUUUUCAUUUAACUCCUCUCAAGUUUCUUCAAAAAAAUUUGCAAAAAUUUGAUGAAUUUGCUUCAGCACUUUUUUGGGUGGAUUCAAAACAGAUAACAUGUAAACUGGCAUUGAUUGCAACACAUUAUUGACUAGCACCCACUUCCCACCAAAAGAUAAGAACUUAUUAUGCCAUGUUAGGAUUCUCUUAGAAAUUUUCUUAACUAUUUCUUCAUAAUAGCUUGACUUCUUCCUACCAUAGAAAUCUGGACAACCCAAGUAUGUGAAAGGAAAAUUACCUUAAUCUGUGCAUUCUGAUUGCUACAACCAGAGGAGUUUUAUCACGGAGAUUAAUUUUUUUUUUGAUUUAUUAAUCUUAUGCCCAGAAACAUUUCAUAAUCUCUUAAAACCUUCAUCAUCUUGAUUAUUGAUCAUCUAUCCCCCGAACAAAACAAUAUGGUAUCAUCUGCAUAAGACACAUGAUUUAUUUCUGGGCUCCAUUUCGGCAGGCCAUAUCCCUUCACUUCUCCAUCCUUGUGUAGACUGUUUAACCGUCGUGCUAAUACCUCUGCUGCAAUAAUGAAGAGGGUAGGUGAUAAGGGAUCACCUUGUUUCAAUCCUCUUGAGGAGUGAAAUUUUUUUACGUGCUUUGCCAUUUGUUAGGACUGAAUACCAGUUGUUAGACAUGAUCCGCCAUACCAUGUCUAUAAUUGCCUCUGCGAAACCAAAUUUUCUUAACACUUUAGUUAGGAAAAUCCAAGAUACUCUAUCAUAUGCCUUAGCCAUGUCCAACUUCGCCACCAGAUUAAUGUUUUUGUUCCUCUUGUUGAUGUCUCUGAUAAUCUCCUGGCUAGUAAAAUAUUCUCCGUAAUGCUUCUUCCUUUAACAAAGCCUAAUUGAGUCUGUGAUAUAAUAUUAGGUAAAACUAAUAUCAUCCUCUCAUGCACCAUCCUAGAGAUAAUUUUAUUCAUAAAGGAACUAAGACUUAUGGGUUGAAGGUCUGCACAACUCUUCACUGUUUCUUUUUUAGGCAACACACCAGAUUCGUAUGCGUUAUAAACUUGGACAUCUCUUGUCCACAAAAUAAAGCCUGCACCACCCUGGUAAUGUCGUCCUCUAUUAUCUCCCAACAGUAUUGAAAGAAAUGACCCAUAAAACCAUCCGGACCGUAUGCGUUGCCACUAUUUAAUGCAAAGACCACUUUUUUGACUUUCUCUUGGUCUGGAGGCUUGGUCAUUACUUCAUUUUCUGCAUUAUAUAUACACUUAGGGAUAUGUUCAUGCAUCAUGUAAUCCUCUCCACUAUUCUCCUAUGCAAAUUGGUCCUUGUAGUAGUCCACUGAUGCACCCCCAAUUUCGUCAUUAGACAUCAAGGUUACCCCUUGCUCUGUAGUCAUUUCAGCAAUGUGUAGUUUCUUUCUUCUCCUUUUAACAUAUGAAUGGAAAAUUUUGGUGUUCCUAUCCCCGUCUGUGAACCACUUCAUUCCCGCUUUUUGCGUCCAAAAUUUCUCCUCCAAACUAAGAUAGUUUUUUAAUUCUGCCUCUACCUUACUCACUUCAACCCUGUUACUUACUGACGGUUGUAUCUCCAGCUGCGCCUCUUUGAUCUUAAUAAUGUCCUCUAUCAUUGCAAUCUGUUAGAAAACGUUUCCAAAAGCUACUUUGCUCGAAGUUGACAAUGCUUUCUUGACCUUCUUCAUUUUAGUAUGGAAUUCAACAAAUGGAUUCCCCACAUAAUCAAUCUUCCAGCUUUCCUCUACAAUCUUCUUGAACUGAUGAUGUUUACUCAAAAUAUUCAAAAAUCUAAAAGGCUUGAUCGAAGGUUCCUCUUGUGUGUUGCAAAUCAUAUGAAGUGGUGCAUGAUCAGAUCCCUGCCUGAUGAGAUGUUGUACCUCGAAGGAUGGGAACACCUCGGUGAAUUCUUGAUUUACCAAUAUCCUAUCCAAUCUUUUAAAUAUGCACACCUCCUCUAUCUGACCAUUCCACCAUGUAUAUUUACUACCUGAAAAAAUGUAUUUCAGAUAGGGCACAGCUACUAAUGAAGGCUGCAAAGUCCAUGGCUUCAUUAUGUGUAAUGUCUAAUCCUCCUAACUUUUCCUCCUCCUUUAGAAUCAUAUUAAAAUCUCCACCAAUGACCCAAGGGCACUGCACUCUCUCCGCCAUGCUAUAUAAUUCUUCCCAUAGUUCCAGCCUCUCUAAAGCAUUGCACCUAGCAUAUACCGCUGAAAUGAUGAACUCCUUAUCAUUUUUUCUGAAUUGUAUAGAAACUUGUUGCACUGUGUCUAAUAUAAUACUACCUUCCCACUCCUCCUUCCAAAAGUACCAAAUUUUUCCGUUACAAUUUACUCCCGCUUUGUCAAAUCCUAACUUCCUUUUAUAUUGAUCUAACUCUAAUGGAUUUUGAAAAGGUUCCAUCAAAGCUAUAAAUAAGUAAUGAUGUCUUUUAUUCAAAUCCAUUAAUUGCUCAAAAUACUUUUGAAUGUUAAUGGACCUUACAUUCCAGAAAAUUAUUUUUUCAAUCAUUGAUCACUACUGGCUCCCAUAUCCCCGUUACUCCUUAUUUUUGACCUGUAACGGAAUAACUGGUCUACCUUUUCAUGCCCCAUACUUUAAACUGUUAGUGUGCCUUGGGGAUAAGUCCCCGACUUUACUAAUCUCCUGAAUGUUAUACUCCAUAUCAUCGUCCUCUUCAGUGUUUCGUCUAAGUUGCAACACUUCAUCUUCUUCCUCUAUUAAAUCUGACCCCUUUGCUAUUUCCUCAGCAUCAUAAGAAUCACUCUUCUCUUCUCCAUGUCUUAAUACAAUUAGAUUUCAUGGCGUGUGCAACAUUAUCUUCACCUCCGAGUAGUCUACUUUCUCCACCUUUAAUCGUUGAUGUCACUUCUUUUCCAUUCUGCCCGUAUUGUGAUGCCUUGCAUUGAUUUUCUUCCAUUUGAUCUGUCCUGCUUUCUUCUGCACUUGUUUGUCGACCAACUGUAUUGCCUUUGCCUUUGUUAGUACCACCUGAUUUGUACAACUGUUCUUUGUUAUCACUCCUUCGUACCCGUGGAGAACGAUCCAUGAAUGGUACGCUCUCCAUCUCUACCUCAUUUUUAUUCACCAUAUCCUUUUCCUGCUCCUUUCCUGUAUCCUGAUUUUCGAACUCCAACAAGUUAAACUUGUUUCCUGUUAAUAUACCCACUUUGUUCCAAACUUUCUCAGUCUCUUUGUGCCUUUCUCCUCCCCAUUUUUUGUGUCUAUAUUCCACAAAUUCUUCCUCUUUUUUGCCGUUACAUUUCUCUCCUUCCUACCCUAUUGUGUUUUCUCCUUUAAUAUAUUCUUUGCUAGUGAUUCCUUCGAUCUUCUUGCCCUUAUCCUAUCUUGCUUUCUCCUUGUGUGGAUAUAAUUCGGGAUGUACAUCAUAGCACUGUUGUUCAUUAUGCCCCUAAAUCAUACAAGUCUGAUAAUACUUUGGAACAUAAUCAUAUUUGAUUUUGAUCCACUUCACUAUUUCCUCAUUCUUCAUCCUCAUCCCAAUUUUAAUUCGUUUUGGAAAUUCUUUCAGAAGAGCCACUUCCACUUUGACUCACACACAACUUGGUCUUGUCUGAUUCCUAGUUGCUAUAUCCAUAUGCAGGGUACUGCUGCUGCUAGUGAAAACACUGCUUCUUUUCCAAAAAAAAAUUGGUGGUAGGGAUGGAAAAGAUAUCCAUGCAAUCUAUCACUCCCCGAGCUACCCCCGAGAUGCGGACACGGGACCUAGGACCACAAGUGAUCCCAAGCUAACCCUACUGGCAUGAUCAUGAGCAUACUAAAUAUAAUCUGAAUAGUAGAAACUGUGCGGAAGCUAUAAUCAUAAACAAAAUGAAAAGAUGGGGAAUACCCAUAUACUAUAAUUGGGAUAUUGAUAAAUGAUGAGUUUAAUACGAAGAAGAUAUUAACUCAAUACUAACCUGAAUCUAACUAUGUUUGAAAUAAGCCUCUAAACUGACUAGAAAUGUUUGGACAUGCCCCAACUAGAUCUAGCAAAACUGAAACUAAAGACUAAAAGUGAUAAAGAUAAACAUGUCACUAGUCCUCGAAGAAUGAGGACUCACCACUGAUGUUGCUGAAUUGGAGACCGGAAAUCGAUCUAAGCGUGAUCUGGAUGCUGAGAACCUGAACCUACAUCACGAGAAGAUGUAGCGCACGUAUGCGUCAGUACUUGAAAGGUACUGAGCAUGCAGGAUAGAGUAAAGCUGAAAUAACAUAUAACUGAACAAAGCAAUAAAGCAAUGAAAUAAUCCGAACAUGAUAUAGAUACUGAAAAUACUGAAUACUGAGCUAACUGAUGCAAUGACCAAAUUUAUAACAUGCUGAGACUGAAUACUGACUGUACUGAAAUAUGGUCAAUGCAAUAGAGUCUGACUGAACUGUGGGAGCUACUAAUAACCGACAUAAAACCACAUGAGCUAAAUGUGGAGUCCGAUGUAUACGCCCCAUCGAGAGGACCCAAUAUUAUAACUGAAUAUAUUAUGACUAAAAUACUGAAUAACUCAAAAUACUGACAUGUAGAUUCUCAUACUUGAAAACUCCUUUUUAGAAAACAAUUCAACAUCAUAUUAUACUCUGAUCAUUGAUGACUUGGGAAGUCAUACUGCAUAAACAUUGAUGGUAUAUCUAGAUACCAUACUAUUCAUACAUUGAUGACCUACUCAAUUGUCAUACUAAUCAUGUUUUAGAAGCUCUUUCUCAAAACUCAUCUUAACUUUCUCAAAAACUCAGUUUAAAACUCAAGUGUUGUCUUAAAGAAAAGCUUCUCAAGAUUUAUAACUCAAAAUAGGGUUUAUGCUGAAAUAUACUGAUAAUGUGGCAUCAAACUGGAGCAUGUAUAUCUAAAUAACUGAAAUAUCUAACCUAGCAUGUGUAAUUCAAGAACUAAUGAAAUACAUAGCUAGGGUUCUGAAAUUUAUGUAAGAAGCUGAGCAAUAACAUGAUAAUUUGAUUUGGAAUAUUUAAAUAACUAAUUCAUGAUGAUCUGUUGUAAUUUUAGAAGCCCUAGGUCUGUUCAUAAUUAUGGAAUCAAGAAUCUGACUGAAUUCUAGGGACCUAAUGGGCGAAAGGAACCCACUAGUGAAAUCCUACAUACCUGGUGACGAAUUCCACGGAGAAAUCUUUUGAUUUCGGGGCUGUAACUGAUGGAACCUUGCUGCGUUCUUGAACUAGGGUUCUUGACCUCUCUUCUCCUCUCUUGCUUCUAAUUUUGUAAGUUUUGAUUAAUGAUUUUGACUAAGGUAAGUUCUAAUUAUGUUUCUAGGUUUAAACUGACUAAAACCUUAUGAUUUAGGGUCAAAAUGACGAAUCUUAGGGGUUAAACGAAAUAGGAAAAGACCAAAAGACCCCUGACUUAAUUGCUGUUGGAGUGACUGACGGAUUGGACCUACGGUCCGUCAUUCAAUCUACGGUCCAUCGAUUGGGUCCGUAGGUUGAGUCUGCCCGACAGGGCUUCACUAAAACGAGAAUGACUUUUUACUCGUAGGUCAGAAUUUAGCAAACUCAGUGGCGUUGGAAAGAUAAUUCAAUUAUCUAUCAUAUCAUAGGUUAUGGGACACCUAAUUCAUUUUGUUCUAAGAGUUAUGACCAUCUGAAGUUGACCCAUCAAGAAUUUUCAUCUAACUAGCUACUAACCCUCAUCUACGGUCAGACCUACGAACCGUGGAUCGAAUGACGGUCCGUGCUGGUCGACCGUAGUUCAUGUCAAAGGUUGGGUAAAGGAGAUCUCGAUCCACGGUCACAGACCACGGACCGUGGGUCUGUCCGUGAGUCGGGACUUAGCUAAUUUUUCUGAGCUGGUUUGGGGAGAGGUUGCAGUGGUGAACCACGGACCACUAGCAUGGGCUGUAGUCUGACCUACGGUCCGUGGAUGGUGACCGUAAGUUGCACCUGCAACUUCUCAAAAUCUGCAUUUUUGGUCUGUUUCGGAUACGGGGUGUUACACAAUCGUUGUCGAUGUCUCCUCUUCCAGAUUAAACAUUGGAUCCCACUUUAGUGUUCUCAUCGGAAAUGACCAAUUCUUUUGAGUGAUGUAAAAGGCUGGCUUCGAUAGAAGAUGAACAUAGUCUUUUAAUAAUUUCGCCCUAAUCAACACAUGUCUAUUACUCAAUAAUCCUAUAUUACAAUCUCUAUUUACUUCAGACUGUUUUGGAAUGAGCUUUCUCAAAUCUUGUAUAUCUGGCCAACCAUACGAGACUUCCCAAUUAUAACAUAUUCCAAUUUUUCAUUGACAAUUAUCUGAUUCACCUCUUCUUGCACCCAUAUUAUUUUAUGGUUCCCCAUGUAGGUAUGUAAUUGGCUUUAACAGAAUCAACUUGAUUUGAGUUCCUUUUGGUUUUAACGACUCAGCAUACGUGAUCUUCGACGAAGGGAUGGAUAGGCCUACCUCAGGAUGAGGCUAGCCCGUGGCUGUGUCGGCCAUGGUUACCGGAAAAGUAAAAGAAUUGAUGACGGCGGGAGGGUUUGACUAUACCUGAGUAGUGCAACAUAUAUCAGUUUGAAUUACUUCAUGAAUGUAUCUUUUGUUUCAUUUUACUUUUUAUUUAUAUUAUAAAAAAUAUACUUUUUACUGUUCAUCGACAAGGUCUCAAACAGAGAUCACAAGGUCUGAACAAACAUAAUGGACAGAAGGCCAACAAAGUCAAGUUUCGAGUCAGCACGAAUCAACACCUCCUCCCAACUAAGAAAUUUUCUUUGAGUGCAGGAACAACAAAGAGACAUGAUGCUACUAUUGGACUACAUCAAAGGCAUCAUUUGCCUCCAGGGCCUCGCUUGAAAAAGACAAAUGACUCCACUUUUCACUUUAUCUCCGACUUUAUUUCUUUUACUUCAUCAUGGCUUAGUACUCUUAUUAACGUCUUUAUCCAAAAUUUCCAAGUAAAAUUCCACCCUAUAUUGGGUUAGUCCACCCUAAAAUAGGACAUGGGUUCGUCCACCCUAAAAUAGGACAAGUCAGGUUCAUCCACCCUAAAAUAGGAUAUACACACAUUUAGGUUCAUUCACCCUAAAAUAGGAUACACACACAUAUUAAACUCAUACUUUAUGAUGUCACUAACAACUUUACCUUUUUCAAAUACAUCGUAUAUCAUUAAGACCCCGAAGACAACUGGAGGCCUCAUUUAUCAUUCAAGUCCCCGAAGACAACCGGUGACCUCAUUUAUCAUUCAAGUCUCUGAAGACAACCGGAGACAUUGUCACAUCAUCUGAUUUUUCCUUUGGUAAAAAGACAAAUCCGAUGGAACCAGAUCACUUGCCAAGUAGUUAGCAAAGUCUGCGAACCAAAAAAUAAGAUCAUGAGAAGCAGCCAAUACCUGUUCAUCUGGAAAAACAUCAUUAAUUUUAGCUCCAUCUCCUAGCUUGAGCAUAGCUUCCUCCUCUAAUCUGGACAAAUGAUCGGCAACUUGAUUUUCUGUCCCCUUUCUAUCUUCACCUCAAAAUCGAAAUCUUGCAGCAACAACACCCAUCUAAUCAACCUCGGUUUUGCAUCCUUUUUAGCCAUCAGAUACCUCAAUGCAGAAUGGUCAGUAUGCACUAUGGCCUUAGUACCAAGCAAGUAGGAUCGAAAUUUCUCAAAUGCGAAAACCACAGCAAGGAUUUCUUGUUCAGUUACCGUAUAGUUCUUUUGAGCCACAUUCAGAGCUUUGCUGGCAUAGUAAAUAGGAUGAAAAAAUCUUCUCUUGCCUCUGUCCCAAUACCACACUAAGCGCCACUCCACUCGCAUCACACAUCACUUCAAACGGUUGCCCCCAAUCCGGUGAAAUAAUGAUAAGUGCGGAAACUAGCUUUUCUUUCAACUCUCCAAAUGUCUCAGACAAGCAUCAUCAAAAACAAACUCACACUCCUUUUCGAGCAAUUUGCAUAAUAGGUGUGCAAUUUUGGAGAAAAUUUUAAUAAACAUCCUAUAAAAGCCUGCAUGCCCAAGAAAACUUCUAACACCUUUAACAGAGAUAGGUGGUGGAAACUUUUCUAUUACCUCAACUUUAGCUCUAUCAACCUCAAUACCCCUCUUAGAAAUCCGAUGACCCAGAACGAUCCCCUCUUUCACCAUGAAGUGGAACUUUUCCCAAUGGAGCACAAGAUUGCACUCUUCAUAACGUUUUAGUACCUCAGCCAGAUUAUUCAAACAACGAUCAAAAGAGCCAUUUACCACAGAUAAAUCAUCCAUAAAUACCUUGAUAAUGUCCUCUAUCAUAUCUGAAAAUAUCGGUAUCAUACAAUGCUGGAAAGUUAAUGGAGCAUUACAUAAUCUGAAUGGCAUUCUUUUGAAGGCGAAAGUCCCAUAAGGGCAAAUGAAGGUAGUCUUUUCUUGGUCUUCCGGAGCUAUGGAGAUUUGAUUGUGGCCCAAAUACCCAUCUAGAAAACAAUACCAACCCUUACUAGCAAGACGAUCCAACAUGUGAUCCAUGAACGACAUAGGGAAGUGAUCUUUCUCUAUCCAUGCACUUAGCUUGCGGUAGUCCAUGCACACUCUCCAACCAGUCACCGGCCUCAUUGGAAUAAGCUCAUUCUUAGUGUUUGGAACCACAAUGAUUCCCCAUUUCUUAGGCACAUAUUGAACAAGACACACCCAACUACUAUCAGUAAUGGGAUAAAUAACUCCAGCAUCCAACCACUUGAUGAUUUCCUUUUUCACGACCUCUUGAAUAGGAGAAUUUAGUCUCCUUUGGUGCUCGAUACUAGGCUUGUUGUCCAACAUGAGUUGGAUUUUAUGAGAACAAAUGCAAGGAGGAAUCCCAUAAUGUCUGCAAUAGUUCACCCAAUAGCCCGCUUGAACCUUUUCAACAUAGAAACCAAUGCCUCAACUUGCACCUCACUUAAAUCGGCCACAAUGAUGACCGGUAAAGUACUAUCUCUCCCCAAGAAUACAUACCUCAAAUGCAAUGGUAGAGCCUUGAGCUCCAAUUUUGGAGCCACUUCAACAGACGAUUUUGCGGGUAGAGAGUCGCGAUUCUUCAUAACUAGCUCUAAUCUCUUUGGCUUGGAAUGGAAUUCGAACCUAUCAAGUGCGGCGACCAAUUCAUCAUAGUCUUCAAUACCUUCACCCUCAAAAUUCAUCAUUACCGCUGCCAGUGCAUCAACACCCAACCUUUCUUCAAUAGACACUUCAGAACCUCGCUCCACAAUAUGAUCCACCACCGACACUGACUUGAGAUCGCUUUUCUGCUUCAUGGACCUACAGUUAUUAAAAGUUACCUCUUCACUAUUCAAUCGAAACUUCAUCUGCACUCUCUCCAUAUCGACCAAGGCGCGCCCAGUAGCAAGGAAUGGUCUUCCUAGGAUGAUGGGAACCUCAAAAUCAACCUCACAAUCAAGUAUCACAAAAUCUGUUGGAAAAAUAAACGACUCCACUUUCACAAGUACAUUUUGGAGAACACCAUUGGGCUUCUUCACAGUUCUAUCGGCCAUGAGUAGUCGCAUCGCAGUAAGUUUUGGAGCCCCGAAACCCAACUUCUUGUAAAUAGAUAAUGGCAUCAGAUUAAAUAGACAAUAACCCAAUGGUACAAGGAAUAGUGAAAGCACCAUGAUCCUCUUUCUUCUACAUAAGCGACCUAGUAGCAAUAGCCCUACAAUGUUGCAACCUAUCAUCUUCAAAUCUUUUAUAAAUUUUGCGUACCCAUGCAUUUUCUCCAAAGCUUCUAUCAACGGAACAUUGAUGGAAAGUUGUUUCAACAUAGUAAUAAACAUGCAGUAUUUUCCUUCUUCAUUCUUCUUUACCAACCUCUGUGGGAAUAGAGGUGGAGGUCUAGGCAUGAGAACAACUUUUUGGGUUAUCUUCGCUUCCUUCUUUGUAGCAUUCUUGGACUCUCCAGUAACCUCAAUCUCAUCAUCAUUUUUUUCAACCAUAAUUGAAACCUCAGACGACAUAGGUGGAUCAAUAGUCUAUUUACCCCCUCGAGUAGUGACUGCCAUACAAUGCCCAUCAUUCUUCAGAUUCUGGAUGGUGUUGCUAAGAAGUGUGACAGGCUAACGUGGGUUUACUUUAGUGGACAACUGAUUCAUUUGAUGCUCAAGUUGCUUGAUCGACACUGCAUGGGCAUCAACUUUUUGACCAAUUCCAGACAAGUCAUUUCACAUCCCCUUUACAUUCUCAUUAGUCGUAUCAAACCUCUUCAUCAUCUUCUGCAUCAUAUCCUCAAUACGUGACAUGCUACCCCUAGCUUCCCUAUAGCCAGAUUCCUAAUUUUCAGGAGGAAUAUAAGGCCCACUUCUCUCAUUUCUGUUGCCAUAGUUAUUCCGGUUGUAGUUGUUGUCAUGAUUGUAGUUCCCAUCCCUGACAUAGUUACCAUCUCAAUUGUAGUUACCAUAGUUCCGACUUUGGUUUCUUGACCUUGGCACCAGUUAUCCGAGUUGGAACCUUGGGUGUUGGCUUAGAAACCCCCCGUCUGAUCAUUCACCAAAUAAGCAUCCUCCUCAUAGUAGCAUUUCUCAACUGGUGGUGGUGGAGUUCUAGUCAAGUAGUUUACCACAUUCACCUUUUCUGCACCUCCGCUCACAUGCUUCAACAUCAACCCAAGUUUUGUCCUCAUCUAAGCCAUCUCCUCACGAAUGUCAUCGGCAGAUUGACUAGGUGCAACUUGAACUGAAAAAGUGUUUCUUCUGGUGUCUGACUUUCUAGGGCCCCAUGCUUUAUUGUUUCGGGAAAUCUUCUCCAAUUUCUCAGCGCUCUCCUCAAAAUUGCACUCACCAUAAGAUCCUCCAGUGAUAGUAUCAAACACAGCCUUACCAUUGUCAUCAUGUCCUCUAUAGAAGUACUAUUUUAGUGACUCAUCAUCAAUGCGGUGAUUUGGAACACUUCGUAUGAAUGCAGUGAACCUAUCCCACGAACUACUCACAAACUCUCCAGGUAGUGCUAUAAAGUUAUUCAGUUUGUCCUUGUGAUGCAGCUUCUUGGACAACAGAAAAUACUUUCCUAUGAACACCUUGUGCAAUUGAUCCCAUGUGUGAAUCGAGUUAUACGGAAGCUCAGAAAACCAUACCGCAACAUUUCCGGUCAGUGAUAGAGGGAAGAAUCGCAACCCUAUGACAUUCAUGUCCAACUCUGGUCGACCCGCACAACUGUUGCAAACACUCCUCAACUUGGCCAUGUGCCCAUGCAGAUCUUCCGAAGCCAUACCAGAGAACAAACCCUUUGCUAUAAGCAUCUGCAUCAAACUGCUAGUCACCACGAAUGUAUGCCUUAGGGGUAGAGGAGGGAGAAUAAUAUGUCCUUUAGAUUCAAUGGUAUUGAAGUCGACCCUAUAAUUAUCAUGCAAUCUUGGUUCAGGUGGAUUCUGCACCCUCAAUGCAUCUCUGGGUAGAUUUUCACCCUGAACCUGAGCAUUCUCAUUAUUCAUUUGUUCCUCAGGCUCCUCUAUGGUUGGAUUAUUAUGGACCCCUUGAUUAUUCAUCUUUCUCAAAGUUUUGCUCAACUCUGGAUCGUAUGGGGUCAGUGGUUCGUCUCAACUCCGUGUACUUGGCAUACACUAGAGCAGAAACCCGAGAAAACAAAAACAAAAGAAAAUGUAAAAUUAGGAAAUAAUUGACUAAAGUUCAAUAAUGUAAUUAAACUUAAUCUAAAAGCCUUAUUCCCCGGCAGCAGCGCCAAAAUUUGAUACGCUCAAAUUACACCUCCCUAAAGAAGUAUAAGAGAUCGUUAUCAAGUAAAGAACCCAACUUGUAGGUUGAGAUUGAUCCCACAAGGAAUAUGGUUUAGACUUAAACUUCACUCACGAUUAUAUUCAUUUAGUCAACUUAUUUCUAAGACAAGUAAUUAAAUGGGGUGGGGGGUGGGGGGUGGGAUUUGUGAAACAAAUAACUGAUUGUUGUUUAAGUACAAAGUGAGCAAGAUUUGAACUUUGUUGUUAUCAAUGAGAGAGAAACUAGGGCGUAUGUGUUCCUCAUGAGCUCUUAACACGGUACUCCUAAUAAUAGUAAUCAUUUCCUAGUGUUUUUCAUACAAAGUUGGUAAGAUAGGUAUCCCUAAGUGAUUGGUCCUCCAAAUAGGGAAUUUCACCCUGCACCUUGGUCCGGCUACGUGUGUAUAAUUUACUAACCCUUACCUCAGAUUAGACAUCACAUCAAUGUAUGCCUUAGUUUUCACCCUCACACCAAUUGACAUUAGACUAUUAGAUAGUAUCACACUAGAUCUCUAUUGAUAAUUCAUUUCUUAUUAAUUACCUCAUUGGUCUGGCAAGUAGCAACAAGGUGAGUUCUAACGUUGCGCACCGUUAAAAAGACUUCUAAGUGAAAGAAUUACCAAUACAUGCAUCAACACUAUUUAAGAUUUACUUAGUUAUUAUUUAUACUUUGUUAAUUGCUCAUGGUUUCCACAACCCUAGUUGUGGAUUUAGCUACUUAUGCUUGCAAGAUCACAAUUCAUGUUUAAGAAGAAAGAAAUCAUGAACUUACAAUUAGAGUAGAAGAAACCCGAAAUCUCCAAUUGAAAUUCAAAGCACAAUUCAUUAUAACCCAAAAUUCUAAAAUCAAAUUGCUAAAGUUUGCAAGUUAAUUCCCAAGAAAAUACCAAGAACUAAAAGUAAACAAUAAUGUCUAACCCCCAAAACUGAGGUUUACAUACCCUAUUUAUAGAAAAACAUGUCCUAAACAAAAAGGAAACAAAAUAAGAAAAUGAACUUUAUGGACGCGGCUUUGAUCGACGAGACUGACCUACGGAUCGUGGAUUGACCUACGGUCCGUAGGUUCCUUCCGUAGCUCCAUACUUAGACUAUUUUGCCGAGGCUGGAACCUUCAACUCCCAGUUACAAAUGACGGACAUGCAGAACGGACCGUAGGCUGACCUACGGUCUGUGGGUCCUCUUCCGUGGCUCCACACUUAGAACUUUUCAUCAUGUACUGAACUCCAAACUCCCAGUUAUCAUUGACGGAGGUGCAGGACGGCCCGUGGGCUGACCUACGGUCCGUAACUCGCCUCUGUGGUUCCACACUUAGUUAGACUUCCAUGAUGCUCCAUCUAUGCCACCCAUCGACUGACCGUCAAUGAACCUACGGUCCGUAGGUCACUUCCGUGGGUGGCUCCUUCUGCAGUUUUUCAGCUGUCAUCUCACGCCUCCACGUCCAAGCCUAUUUUCUGCAAAUAUAACAUAAAAACAUUAAUUCCAAUACAAAAUGGCCCUAGAUACACACAACUCUUAAGUGAAAUGUAUUAAAAAUAUCGUAUACUCACAGUAUAUCAAUCAACAACAACAUUAGCCUUACUUGGGUGAUAAAGAAUACUCAUGUAUAAUCCUUGAGUGAUUCUAACCACCUUCUCUGUCUGAGAUUAAUCUCUUUCUGACUAAACACAUACUGAAGACUCUUGUGGUCGGUGAACACAUCCACAUGAACACCAUAAAGAUAAUGACGCAAUAUUUUCAAAGCAAUUACUACGGCAGCCAACUCUAGAUCAUGGGUUGGGUAAUUCUUCUUAUGAACCUUAAGUUGUCUAGAGGCAUAAGCUAUAACCUUGCCAUUCUUCAUUAACAUACAACCCAAACCAACUCUAGAUGCAUCACAAUAUACAACAAAGCCUUGCGUACCCUCUGGUAGUUUUCAAUUCCUGAAAGUUCUUCUCAUAAGCUUCAGACCAUUGGAGCUUAAUUGUUUUCUGAUUCAACUUGGUCAAAGAGGACAAAAUGGAUGAGAACAUGUCGAUGAACCUUCUAUAAUAUCCAGCCAACCCUAAGAAACUCCUAAUAUCAGUUGGAGAUGUGGGUCUAGGCCAAUUCUGCACUGCCUUUAUUUUCCGGGUGUCAACUCUAAUUCCAUCACUGGAAAUAAUGUGGCCUAGGAAUGCCACAGACUCAAGCUAGAACUCACACUUAGAGAACUUAUCAUACAACUCUCUAUCAUUUAGAGUUUGGAGGACUACUCUGAGAUGACUAGCAUGAUCUUCCUCAUUUCUCGAAUAAAUUAGUAUGUCUGCAGGUGCAUUAUUUAAACCGAACAACAUGACCAAACACUCAUAAUGACCAUAACGGGUUCGGAAUGCUGUCUUUGGAAUAUCACAUUCCCUUACUUUCAACUGAUGGUAGCCUGAUGAGGUCUAUCUUAGAAAAACAAGUGGCACCCUGAAGUUGAUCGAAUAGAUCAUCAAUUCUCGAAAGAGGAUACUUAUUUUUUAUAGUAACCUUGUUCAACUGAUGGUAAUCUAUACACAUUCUAAGAGAACCAUUUUCUUUCUCACAAAUAAGACCGGUGAGACACUUGGUCGAAUAAAACCUUUCUUAAGGUCUUUCAACUGCUCUUUUAACUCUUUCAACUCUGCUGGUGCAAUUCUAUAUGGAGAAACAGAUAUAAGGUGAGUAUCAUGAAGAAUAUCUAUACCAAAGUUUAUUUCUUUCUCAAGAGGGACUCCGGGAAGAUCAUCUGGAAAGACUUCUGGAAACUCUUUAACAACUGAAAAUGACUGAAGAGGAGGUGUCUCAACACUAGAGUCAUUAACUUGGACUAAGCGCUAGACACACCCCUUGGAAACUAACUUCCUCGUCUUAAGGUAUGAAAUAAAAUGACCUUUAGGCACAGCUGAACUACUCUUCCAGUCUAUAACUGGUUCACUGGGAAACUGGAACUUGACUACUCGAGUUCUACAAUCUAUUGAUGCAUAACAGACAUGAAGCCAGUCCAUACCUAGAAUGACAUCAAAAUCUACCAUGUCUAACUCAACAAAGUCAUCCGUAGUGCUCUUGUGAUUGACGGAAGUGGUACAAUCACGAUAGACUCUCUCAACUAGAAUAGACUCACCAACAUGUUUAAAAACACUGAUGGGCUCAAGAAGUUGCUCAGGAAGAACAUCAAAAUUCAUUGCAACAUAAGGAGUCACAAAAGAUAAACUCGCACCUGCAUUUAGCAAAGCAUAAACACCAAAAUUGAAGACUUGGAUCAUACCAGUGACAACAUCUGGCGAAUCCUCUUGCUCUUGGCGACUAGUGAUAGCAUAAAGACGAUUUCCUCCUUAGUCUGUCCCUAAAGUAGAUCCUCUAGAUGCAGCUCUGUCUGGUGGAGCAACUUAAGAAGAUUGGGCUUUAUUGCCCCCAUUACCAUUACCCUGCAUGUUUUUAGGACACUCUCUCAUAAAAUGACCGCUCUGACCACACGUGAAGCAACCAGUGGAGCCAUCACGACACACCCCUGAGUGGCUCCUACCACACUUAGCACAUGCAUGAGUCUUAGUACCCCUUUGUUCCAAACUACCUUGAGAAUGUACAGGUCUAGCUCUUAAAUUCUGGGAAUUCUGAUUUUGGAAUUCACUUCUGUUUCUUGGUGCAAGUGCACUAGCAGAUGAUGGAGAAUGUCCCUUUAGUUUCUGUUGGAAGGAAGACCGGUUUGUAUUACUCUUUUGCUGCCCGGACUCGUUCCCUGAUGUCUUAGCCCUCUUAUUCUUAAACUCUUCUCUAUCCCUCAACUUGUCCUCCUCAACCUGUUGCACGUGGAUCAUUAACUUUGUUAUGUCCAUAUCCCCUAUCAAUAUAGUCGUCUUGCCUUCUUUGCUUGACAGACGAGAGAACUCAGCAACAAAUAAACUCAUCCUGCUCCUCAUGUCAGCAACCAUCUCCGGAGCAUAGCGGGAAAGUUGUGUGAACUUCAGACUGUAUUCAUGAACACUCACAGAUUCCUGCUUAAGGGUGAGAAAUUCUCGUACCUUUGCUUCCCUCAGUUCUUGGGGAAAGAAACCUCCCAAGAAAGCCUCUUCAAACAAAUCCCAACUCACAAGUGGUGCACCCUCAACCCUAUUCUUUUUCCACUGAUCAAACCAGAUUCUAGCGACAACCUUCAUUUGGCAUGCAACUAAUUCCACCCUCUCAGCAUCAACAACGUGCAUAAUCUCAAAAACCUUCUGAAGCUCCUCAACAAAGUUUUCUGGAUCCUCAGUGAUACUUGAACCAGUGAAGCUUGGAGGAUUCAUCGUUAAUAACUCACGAAUCCUAGACGUAUCAGCAACAUCCUGGUGAACUCCUCUCUGUUGUCCAAAUUUAUUGGUCACUACUUGACUUAACAUCCGAAUAGCCUCACUGAACUCAACAUUGGUGACCUCUCCUUGGGGUUGCACUUUAGGUGUAUUAGGUACCCUUAUUCCUGUGGUUCAACAUUUUUCUAGCCGGAUGACCUCUGACAGCUCUUCGAAGAGGCAUGCUCUGAAAGACACGCGCAAGCACGAGUUAGAAAGACAAUUUUAUGGAGAUACACUCUAUCGCACGAAAUAAGUAUGAAAGAAGUGAGAUAGUUCCUAAGUGUCGCAGCCUCUUUAUUAUAGAUGGGGCCCGCUUCACACCGAUAACUAGGACUCUACAGACACGGCUUCAUAGACNNNNNNNNNNNNNNNNNNNNNNNNNNNNNNNNNNNNNNNNNNNNNNNNNNNNNNNNNNNNNNNNNNNNNNNNNNNNNNNNNNNNNNNNNNNNNNNNNNNNNNNNNNNNNNNNNNNNNNNNNNNNNNNNNNNNNNNNNNNNNNNNNNNNNNNNNNNNNNNNNNNNNNNNNNNNNNNNNNNNNNNNNNNNNNNNNNNNNNNNNNNNNNNNNNNNNNNNNNNNNNNNNNNNNNNNNNNNNNNNNNNNNNNNNNNNNNNNNNNNNNNNNNNNNNNNNNNNNNNNNNNNNNNNNNNNNNNNNNNNNNNNNNNNNNNNNNNNNNNNNNNNNNNNNNNNNNNNNNNNNNNNNNNNNNNNNNNNNNNNNNNNNNNNNNNNNNNNNNNNNNNNNNNNNNNNNNNNNNNNNNNNNNNNNNNNNNNNNNNNNNNNNNNNNNNNNNNNNNNNNNNNNNNNNNNNNNNNNNNNNNNNNNNNNNNNNNNNNNNNNNNNNNNNNNNNNNNNNNNNNNNNNNNNNNNNNNNNNNNNNNNNNNNNNNNNNNNNNNNNNNNNNNNNNNNNNNNNNNNNNNNNNNNNNNNNNNNNNNNNNNNNNNNNNNNNNNNNNNNNNNNNNNNNNNNNNNNNNNNNNNNNNNNNNNNNNNNNNNNNNNNNNNNNNNNNNNNNNNNNNNNNNNNNNNNNNNNNNNNNNNNNNNNNNNNNNNNNNNNNNNNNNNNNNNNNNNNNNNNNNNNNNNNNNNNNNNNNNNNNNNNNNNNNNNNNNNNNNNNNNNNNNNNNNNNNNNNNNNNNNNNNNNNNNNNNNNNNNNNNNNNNNNNNNNNNNNNNNNNNNNNNNNNNNNNNNNNNNNNNNNNNNNNNNNNNNNNNNNNNNNNNNNNNNNNNNNNNNNNNNNNNNNNNNNNNNNNNNNNNNNNNNNNNNNNNNNNNNNNNNNNNNNNNNNNNNNNNNNNNNNNNNNNNNNNNNNNNNNNNNNNNNNNNNNNNNNNNNNNNNNNNNNNNNNNNNNNNNNNNNNNNNNNNNNNNNNNNNNNNNNNNNNNNNNNNNNNNNNNNNNNNNNNNNNNNNNNACGACACACCCCUGAGUGGCUCCUACCACACUUAGCACAUGCAUGAGUCUUAGUACCCCUUUGUUCCAAACUACCUUGAGAAUGUACAGGUCUAGCUCUUAAAUUCUGGGAAUUCUGAUUUUGGAAUUCACUUCUGUUUCUUGGUGCAAGUGCACUAGCAGAUGAUGGAGAAUGUCCCUUUAGUUUCUGUUGGAAGGAAGACCGGUUUGUAUUACUCUUUUGCUGCCCGGACUCGUUCCCUGAUGUCUUAGCCCUCUUAUUCUUAAACUCUUCUCUAUCCCUCAACUUGUCCUCCUCAACCUGUUGCACGUGGAUCAUUAACUUUGUUAUGUCCAUAUCCCCUAUCAAUAUAGUCGUCUUGCCUUCUUUGCUUGACAGACGAGAGAACUCAGCAACAAAUAAACUCAUCCUGCUCCUCAUGUCAGCAACCAUCUCCGGAGCAUAGCGGGAAAGUUGUGUGAACUUCAGACUGUAUUCAUGAACACUCACAGAUUCCUGCUUAAGGGUGAGAAAUUCUCGUACCUUUGCUUCCCUCAGUUCUUGGGGAAAGAAACCUCCCAAGAAAGCCUCUUCAAACAAAUCCCAACUCACAAGUGGUGCACCCUCAACCCUAUUCUUUUUCCACUGAUCAAACCAGAUUCUAGCGACAACCUUCAUUUGGCAUGCAACUAAUUCCACCCUCUCAGCAUCAACAACGUGCAUAAUCUCAAAAACCUUCUGAAGCUCCUCAACAAAGUUUUCUGGAUCCUCAGUGAUACUUGAACCAGUGAAGCUUGGAGGAUUCAUCGUUAAUAACUCACGAAUCCUAGACGUAUCAGCAACAUCCUGGUGAACUCCUCUCUGUUGUCCAAAUUUAUUGGUCACUACUUGACUUAACAUCCGAAUAGCCUCACUGAACUCAACAUUGGUGACCUCUCCUUGGGGUUGCACUUUAGGUGUAUUAGGUACCCCUUGUUCCUAUGGUUCAACAUUCCUUCUAGUCGGAUGACCUUGGACAACUCUUCGUGGAGGCAUGAUCUGAAAGAAACGCGCAAACACGAGUUAGAAAAAGACUUUUUAUAGAGAUACACUUUAUCGCACGAAAUGAGUAUGAAAAAAGUGAGAUAGUUCCUAAAAUGUUGCAGCCUCCUAAUUAUAGAUGUGACGUGCUUCACGCCGAUAGCUAGGACUCUACAGACACGACUUCAUAGACUCCCUAGGACUCUUGAACUCUGUUCUUUGAUACCAAGUUUGUCACACACCGAACCUACACCCUGGGCGGGACUGGCACUCGAGAACCAUUACUGGCCCAAAGCGAACCCUUGGCCUAACUUAACUCUUAACGAAAGACUUUACUCAACAUAAAUGUACUUUAAAAGUAAAUUGAAAACUCAAAGAUAACUAAGAAUGUAUUAUAAUCAAACAUUCACUGCCAAAGUGGCAACUCAAGUCUCAAGCAUAACUGAAAUGGAAAGACUAAAGAACUAACAUCAACUAACUAUCUAUGAAGCCUCUAACAACUGAGAUGGACGUUGGGACCAGACCUACGACAUCCUAAUGAACUAACUGAUAAAGCAAUAAUAGGGGUCCUCUGAAAGCAAUGAAGCUCACCAACAACUCUUAAGCUCAACUAGAAUCAACGAUGCGUUGGAUGUUGAUCCUGGUUACGUAUCUGCAUCAUAACAACGAUGUAGGCCAAAUGACAUCAAUACAUUGCAUGUACGAGAAUGCGAGGGGAAUUCUAAAACAAGACAUAAGCUUGAAAGGAGCUGAAAGAACAUAUUUAGGCUUAACUCAACUCAACUCAACUUAACUCAUUUCAAUAUAAAGCAAUAAUUUGAAUGCAAUAUAAAGAAAAGCUUUUAAAACAUGGAUGACAACUCUGUGUAUUUUGAAAUACAAUAGUAACUCAGUUUGUAUGCAAGGAUACAAUAUAAGCUCUAUGUGUAUAUAAAAAUACAAUUAUCUCUAUGUAUAUAGGAAUACAAAAUACUUCUGUGGGAGUUUCUCUAACCGACAACCAUCACUUAAGAGUUAUGUGAUGAUACAACAUUUUGCCUCAUGCUGCCAGGGACGUACUAUACCUUGCCAAGGGUAUAGAACCUAACUACUAAGUGGAUCCAUUAGUCUAUGCUAAAAAGCACUAAGGAAUCAUCUAAAAAGUAUGAUAAUUUCUACCCAUGAUGGCUACAUGGUUUAUGGGGGGCUUGGUGAGUUGUCUGAACUCCCCCCAUCUCGGUGCUCAAUACUACUCCCAAAAUAUUACUAGCUCAUACGUUUAAAACAUAACUCUUUUUGUGGUUUGAGAUUAUUGCUCAAAAACUUAGCUCAAAGGCUCUCUUGAAAAAUCAAAGUUUCCUCUCUUGCUUAAUUGUGAAAACAUUUACUCUUUACUUAAAAACUUGCUCAAAGGCUUUGUUGGAAAUCGAAGUUUCCUUUUUUUUUUAAAUGUGAAAACAUUUACUCUUUGGGAAUAUAUAGUCCCCAUAUACUCUUUUGGAGAAAUGAACUUUACUCUUUACUCUUUACUCAACUCGAAACUCAAGUCUUAAAAACAAGUUUAAAACAUUUGUAAAAGACUUUAGGAACUCUCUAGGCUUGACUCUUAACUUUCCUUGAAUUUGAAUUUAUAAAUUCAAGGUUAUGAUUCAUGUUUAUGGAUGAUAUCAUAUUGUUUAGACGUACCUUAGAGUGUAGAAAUAAACUAUAAAACAUAGGUACGUUUCAAGGGAACUCAAACGGAAAAAAGUGGGAAAGGGUAGAAGACUUGGUGUCCCUGGCACUCUGAGUGGCGUUGGGCGCCAGAGCUCAAACUUUAGAGCCUGGGUUGGGGCACUCUGAGUGGCGCGGCGCCCCACCGCUUUUCCUAGAUUUUUGACGAAUUUUCUUGGUCGUUUUUCAACUCUAAACCCUCUAGAUUCAAAUGGUUCCUUCCCCAAACACUUAGAUUCGACUACAUAACUAAAAUAUGCAAGAAUCUACUCAAAACGACAUCUAAUUUUAUGAAUUUAAAUCAAGAACUCCUCAACAACUUCAACAAUCAAGAACACAAUAGAAACUUCAACAAUCCAUUAAGAACUCAAUUUCUAUACUUUCAAGAACAUAAUUUUGAUGAAUUAAAUCAUGAUUGACGCGUGGGUGAACUAACCCAACGCUAUGUGAUCUAACAUACCUCGUAGGGAUCAACCCUUGGCUAAAUCCACAAGCUUAACUUUCAAGAAUGCGACGAAUCCUUGCUUCUUCUCCUUUUUCUCCUCUUCUUUUAGCUCCUCUCAAAACCCUAACUUAAUCUUAUGAAGCAUAAGCUGAACCAAUUCAGUUUAGACCCAACUUAAUUACCAAAAAUGAAUUUAAUUAAUUGGGUAGUGAAAAGACCAUAAUACCCUCCUAAAAUUUGGUUUUGACUUUCCUUAUCUAGACAACCCGACUUCAAAUGGGCAUAUCUCCCUCAUACGAACUCGAAAAUGAGCAAACUUGGUGGCGUUGGAAAGAUAAUUCAAAGAUAGCCUAUCUAACUCAUUCUGUGCUAGGAGUUAUGAUCGUUUGAAGUUGACCCAAAACUCAUGUUUAGCUUAACUUUGUCAAACUUUCCAAAUUUGAUUAUUUCCAACAACAGUUUCUUUCUAAUUCUAGUUCUUUCGAAUAGUGAAGUGUUACAUUAUCGUUAUAAUAACGAUUUUUAUAUUCUACCAAUAAUAUUGGUAUCACAAUUAAUCAAAAUUGGAAAAAAUAAUUUCUCAAAAUAAAGUGUUUGAUAUGAUAACAUCAAUUCACUUUUUCACUAGUUGAAACUUAAUAUUUUUUAUUGCAACCUUCAUAAUCGAGUUAGCAAAUAAUAUACUUUUUGCUUUUCUCAUAUCCAACAAAUAGCAUCAAGUUUUCUCAUCUGGUUUGCUUGUACCUAUUAAGUACUUCAACUGCAAACGCAAUAUUAAAUUAAAUUGUUAGUAACAUAGUUCAUAUUUUUUAUUAGGCUGACAAACUCUUUUUUUCCUUUUCACACUAUUUUCACACAAUUGAAUCAAAAGAGUUGCAAGGCUCACACAACCAACAACAUUAUAUUUCACAAUUUUUUAAAACAUAAUGGGGCUAGACAAGUUAAAUUUCAUCACACGUUUUAUGAUAUUUUUCAUUUUAAGAAAAAAAAAAUUCUCACCCAAAACACUUCAUGUUAAAUGGCUACCCAACAUAUUUUUCAUAAUUUAUUUAUAACUCUCAUGUUAGAGCCAAAAGUCAUCCCGUUAUAGCCAAACAACAUGUGAUAUAUAUAUAUAUAUAUAUAUAUACACACACACACUAGUCUUUUCAUAAAAUGUGUACAUGCCUAAUUUUAUAUCUUCAAAUCCACGUUUUCAAAGACUGUUAUUUUUAUAAAAUUUGUACAUGCCUAAUUUAAUGUAUUAGUCUACUAAGUAUGUGUUUAGUCGAACACAACAAUAUCAUCUAAUUUUAAUACAAGUUUAGUUAUUACUCCCACUAUUCCUUUUUUUAGUUGUCAUGCUGCGCUUUUUGAGAGCCAAUUUGAUUAAUUUUUAAUGUUAAUUUAGAUUACACUAAUUUGAUAUUUUAAAAUAAGAAUUUAGAUAUUCAAAAACUAUACAAAAAGUACUAUAAAUUAUAAUUUUUUUCAUACAAAAUGAUGGAAAAUACAUCUGAAAAUGUUAAUUAGUUAAAGUUUAUAUCGUUUGACUAUUAAAAGGAAAAUAGUAACAACUACAAAAGAAUGGAGGGAGUAGUUCACGAAAUAGGAAGUGUUGAACUAUGUAAAACUAAUUAAGAUAAUACAACAUCUAACAUUAUUGGAGUUGUUGACAUAGAAUUAGCGUUGAUACUUAUAAUAUUAAAAAAAUGAUUAAAACACCUAAAUAGGACUAACUUGCUUUUUACCAAUAAAAAAAGGCACAAGUAUAUAAAUAAUGAUGCACCACAUUCGAGGCAAUCAUGCUAUUCCCAUGUAUACAUAUCCAGUAACUCCAUUAUCUUUAGAAUGUGAUACAUAAUCUUUAGGUUUAUUCAAAAGUGUGCAAUUUUAUUUUGGUUAAAAGAUGCAACAAGAAAAUAACAAAAAACUUCAUUUCAUACACUAAAUACAUUUUCAAGAAGCAGCAUAUAUUAGGCAAUCAAGAUUACAUCCACAUGCUGGUUCACUACUAAAUCAUCAAAAGCUCAAUUAUGCUAAAUCAUGAUUAUAACUUCUAAACUCUUCGUGUAUGGAGAAAAUAAAUGAAAAGGUUGGAUAUAUUUUAUUAGGAAAAUAAAUCCUUGAUUGAUUGCAUGUACAUUGACAUUUCAAAAGUUAAUAUUGCAAUAAAGAUCGGAAGAUGAAGCAAUUCAAGAUUUGACAUUAAAUAAACAUAAUUAAGUACUAAAGAAGUGAUACAAAGUUCAAGAAAUAGUAAAUACACAUUAUUAAGUCUAUGUGAAUUCAAAAUACACGUUUCACGAACUAUAAGGAGAAGCCUAAACAUCCAAGUUAUUCAUAUACUCAUGACAUACAGUUAAAUGUAUAUAGUCUCUUACUAUUAAUUGAUUUAUUAAUCGUGUGAAUAGUAUUUACUACAACUUUUGGGUUUUCUAGUGUUGUAUACUAUAAUAUUAUAUAAUUACUAUCUAAAUAUAAUUAAAUAAAUAUUUUAAUAACUAUUUUAAUUUAGAGUAGUCUUUUUUUAAUGGCAUUAUUGUAGUAACUCAAUUUUAUAGGAGUAUUUUUGUAUUUCAACUUUCAACUCUUUUUGUUCCCACUUAUAAUAAUAUAUAUAUAUAUAUAUAUACACAUUUAAUACUCUUUUUAGAGCAUUUUUCAAAGAAGCAAAAGAUCACAAUUUCACAAUGAUUUUUUUCAUUUCAUGAACCCCCACUAUUUUAAGAAUUUUAAAAAUAUUUUUUCAUGAAAAGUUACAUCACUUUAUUCAUGAAAAAUAUUAGGUAAAAAUAUUUUUUCCUUUACCAUUUCUCCGCUUGAAUUGAGCAAGUAAAAAUAUUUUACAUGUAUAUCUCUUCACUUUCAUCUCUUGAAGAGAGGCAACGUUUGAGCAGAUUGAUGUUGAGAUCUUCUAUCUUGAUAUCCACACUUUUUCAAACUGUAACAACAACAUGAAUCUUCUUUAAAUUGUUGGUGUAACAUACCACAAAUAUAAUAAAUUACAGCUGAAAAUAAAAUGACAAAAAAUGAAUAAAUAAUCAUUUAGGCUGAGACGCAGAUAUCUCACUCUCUUUAAAGAGAUUCAAGUCCACUGCGGCAUAAUCUACACCGAUCCAACAAUAAUACUCUUGAUUUGUCCCCUCCAGGAUAUAACAACCCAACAGCCUCGUACAAUUCAAAAAACUCUGGAUUAGUUGAAGAGUCCAAAACUCCACAUAAGAACACUUUCCUUCAACAUAUAAACAUUUUCUUUUAUAUAGUGAAUAUAGUUGAAGACUUAUAAUAUUUUUAUAGCCUCAACUCUCUCUUUCACUACACUAAUCUCAAUAUAUAUAAUACUCCUCAUUUGUUUUACUCUAUAUUUUCUUGUACAUCUCUUCUUGUUCUCAACUCAAAGGAAGAUCAUCACUAUAUAAGGGGCGAAAAUCUUCCUUGUAAAGAAUAGGAAGAUAAUGAAGUAGUUACUAGGAUAAGUGAAUGACCUAUAACUUACCUGACUUACAAGUUAUAAUGAGGUAGAAUAAUGAGUGAAUAAAGAAUAAGAGGUUACUAGAGUUAUGAGGAAAUAUACACACCAACUAAUUAUGUGAGUAAAUGAGACAUCUAAUGUCAAUAAAUGGACAAGGAUGUUGCACAAUGGCACAACCGUGCAGUCUGGGGCAGAGUCAACAUAUUGUCAGGGGUUCAUCCGAAUUCUCUUUGGCUGAAAAUAUUAUUAUUUAUAUAUGGUUAAAAUUAUUUUUAUGUAUAUAUAGUAGAUAUCAAACUCCUUUCGGUUAGUUCGUGUGUUAAUUUCUUCAGAUUUUUAACUCCCUUAAUAAAAAUCAUAACUCCGUCACUGCGUGGUAACCCUCCUAGGAGUGCAUCCGUCUGCCAUUAAUGAAGAAAAUGAGAGUUUUUGCAACCAAAAAAACAUACGAAGUAUAUAUUUACCUAUUGAGAGAAACCCACAAUUUAUGGUACUAAAUCGUAAUUGGAAAGAUUUGCGAAAUGUAGGAAUUGGAAAGAAAAUGAGAAUUUCAAAAUGCUAAAUAUUACAAGAUUAACCUGAAAGGUAUUAUAGUUAUAUUCCAUAAUUAAUAAGACAAUGAUUUAUAUAAUACAUAAUUUUUAUAUAAUUUUAAAGUCCAAAAUUUUAGGAUUUUCUAUAUAGUCAAAAUAAGAAAAGAUAUAAUAAUCAAAUUUUAUUUGACUUAAAACUUUUGAAUUUAUAAAAAUAAUUAAAUGAUAAUUUUGACUGUAAAAUUAUUUUUAAGGAUAAAAAUUGAAAAGGGUGAACGGCAUUUCUCUAACCCCUUGUUUGAUGGUUGUUACCUAUAGUAUUGUAUGAUAUUAUUACUUUAAAUGGAAUGUUUGAUUUAAGUGUUACCUUAAAUUUUAUUGCAUGGAGUUGUUAUAACAAUUGCUAUGUUACAAUAGAAAGGGUCAUUUCAUGUAACAACUGACUUAGUGUGAUCGUUUUUUUUUUUUUUUCAUAUUAUCCUUACUUGUAUAAUAAUCCUAAUUUUUACAAUUCCCCUAUCUUUUAAUUUUUUUUUUUUUUACCUCAUACCGCAUUUUUCUUUGUAAUGUUAUACGUUUAUUUUUCAAAUUACUGAUGUGUGACAUUACAAAAUGAUGUGAAACAUUACAUUAUAUAAACAUUAUAUUCAUAAAAAAUAAUAUAAUACAAUACAAAUAAUAUAUAAUAAUACAUUAUGAAUAAUAAUGAUCGUUAAAAAUUAGGUGAAUGCUUGGUCAUGUGAUACUACUUUGGUCCCCUAUUCUUUUGGGCACGUUGUGAUCUUGACUAAGUAAUUAAUCCAAUAACAACUCCAACACAUUUUCCUAAGAAGAAAAGGAAAAAAAAAAUACAAUGAUAUAAUAAUAAUGCAUAGAAGAGAGGAGAUAACUCCCAACUCCCCUUGGGGUUUUACUUUUUUUUUAUUCCUACUAGUUCCGUAUUUACAUUGAAGUCUGAUUAAAUUUAAAUUCGCGCUGGAAAGUCUCACAUUGAGGAUAAAACGCUCUGUAACACUCUCAUUAAAAAUGAAAGAGUUGUCCUUGAAUAAUAUUUUGGGUUGUGUGCUCUUAUCUUUUUGAAUCCAUGAAUGUUGUCCUUCACAAUGGACAAAUUGUUUGUUAUAAAAAGAAAUGGUGUAUUCAUAUUCAUAUUCAUACACAAAAGAGAAGGUAUUGUCUUCACUCUUAUUAUAUUAAUACUCCCAACUAAUAAAGAGUUUGUUGUGUUUUCAUAGGAAACAAUUAAUGCAGUCUCUCACAGCUUUAUUGAAACUGAUCAAACACAAUAUUGGAUGGAGGUACGUACCUACUAAUUAAUUUACCUAGUGUAGCACAAGUUUUAAACAAAUAGAGAACCUCAAUUUAUUUUUAUUUGUCCACAAUUUUAAAAAUAAAUUUUUAUUUGGAUAAAUAACACAAAUUCUAUUAGUUUAAGGCUUAAUUACGUAUCUUUCCGUAAAAUUUCGAAAUUACCAUUCGUGCCAAACUUCAAUCCAUGUGUAAUUUAUUUCAAAUGCAAUGUAUCUAUAUAAGUGGAUUUGCAUGUACUCCCUCCGUUUACUUUUACUUGUCACUUAUUCCUGAACUAUAUUUUCAUUUUUACUUGUCACUUUUGACAUAUCAAGAAAAUACAAUAAUUUUUUUCCAUAUUUUACCCUCAACAUUAAAUACUUAUUUUCCAAAUCAUUUUCCAAGGCAUCAUUUAAUAGGGGAUAGUUUGGUAAAAUACAUACACCAUUAAUUAUUUUCUUAAUGGAUGUGCCAAGUCAAACCGUGACAAGUAAAAGUGAACAAAAUAAAUAUACGAGAUACACAUACUCUCUCACUCGUCUAUCUCUUCUCUCCCUAUAUAUUUAUAUUCCAGAAUGUAUCUAACUUCACACAUCACACAUGUAUCUGAUUUUUUUAGAUAUAUGUAUCUAGUAGGCGGAUCCGGCUCCCCUCCAUUACCCCUUCCCUCCAUUUCGUCAAGUGCACGUCUAGAUUAGAGACAUAUGUCAUAUUUAAAGUUUAAAGGUCAAGAUUAUAUCAUAUGAAUAAAUAUCAUAACCAUAGUUAAGUCAACUAAUUUUAGAAAAUACUCUCCAAAUUUGGUAAGAAUUACAAUAUAUUCCAUACAAAAUUUGAUAUUUAUUAAUAUCUUUAACUUCAUCUUAUAUUUUUAAUUUACAAUUUAACAUUUAAAUACAAAAAUAUAAUAUGAAAUUAAUGAUUAUAAAUUUAUAAUUUAAUAUUUAAAUACAAAAAUAUAAUAUGAAAUUAAUGAUUAUAACUCAAAAGUUACUCAACUAUUGAUAUUUUACUUAGAAAGUCACUCAACUAUUGAUAUUUCAUUUAAAAAGUCACCCAAUCAAUUUAAAUGUUUUUUUUGUUGAAAUCUAAUUUUAUUUUAAACUAUUUUUAUUAUAAGAAAUAAGAAGAUAUCUAUUUUAUUUAUCUUACUAAUCCACUCCAAUUAUUUAAUUAAUUAUUUUUUUUUUGAAAAACGUACUGUAGCAAUAGACAAAAAAAAUUAUUUUCCGUUCUAGCAAUUGUUAAGUAGAAUUAAAUAAGCUGAAAAUGAUCCAAAAAAAGGUGAACAUUGAAAUUGAUAGAAGUAAUUAAGAAGCAAUCAAAAGAACGCACAAUAGCAAUCUUUUAUCAUUUAAAAAUAAUUGUCUUAAAACUAAAAAUUUAUAAUUUAAUAUUUAAAUACAAAAAUAUAAUAUGAAAGUAGUGAUCUUAAUAAAUAUCAAAUUUUGUAUAGAAUAUAUUGUAAUUUUUAUCAAAUUUGGAUAGUAGUUUUCUAAAAUAACAUGACUUAACUAUAGUUAUGAUAUUUGUUAAUAUAAUAUAAUCUUGACCUUUAAAUUUUAAAUAUGACACAUGUCUCUAAUAUAGACGUGCACUUGACGAAAUGGAGGGGAGCCGGAUCCCUAGUAGGCUAUUUAGUGUUGCAUCACCAUUACCCUCUUUGGUUCAGCUUCUUUGUUUAUUUUGCAUUGGUUUAGGAUAGAUAUUGUAAAUAUUCCGUUUUGAUUUUUUUUUUUUUUUCAUUUUCUUCUUUGGUUGCCUUUUUAAGAGUUGUCUUUUCUUUUUCUUAAAUACGUGUACGCCUAUUCUUUAUAAUGAAAAAUAAUAUAAUAAUUUUAAAUUACAUCCCAUAAAGUGAUUAAAUUUAAAAAAAUUAAAAUAUUAUUAACUCAGAAUGAAAGUAGUAUAUAUUGAAUCUGUAACACCCAGAAAAUUUUUUGAACUAAGACUCGAACCGUACUUCGUAGUGAGUGAGAUUUUACCAAGGAAUUUAAAAUUUCUUCAGUGUUAAGAUCACUAGAUGUAGCACCUUGAGUUCCAAAAAAUAUUAAAUUGGAAAUAGCAAAAUUUGAAAUUUUGCAAGUUAAGCUAAGUAUAAGUUUUGGGUCGACUUCAAACGAUCAUAACUCCUAGCUAAGGAUGAGUUAGGUAUUCUACCAGAUACCAUAGGAAAGAUAUUUGAAUUAUCUUUCCAAUGCCGCCAAGUUUGCUAAGUUUCGAGGUCGGAUGAGUGAGAUAUGACCUUUUGAAGUNNNNNNNNNNNNNNNNNNNNNNNNNNNNNNNNNNNNNNNNNNNNNNNNNNNNNNNNNNNNNNNNNNNNNNNNNNNNNNNNNNNNNNNNNNNNNNNNNNNNNNNNNNNNNNNNNNNNNNNNNNNNNNNNNNNNNNNNNNNNNNNNNNNNNNNNNNNNNNNNNNNNNNNNNNNNNNNNNNNNNNNNNNNNNNNNNNNNNNNNNNNNNNNNNNNNNNNNNNNNNNNNNNNNNNNNNNNNNNNNNNNNNNNNNNNNNNNNNNNNNNNNNNNNNNNNNNNNNNNNNNNNNNNNNNNNNNNNNNNNNNNNNNNNNNNNNNNNNNNNNNNNNNNNNNNNNNNNNNNNNNNNNNNNNNNNNNNNNNNNNNNNNNNNNNNNNNNNNNNNNNNNNNNNNNNNNNNNNNNNNNNNNNNNNNNNNNNNNNNNNNNNNNNNNNNNNNNNNNNNNNNNNNNNNNNNNNNNNNNNNNNNNNNNNNNNNNNNNNNNNNNNNNNNNGAGAUCAUGAACCUUGAAUCCAUAAUCCAAUUCAAGGAAAGUUAAGACCAAAGUCAAGAAAAGUAAGAGUCAAGUCGAGAUGAGUUCUUCCAUAUUUUAAGGAGUCUUUUACAAAUGUUUUAACUUAGUUUUAAGACUCAAGCUUUGAAAUUAAGUAAAGAGUAAGAGUAAAGUCUUUUAUAAACGUUUUAACUUAGUUUUAAGACUGAAAGAUUCAAGUUAAGCAAAGAGUAAAGAGUUGAGUUCAUUUCUCAAAAGUUAUGAGGGAACUAAGUAUUCCCUAAGAGUUUAUAAAUGUUUUUACACAUUUGAGCAAGAAAAGGGAACAUGAUUCCAAGAGAGCCUUUGGGCUAAGCUNNNNNNNNNNNNNNNNNNNNNNNNNNNNNNNNNNNNNNNNNNNNNNNNNNNNNNNNNNNNNNNNNNNNNNNNNNNNNNNNNNNNNNNNNNNNNNNNNNNNNNNNNNNNNNNNNNNNNNNNNNNNNNNNNNNNNNNNNNNNNNNNNNNNNNNNNNNNNNNNNNNNNNNNNNNNNNNNNNNNNNNNNNNNNNNNNNNNNNNNNNNNNNNNNNNNNNNNNNNNNNNNNNNNNNNNNNNNNNNNNNNNNNNNNNNNNNNNNNNNNNNNNNNNNNNNNNNNNNNNNNNNNNNNNNNNNNNNNNNNNNNNNNNNNNNNNNNNNNNNNNNNNNNNNNNNNNNNNNNNNNNNNNNNNNNNNNNNNNNNNNNNNNNNNNNNNNNNNNNNNNNNNNNNNNNNNNNNNNNNNNNNNNNNNNNNNNNNNNNNNNNNNNNNNNNNNNNNNNNNNNNNNNNNNNNNNNNNNNNNNNNNNNNNNNNNNNNNNNNNNNNNNNNNNNNNNNNNNNNNNNNNNNNNNNNNNNNNNNNNNNNNNNNNNNNNNNNNNNNNNNNNNNNNNNNNNNNNNNNNNNNNNNNNNNNNNNNNNNNNNNNNNNNNNNNNNNNUUGAGUAGUUUUGAGUAUUCCUUGAGUUGAGUAAGUUUGAGAAGAGGUAAGUAUGUUUCCUUUUUAUCAAGUUUCAAGCUUAUGUUUAUAAUUUAGAAUUCUCUUACAUGCUCGUACAUUCCACGUAAUGAGCCAUUUGGCCUGCAUCUUUUCAUGAUGCAGACACAUGUAUUAAGGAUCAUCAACAGGAGCUUCGUUGAUACAUCCGAGAGUUCGAGUUAGCUAUGGUGAGCCUUCUUGCUUCCGGAGGAUUUCAUUUUACUUUUUCAGUUUUAGUCAGGAUGUCGUGGGUCUUGUCCCGACUUCCAUCUUUAUCAGUUAGAGGCUUUCAUAGAUAGUCAGUAUAGUUAAGAAAUCUGUAUUAUUCAUUUAUUUUAUUAAAUGUUUUAAAGACUUAAGUGCCUAUUUUAUGGCGAGUUGAAUAUAUUAUUUUUAUUCUAAGUUGUUCAUUUGAGUUAAAAGUUUCAAAAUUUGAAUUUAUUGAAUUUUAUUUCAGUUUUAAGCUUUUGCAUGCUUAAGUUAGUCUUCCGCUUGUAGUCAGUCAGGAUGAGGGUUCGCUUGGGGACCAACAAUGGUUCUUGAGUGCCGGCCACGUCCAGGGUGUAGACUCUGGUCGUGACAAAAUUGGUAUCAGAGCACAGAGUUUAAGUGUCCUAGGGUGUCUAUGAAGUCGUGUCAAGUAGGUUCUCGUUUAUGGUUGUGAGGGCCCCACUUCUAUAAAUGAGGUACUACAGACAUUUAAGAAAAGUUUCCCUUCUUUCAUACUCAUAAUUCGUGCAAUAGAGCUAAGUCCUAGAGAUUUAUUCAUGCUUGUGCGUUUCUUCAAAUUAUUUCGACUACCCAUCAUACUAGAGGUAGUUGAAAAUAAAAGUCAGUCCUUUAUCGAUGAGUUGUUCUUAACAAGAGUCUUGAGAAAGUCAUGAGAUUCUAGAGGGGCUUGAGAAUAGCCCAAAGAGUAAGUUAAGUGUUCAGUUGCAGAGGAAUGCACUCAUAUUCAUAUGAAUCAUGCGUUUGAGCUAAAAGUGAGUUGUACUAUUUUCCUUAAGCCUUGUUUCAGCUGAGAUCCUUUUUAAGAAGUAUGUUUAGAGCUUGGGUAAAAUUUUCACCCGAAAAGGUAACAUGAGUUAUAAGAUCAUGAGCAGUAGUAGUGAAAGAGCCCAGAGUUAGAGGAAAGUAUGCAGAGGUUUAGUAAUCUUAGAAAGGGAGAUAGUGUUUUGGCAAGCUAUGUUAUUAUAGUCAUGCACCCAGUAAGUUUUUAUGAGGAGUUUUUCCUUAUGGGUAGACUAAGAAGUGAUGAGUUGUGAAGAGCUCAGGAUAGGAGGUAGAGUAAGAGUUGCAAGUCAAGAUGAGUUAGAGUAUACCUUAACUAGAAAAGGGUUAUGAGGAUGUGUUCAUUUGUGUUUGUAAUGACCAAGUGUAAGUGGUGAAUAGAAGAGCAAGAGUAUUCAUGAGGUGAUAGCUCUAAGCUAGGCUUAUGAUUUGUUUGAGAGGGUCAUGAUGUUCAGAAGGAUAUAAAAUUGAUCAAGUAAUGAGGUAUAGUAUGGUAGGCGAGCAAUCAUAUUGAUAUUCAGGUUUAGUAAUAAACAUUAAGCUUGAAUUUGAGAUUAGUGUCAUGAUCAAAAGAAUGACAACAUGAGGGUGAUGAUGUUAGUUUUGAGAUUUGAAGACUUUAGGAAUUGAGAUGUUAGUUGGAAUAGAUAUGAGUGGUACAAGUGAGAGACCCUAACAUUUAGAUAAGGGCAGUGAAGUGUGGCUAAGUCACAAGAGUAACAAGAACUUUAAGAGGUGUAACGAGAAGAGGUUAAGGGAAACACCUUAGAAGGAGAUCUUAGUACCAUUUAUAGAGAGUUUGGUAGGCAUGAGAUAAACUUCUCGCAAGUGUUAGAUUAAAAGAAGAGGUAGACCAUUUAGAGAUGAUGGAAUAUGUCCAUAGCUUUCAAGUGUUAGCUUUAGACCUAAGGAGGAGAUGACAAGAUGAGCUAUUGAGUCAAGUGUUUGAGAUUAAGAUGGUAAUGAAUUCAAAGAGUUUGGGGGAUAUCUUUUUAGAAGUCCUUUUUGUAAUGGAGUGACGUUAAAAAGAUGAGGUUGAUGUUCUUAUCGUGUUAGUGAUAGUGUGAUAAUUCCAUCUAAGGUUAUUAAUAAGGAAGAAGUAGAGGAUUAGGUUUUACUAUGAAAAAUAGUAAAAUGAGAGCCAUUAGUUGGAUCCGAAGGAGUUGGUUAGUAGGAUUUCAUGGAGUUGUUAGAAUACUAAGCUUGAAUAUGGUGUUAAGGAGUAAUAGUUUGGGAUGAGAUUUCCUAUAGAGAGGUAUAUAAUCCGAACUAAAAUAUUUGAGUUAAGUUUGAAUAUAGUAAGAGCAGACCAUUAUCCUUAGACCUUAGUAAGAGUAACCCGUUCCAUAUCCAAACUAGUCGUCAUUCGAGGACGAAUGAUCCCAAGGGGGGGAUAUUGUAACACCCCAGAAUAUUUUUGAACUAAGACUCGAACCGUUCUUCGUAGUGAGUGAGAUUUUACCAAGGAAUUUAAAUUUCUUUAGUGUUAAGGUCACUAGAUGUAGCACCUUGAGUUCCAAAAAGAAUUAAAUUGGAAAUAGCAAAAUCUAAAACUUUGCAAGUUAAGCUAAGUAUAAGUUUUGGGUCGACUUCAAACGAUCAUAACUCCUAGCUCAGGAUGAGUUAGGUGUUCUACCAGAUACCAUAGGAAAGAUAUUUGAAUUAUAUUUCCAACGCCGCCAAGUUUUCUAAGUUUCGAGAUCGGAUGAGUGAGAUAUGGCCUUUUGAAGUUAGGCUGCCCAGUUAAGGAAAGUUAGCCGAAAAUAAAGAGGGANNNNNNNNNNNNNNNNNNNNNNNNNNNNNNNNNNNNNNNNNNNNNNNNNNNNNNNNNNNNNNNNNNNNNNNNNNNNNNNNNNNNNNNNNNNNNNNNNNNNNNNNNNNNNNNNNNNNNNNNNNNNNNNNNNNNNNNNNNNNNNNNNNNNNNNNNNNNNNNNNNNNNNNNNNNNNNNNNNNNNNNNNNNNNNNNNNNNNNNNNNNNNNNNNNNNNNNNNNNNNNNNNNNNNNNNNNNNNNNNNNNNNNNNNNNNNNNNNNNNNNNNNNNNNNNNNNNNNNNNNNNNNNNNNNNNNNNNNNNNNNNNNNNNNNNNNNNNNNNNNNNNNNNNNNNNNNNNNNNNNNNNNNNNNNNNNNNNNNNNNNNNNNNNNNNNNNNNNNNNNNNNNNNNNNNNNNNNNNNNNNNNNNNNNNNNNNNNNNNNNNNNNNNNNNNNNNNNNNNNNNNNNNNNNNNNNNNNNNNNNNNNNNNNNNNNNNNNNNNNNNNNNNNNNNNNNNNNNNNNNNNNNNNNNNNNNNNNNNNNNNNNNNNNNNNNNNNNNNNNNNNNNNNNNNNNNNNNNNAAGUGAUUGGGGAAGAAACCAUUCGAUUCUAGGCGAAAUAGGGUUAGAAAACGAGAAAAGAAACUUGCUGAAUUUUCUAGGUUGGGGUCCUGGUGCGAUGCGCCUGUCAGAGCUCCCCAAAUCCACCUCUGAAGUUUAGGGGCUGGUGCCCCGCGCCACCGAUAGCGCCAGGGUCGCCUACCCAUCCAGUUUGUCGUCGGUUUCCCCGUUUGAGUUCGUUUAAAGUGCACCUUCACUCCUUUUCGAUUCUAACUACUCUAAGCUAUUUCUAAACACCAAAAAUCAUUCCUAACAUGAUCAUAACCUUGAAUUCAUAAAUCAAAUUCAAGGUAGAGUUGAGAGUCAAGUUUGAGAGUUCUUUCAAACCUUUUUGAUAAGGUCCCUUAGAAUCUUUUGAGGAGUCUUCUACAAUUAUUAGUAACUUGUUUCAAGACUCGAGCAAGUGAGUAUGAGGAUGAGGAGAAUGUAUCCAUGAAUCUACUUUGUCAUCAUGAGAUCCUUCAUAUCAUAGAACCAAAACUACUUGAAUUCAUAAUCUACAUUCAAGAGAGAGUUAAGAGUAGAGUUCAAGAAAGCCUUUGAGUUCAAUUGUGAAUCCUUUGAGAUCAACUAUAGAUUUGAACUAAGUUCUGAGAAAGUAAGUAAGAGAAUGAGAAGAGUCGUAUACAUGAGUCCAUGUUGUUAUGUAGACCCAUCGAGUCGAGUUGUUUCAUGCCCAUAAUUCCGCAUGAACUUCGUAAGUUUGAGCAUCUUUCAGAGAAGUGGUAUCUUCAAGUUUUUAAGCCUUUUAAGUGUUGAGUUCCUAAGCCCUUUUGAGAAGUAUCUUUGAGUUCUUGAGUUAAGAAGUUCAUGCUUAUUAUUCCGCAUGAACCCUUUGAAUUGAGCAUUCUUUAAAUGAGUAGUAUUGUUAAAGUCCUUGAGUUCCAAGUAUUGAGUUCUAUCUNNNNNNNNNNNNNNNNNNNNNNNNNNNNNNNNNNNNNNNNNNNNNNNNNNNNNNNNNNNNNNNNNNNNNNNNNNNNNNNNNNNNNNNNNNNNNNNNNNNNNNNNNNNNNNNNNNNNNNNNNNNNNNNNNNNNNNNNNNNNNNNNNNNNNNNNNNNNNNNNUGGCUAAGCUUUGAGUAAUUAUCUCAAACUAAAGAAAAAAGUUGUUUUAAAAGCAUAUGAGCUAAAGUAUAUUUUGGGAGUAGUAUUGAGCACCGAUAUGGGAAUGCGAGUUCAUAUUAACUCAAGUCUCCAUAAACCAUGUAGCCAUCAUGGGUAGUAAAUGAUCAUACUUUUUAGAUGAAUCCUUAAGAUGCUUUUAGCAUAGACUAGUGGAUCCACUUAGUUAAGCGUUCCAUAUGACGGCAAAGUAUAGGACAGUUCUGGUAGCGUGGGCAAGACGUUGUAUCACCACUUAAGCUCAUAGUGGUGGUUGUCGGUUAGAGAAACUCCCACAGUAAUAAUUGCAUGGUUCCUCAAGGGGUUCUACUUAGUAUGAAUGGGGGUAUGAGACUUCAUUCAUACAUUGCACAAGUAGACUUUGAGAGGGAACAUGAUAUGUCUUUUCAUGAUAUGAGUAAAGUUGAGUUUGUUAUCACACUUUCUUUAACGAACUAAGUUGUUUUUACUGUUUUAUAAAGUUUUCAAUAUAUUGCAUCUCUUAUUGUUGCUUUAUAUUGAGUUGAGUAUCCAGAGUUGAGUAUCUAAUCUUUGAGUUAAGUAUCUAUCCUUGAAUUGAGUAUCUAUCCUUGAGUUGAGUAUCUAAUCUCUGAGUUGAGUAUCUUAUCCUUGAAUACUUCUGAGUUAAGUAACUUUGAGUAGUUUUUGAGUAUCCUUGAGUAUUCCUUGAGUUGAGUAAGUUUGAGAAGAGGUAUGUAUGUUUCCUUUUUAUCAAGUUUCAAGCUUAUGUUUAUACUUUAGAAUUCCUCUUACAUGGUCGUACAUUUCACGUACUGAGCCAUUUGGCCUGCACCUUUUCAUGAUGCAGACACAGGUAUUCAGGAUCAUAACAGGAGCUGAUACAUCUGAGAGUUCGAGUUAGCUAUGGUGAGCCUCCUUGCUUUCGGAGGAUUUCAUUUACUUUUCAGUUUAGUCAGGAUGUCGUGGGUCUUGUCCCGACUUCCAUCUUUAUCAGUUAGAGGCUUCAUAGAUAGUCAGUAUAGUUAAGAAAUCUAUAUUAUUCAUUUAUUUUAUUAAAUGUUUUAAAGACUUAAGUGCCUAUUUUAUGGCGAGUUGAAUAUAUUAUUUUUAUUCUAAGUUGUUCAUUUGAGUUAAAGUUUCAAAAGUUGAGUUUAUUGAAUUUUAUUUCAGUUUUAAGCUUUUGCAUGCUUAAGUUAGUCUUCCCCUUGUAGUCAGUCAGGAUGAGGGUUCGCUUGGAGACCAGCAAUGGUUCUUGAGUGUCGGCCAUGUCCUGAGUGUAGACUCGGGUCGUGACAGAAUCAUACAUUUUUAAAAAUGUUAUAUUACAUUAAAAAGGAAUUACGAAUAUUAGGGAUUUAAUUAAUGAUCUUAUAUGAUUUAUAAUAUGUUCAUUACAAAUAUUAUAUAAUAGAAAUAAUAAUACAAUAAUCAAAAAGUGAAACAUAAAGUAUGAAUAACUAUUAUUCACCUCUCUAAAAUUGGAGAAUGGAGAGUGAUAGAAAGUAGUAGGAGAACUCAUUCUCUAUUUACUCUCCAAAUAUAGAGAAUAGAAAAUAAUUUAGAGAAAGGUCGGAGAUGGUAUUUAUUCUAAAUCAGAGACUGGAGGUUUGCUUUUUGGCCUACCCUGAAAGAAGAAUACCAGGUGUUAACCGUUUAAGACCAUCUCCAACCCACUCUAUUUUACUCUAUAUUCUCUAUAUUUGGAGAGUAAAAUAGAGAAUGAGCUCUCCAACCAUUUCACUCUCUAUUCUCCAUUUAUAGAUAGAUGAAUAGUAGUUCUCCAAAUUAGGAAAGCUACUAUUCAUCCUUUCUAUUUCACUUUUUGAUUAUUUAUAUUAUAUAAUAUUAAAAAUUAACAUAUUAUAAAUCAUAUUAGACUAUUAAUUAAAUCUCUAGUAUUCGUAGUUAUUUUUUUUAAUGUAAUAUAACAAUUUAAAAAUAUAUAUUAUUUAAUCUACUUUCAUCCCGAAUUAAUAAUAUUUUGAUUUUUAAUUUUUUUUUUCAUCACUUUAAAUAUAUAAUUUACAAAUAUUAUUAUUAUUAUUAUUAUUAUUAUUAUUCACUAUGAAGAAUGCACAAUAUUUAAAUGAUAGGAUGAAUUUUUAUAUUUUAAAAAUACAAUACAUAACAUAAUAAUUAAGAACAAAAAUGCUCAUUUUGAACUCCAUAAUGCAUUAAUAGAGCAUUUAUGGGAGCAACGCAAUAAUCUUGAAAGUUGAGAUUUAUGUAAUGUUUAUAUAAUUGUACUUCAUUAAUGAUUUCACUUUUAUUUGAAUUGUUCAUUAAUAUGUGUAAUGCAAUUAUGUUAUUUAGGAAUUUAGAAUAAAAUAUAAUUUUGGAUUAAACAAAGAAUUUGAAAAAGAAUAAAAUUUUAUAUUACAUAAAGAUUAUAUAGGAUGAUUAUUUAGAAAAAGAAAAAGAGAAAGGAUUUAUAUUUAUAUUAUGAAAUAAGAAAUUAAAAUGAAAUAGAAAUAAUAAUAUUGAGAAAAGAGAGGGAAAUUAUUUUUUAGAGAACAAAAUAGAAAUUUGGGUUGUAAUUGGUUGUCUCAUAGUGAAAUAGAGUAAAUUUUGUGGAUUCUUCAUAGUGAAAAAUAAUUAUAUUUAAAUUACAUAUUUAAAGUGAAGAAGUUAAAAAAAGUUAGAAAAAUUAUUAAUCCAGAAUGGAAGUAAUAUACUUGUCAAUAGUAUUUUUUUAGAUAUUAUAUUACAUUAGAUAAUAAUUACAAAUAGUAAAGACUUAAUUAAUGGUUGGAGUACUACUAUAAAAGUAAAAAUUUGAAGAACUACUAUUUAUCCCUCUAUAAAUAGAAGAUUCUAUUCUCUAUUUUACUCUCUAAAUAAAUAGAAUAGAGAGUAAAAUAGAUGGUAGAUGUUUUCAAGAAUGGAGAUUUUCUAACUUGUUUACACAGAUGAUACUUCAUUUUUUUUUGUAAUAUCAAUUUAGAGCAAGGAUUUAUUAGACCCAUUCUCACAGUUUUUGAAGUUAUUUCUUACAUUGGGGUAAUGAAAUGAGUCCAUUUUGCUCAUAUUUAAUGACUUGGAUCACUCAUAUUUUAAUUGAUUAAAUAUGGACUUCAAGCUAUUUUAAGAGUCUCUACAAAUAUAGUCAAAAUGGGUUACAUAGUAUCCAUAUUGACCCAUAAUAGAUCACUUAGUUUUCACUUCCACUCAAAAUUCUUAAUUGUGCUAAAAAUUAAAAAAUUUAAUAUUAAUUUUCAAAAAUGUAAUUAAUUUUCAAACUUGAUUGAAAAAACAAUUUUUUGUUUUUGUUUUUGGAAAACAAAAAAAAUUUAGGGGUAGGUUGGUGGAAGGGGGCGCACUGGGGGUGGGNNNNNNNNNNNNNNNNNNNNNNNNNNNNNNNNNNNNNNNNNNNNNNNNNNNNNNNNNNNNNNNNNNNNNNNNNNNNNNNNNNNNNNNNNNNNNNNNNNNNNNNNNNNNNNNNNNNNNNNNNNNNNNNNNNNNNNNNNNNNNNNNNNNNNNNNNNNNNNNNNNNNNNNNNNNNNNNNNNNNNNNNNNNNNNNUGGGGGAGGGGGGGGGGGGGGGUAAUUUUUUCUUUUUUUUUUUGAAAAAACAGUAGGUUUGUGGAAGGUGGGAGGGUGGGUGAGGGGUGCCGGGGAGGGGGUAUUUUUUUUUAAAAAAAAAACAUAUUUUUUAAAAUGGGUUAGAACCAUUUUUACCCAAAUCAUAUUUGAUCAAAUUCAUAUUUACCCAUAUUCUAUUCCGGUGGAUUGUAAUCCCAACCAUUUUUGCUCAAUCCAUAUUCAAUCCAUCCAAAUCCGAUCCAAUCCAACCAUUUGCCACCCCUACAUUAAGAUAAGAGCCUGAUACUCCCUGUUAGUGAGGUGAGGUUCCCAACAUGUAAGUAGGUGCUAGCCAAUGCCCAGGGCUCUGGGACCUGCACUUGUUAUGCUAUCAGGACACACUGGGAGGCUAUGUUGGUUGGACUCUUCAAAAAUGUCUACGGAUACAUAUCAAAUUCUUCAAAAAUAGUGUAAUUUUAAAGAAUCUGACAAGGGUAUAACAUCAAAAGUGAAGAAUCCACAACUUAGUUGAGAGGAGUAUGCUCGAAACAUUGGCUUCAUAGUUGGUAGUAUAAGGAAGAUUUCCUUUUGGAGUGACAACUGGAGCGCCGACUAAAUCCGGAUUGUGCAUUGCAGGGCCCAUUUAUAGGUUUAUUACACUUACCAGAUGCUAUUGAAGCCACCAUAGAUAAAGUCUGAAACUUACAUAGUCAGAUUUUUCCUUCAGAAGACUACUAAAAAUGAUUUGAGGUUGAUAGAGUGGCUGAUAUGUUGAAGAUUUUGGAGGACUGUCAAAGCACAAGGGAAGUAGAAGAUGCAGUCUCCUGGAAGGGGGACAAAAACAAAACUUUUAGUCAGCUAUGCCUUUUCCAUGCUCUCUGAACCAACUAAGGUGACGGAAUAGCUCUGGAGGUUCAUUUCGAAAACAAAAGCCCCUUACAAAGUGACUUGGGACUCUUCCAUAAUGUCAGUGUGCAUAUCGGAUUCUCCCAAAGUAGUGUAUUUUUGGAGAAUCUAAGACGGAUCCGAAAGUGAAGAGUUCGCACAACUAAUGUUAUAGUACAGUUCUGCUGGGUAUCCCUUCAGAAAUUUUAGGACAGACGUAAACUGUAUUAGAGAACUAAACUUCCUGGAGUGUAAAAUGAGAUAUGGAUGAUAUUAGUAUGAAAAUGUAACAAGUGACAUGAGGGACUUUGGAAAGCAAUUUUAAGCACACCAGAAAGCACAACAUACUGAAGAAUUUUAUUAGGGUAUCCCAACAUCUAGAAGUGUAAAAUAAAUAUCUUCAAACUGGCUAUAUAACAAAUACGUCUUCAUAGGACUCCCCAAUUAAUAUGAUCUCCAAUAAGCAAUUAUUACUAGACAGCAAUGCUUCAACUAAAUAAAUUUAGCUGUUUUACCGAACUGCUUCCUCCCUACCUAGGCGAUCAAAGCUAAAGCUUCUUGAACUCAUUUGACAUCAACCAUCCAAUUCAAACGGUAGGGGUCAGGAAUUUGUAUUGUUGCUUUUACUUUUGUCUGCAUCUUGACGCACAAAUUGCCCUCGCAUGCGUGGCCUCUGUUCUGCAAGUCUCUUUCUACUCUGGUACCGGAC